AUAGCUAUCCGAAAAACCCUAACCUCUGCCUCCUCUUCCUCUUAUCCCGGAAACCUAAAUUCCGUGACCCUAACCCCUUCUCUUUCCGAAAACCCUCCGGAAUCGGAAAAUUCAUAAUUCUUCAGAAUUAAUUUUCACCUCGAAGCCAAACCCUAACUGCCUCAUCUUCCUCUCAUUCAUAUCCCAAAAGUAGCUUCAACAGUCAGGCCUGUAGCCAUGAAAGCCGUAGUGAUCACUACUUCCGGUGAUCCCCAAGUUCUCCAAGUGCAAGAAGUCGAAAACCCUGAAAUUGGAGAUGAUGAAGUUCUAAGUAGAGUGGACGCCGCUGCCAUUAACCGAACAGAUACGCUUCAGAGGAAGGGCUUGCACCCUUCCUCAAAGGCGGCAGUCCCUACCCGGGUCUCGAAUGUUCUGGAAUCAUCGAAGCUGUUGGAAAAGCCGUCGUUCGAUGGAAGGUUGGCGAUCAGGUAUUUCAAUUGCCUAAUAUUUUGAUUUCGUUUCUGUUCCUCUGUUUUUCUCGGCUAUCAAACACUAGGAACGUGUAAAUAAGGAGGUUAGUUGAUUGCGAAAACGGGAAUUUUUUGUUCGUGUCUGUGUUAAGGAGUCUUUGUUGAGAAUUUUGGGGAAAUUUAUGAUAAGUUUGUGAUUUUAUGAUUAAUUUUGUGUAUCAAUAUAGGUUAAAUUAUUGAGCUUAUUGGUUUUCAAAUUUAUGGUUGUAAGAAAAUUGGUCAGUGUAAGGUUAUGGGAUCAUUACCAAUUUGCUUACUGAAAAUUUUUCCAGAUAUUGUGGACCGGUUUGGUAGCAGAAAUAAGAACUGUGUUUUGUUUUUCAAAACGGAAAUGGAUGCAGAAAACAUGUUUUUCUUUCAGAACUUGUUUCCGAAAAUAUUUCCUGAAAAUGAAUUAUUUCAGAACUUGUUUUAAAAAAAUUCAAACACUUUAUCAAUUUAAAAGGUUCUGAAAUGGACAUGUUCAUGGUCUUCAUUUUUUAAAAUUAAAGCUUUUAUGAAAAAACCAUUUUCCCUUCUACUAAACAAACAGGCUCUAUAUUGUAACAGAUCGAUUGGCCAUUUCCUUUGUCAUGUUUUGUGAAUCAUGGCAACACUGGAAUCCACUCCAUUACCAUCUGUUAGUGAUUAGAAGACAAAGCACCAAUUUUAAUGAUAUCCUUUAUGUGAUUUUGCUUCCUCCUGAGUACAAGUUCAUAGUAUACAUGGUACAUGGUGAAUCUGUAUGACAGUUCAUGGUAUACAGGUGUGUGCUCUUCUUUCUGGUGGAGGGCAUGCUGAAAAAGUGGCUGUUCCAGCUGGGCAAGUUCUCCCUGUCCUAUCUGGUGUUUCUCUGAAGGAUGCUGCUGGAAUUCCUGAGGUUGCAUGUACUGUUUGGUCAACUGUUUUAAUGAUGAGCCGACUGUCUGCAGGAGAAACAUUCCUGGUGAAUUUUUUGUCUUUUUUAUUUUCUGAUGCCUGAUAUAUUUACCAGCACAAAUUUACCCUGUUGCUGUUUAAUGUGUGUGCAUCAAUAUUGGAUUAGGGAGGUAGAAGAGCCAUGGUUCUAAUUAAAUCAUUACAUCAUCAUAUUCUUAUUUAGAUACAUUGUAUCCCACAAUUUCAUUGCAUCCAAGGCUAUGUUGUUUUUUAUUGCACGGUUUGUGUCAUGGUAAUUUCUCAACCCUUCUCUGGAAAAUUAUGUUGGAUGGCUGCUAUUAAUUACCCCAAAAGAAGAAAUUUUAUGUUGAAGUAAGAUGAGUAGCACAAAGAGUUACUUGUGGUUGAUCCUAUCAUCAAAUGGGCGAUUGAUGCACAAUCCAAAUGGUAAAUUUUUUUCCCCCUUUAUCCAGAUGGAAUUUUUAUGCAUGGUUGAAUAGUGAAAUGAGGACUGAUAAUAUUUCAGGUUCAUGGGGGUUCAAUUGGAAUUGGUACCAUCUAUUCAAAUAGUGAAAUACUGAGGAGCAAGGGUAUUUGUUACAGCAGGUUUGCCAUCACUGUUCUACCUCAUCUCACAGAAUGCUUAUCUCAUGGCACCAAUUCCUUUUCUUCACAUGUUUUCAACCAUUUUUUCCACCCAGGAACGAGGAAAAAUUAGCUGUUUGUAAGGAUCAUUGAGCAGAUGUGUGCAUCAAUUACAAGACUGAAAACUUUGUUGCAUGGGUGAAGGAGGAAACAGGAGGGAAAGGUAUAAUCUAUUGUAUCUUAACGAUAAUUUCAAUUGAAGGUGGAAUUGCUUUUUAAUUUUUAGUGCACCAAAUCCACUAGUCUGGAAUGUUUGAAAAGAUAAAUAGUCAUCUUCCACUUGAUACCGAUUGUGAAGAUCUAACCCCAAAAAUGUUGAAUGACAGGUGUUGAUGUUAUACUGGAUAAUAUUGGAGGGGCCUACUUUUGGGGAGACAUCAAUGGUUUAAAUGUUGAUGGAAGGCUUUUUAUUAUUGGUUUUCAGGGUGGAACAGUGGUACAAGUAAAUCUUUCAGGUUUACUUGCAAGGCGCCUUACAGUGCAAGGUACCGCUUUCUCUGUAGUUUUGGAGUUGAAUCAAUUUGAUUAAUCUCAUCCAAGUUCAGAACUGAGGUGGAUUCUGGCAAGCCAAGGAAAAACCAAAUUACCAUAAAUUCUUUUUUUCUUGGAAAUCCUGUUUCUCAAUCUGGUCAGUAUAUGGAAAUUCCAAGGAAAAUAUGUUUUACAUUUUCCAUAAGGCUCAAUGGGUUUUAACUCCACUCAGCUACUUUAUGUCUUGUAUUUAAUAUUGCAAACCAAAAUAAUAAUACGUAGAGAUUGAGCUUGGAGGCCAAUCUAGCAAAUGUGGAGAUUAGAAAUAGUUUACCAUCUAGAUAGUCAAGCAUAGCAAUUUACCAAACCCUUACCAACCAUCCAUACUAACCAAUUGUGGUUAAAUGUUUACAAAAAUGUACAUUAAAUCAAAGAGAAAAAAGAUUAAAAACGAACAAGAGAGAAGAAGUACGUCACCUAAUUUUGGUAAUAAAUGAAAUUAAAAUAAAUUCAUAAAUUUUUUAAAUUAAAAUGAAUUUGAACUCUAGAGAUUUGUGUAGAUAUCUUAUUAAAAAACCAAAAAGUUUGUUGCAUAUAUAAUUUCAACAAUGCAUAAAUAAUUACAACAUACGCAAUACAAUAAUAUUACACAACUAUAUUUUCAAAUAUAGUAUAAGAUCAUUAAAGUGAUAAAUUGUAGUUGUAUAAAAUAUUUAUACAAGUAAAGAAGAAAUUAUGAGAUUGAAAUGCUUGUUGGAUUCUAAGUAAAAAGGAAAUGAGAUAUAGAGAUUGUCCCAUCAGACAUAGAAUUUCAUAUACAUAAUUUUCCCUUCAAGAAAAUUUAGGGUCAAAUUGAAAAAUUUUCAUUCAUAGAUUUUGGUAAAACCUCUAUCUAGUCCUCCAAAUCUUGUAUACAAAAGGAAAUAACAUUGGUAUGAGGGGUUUGAAUGCUUAAUUUUAGAUUGAAAAUGCUUGAGAUAAUUUUUGAUCGACUUCACAUGUGUUUUUGAUAAACUUGGAACAUUCAAACUUGUAUUUGAAGAAUCUUCAAAUCUUCAAUUUGAUCUUAAAUAAUGUUGAAACCUUCGAAAUUUGAAUAGAAGAAUCUUUAAGCAUUUGAAUUUUGGUUUAAAGAAUUUUGAAAUUUGAGAUUGAAGAAUCUUCAAAUUUGGGCCUGAAGAUCAAAGGCUAAGCUUGAAGAGUUCUUGAAGCUUGAGUGGUAUCUCCGAUUUUGUUUUGUAUUUCAUAAAAACUUUUAAGUAUACUAUAUUUAUAGGUUUGAAGAGACAUUGAGAUUUUGUAUACAUGUUUGGAGUUUUAAACCUUGAAAUAUUACUCUUUUAUGAAAUUAACAUUUAUAAAAUUUGGAAGAACAUAAUUAGAUAAUAUUCUAAGUUAUUUUUAAUGAAAAUUGAUAAUUACCUUUUAAUUAUCAAAUUCACUAUUUCUAUUUAUUUUUGUAAUAUAUAUUAAUUACUAAAAUCAUUUAUUUCCUUUAUUUAGUUUGAAAGCAAUUAUAUAUCUUUUGUUUGUGUAGAGCUCAUGUGACACGACAAAUUUUAUUUUGUAACUUGCUCUGGAUGAAUGGCCAUUAUAAACUUCAUUUUAUCCUCAUCUGAUUUUGAGGUGGGAAUAGGAGAGAUGAGGAUUUGACAUUUGGACCUAAGCCUCAGAGGGUUUUAACUCCACUCAACUACUUUAUGCCUUGUAUUUAAUAUUGCAAACCAAAAUAAUAACAGACAUGAUCCUUUUCAAAAUUUUUAUAAUAAUAGAAGUGUAAAUAAUAUAAGUAAAAAUAAUAUAAUAUUUUUUAAAAUGAUAAAAUAAUAGGUUAUAUAAAUUUUAAUAUAUAGGUAAAAUUAAUUAAAUUUUAACAAAUACCUUCACACUUAAACAUUACAUAUCUUUUAUUUAAUAAAAUGUUAAAAUAUUAAUAUAUUUAAAAUUGUAUAAUUAUUUUUUAUUUUAAUACUAUAUAAAUUAUAUAUUUAUGAUAUUACUGGUUCAACUAUAAUUCAAUCACUGAUCCAACCAUUGAACCAUGAAUUAGUAAAUUUUUUUAUUCAAUGAUAGGUUUGAUUCUAAAAAUAUUAUGACUAUGUUUGGUUCCAGAAAUUUUUUUUUGAUGGAUUACAUCAAUCUAGAUAAUGACAAAGAUAUUACCAAUUUGAUAUCACCAAUUGAUAACACAAUUAAAAAAUAAUAUGCAUUUUAACAUAUUUGAAUUCAUUGUACUCAUAUCCAUGACCUAAUUUUACACAUCCUUAAAUCAUGGUUGAUUUAUGAAACAAAUCUAUACCAUCAAUAGAAAAUAAAUAAAUAAAAUAAUACAAAAAAAUAUAUAGAUAGUCAAGCAUAGCAAUUUACCAAACCCUUAGCCACCAUCCAUACUAACCAAUUGUUGUUAAAUGUUUACAAAAAUAUACAUUAAAUCAAAGAGUAAAAAGAUUAAAAACGAACAAGAGAGAAGAAAUACAUCACCUAAUUUUUGUAAUAAAUGAAAUUAUAAUAAAUUCAUAAUUUUUUUAAAUUAAAAUAGAAAUUCAAAUACAUGUAACUAUUGUUUUUGUCUUGUAAAUCAUCCAAUUUUUCAAUGAAUUUAAACUCCACAUAUUUGUGUAGAUAUCUUAUUAAAAAAAACAAAAAGUUUUCACUAAAAUCAUAAAAUUUAGAUUAGAAAUGAUUUACUAUAUUAGUUCAAAAUUCAUCUCCACAAAAAUUGAAAUAAAUUAAUUAUCUUGAUCAAUUCAAAUAAAAUUUCUCCAAUUAAAUUUCCAAAUAUGUGCCUUAAUACCUAUAAUGGAAUUAGUAAUUUUAAUUAAAAAAUAAAUAAAAAUAAGGAUUUGAUCUUUUUCUUACCAUUUGAUGAAAAUUAUAAAAUAUACUAAAAUGACAAGUGAUCAGACAUUUGAAAUUUGCAUCAUUUCUACCAUUGCAAACACCACCAACUCCAUAUUUCCCAUUUUUCUACCUACUGCCAAUUCACUCAUCUCUCUGGGAAGAUUUUUGAGGUUAUCGCCAUGCUUGAGAUAAUCCAGAAAGUUGAGCGGCAUCACUCUCUGAAAGGUGCCUUACAGCAUGGGUAAUGUAUGGGAUACAUCUGAUAGCUUGCCAUAUCCAUAAACCACUAUAUUAAACCAUGGUUCAUAUCCCCAACGCCACACGAGAAUCUGUACUCAUCCCAAGCAGCUUGGAGAUCAUAAAAUUAGGUUUUGAGGGCCUCCCGAGACAUGCACAGCUUCACCUUUGUGCAUUCCUUUGAUUUGGAAAAUUUCUUCUGUAAAAUCCCCCAUUAUCAUGCCCUGAACCAAGACAAUUUCACAAUAUCCAAUAGCAUAUCAUUUACUUCCAUUUUGUCAAUGGGAAUUACCAUUUUGCAUGGGAAGCACCAACGGAGAUAGGGGUUUUCAAAUUGGAUCACUAGCAAAGAAACCCACCGCAACGAUCUGAAUAAUUGAGCACAACAUCCACUUUAGAGAACCCCUCCUGAAGGCGAAAUCGUCAUCUUGGCUAAACGUAGUCAUAGUUGGGUUGUGAGAAAUGGAGAUGAAUCACAGAAGGCUUUCAGUUUGAUAGCAACGAAAAGGUAAAUGUACUCUAGAGAAGUUUUGACCUUGGGAGAAGCGCUUUUGAAUCCAAGUCAAGGUCUGUUCUGGAUCCCUUUUCGACUCUCUCUAUUAAAGGAAGAUAAUCUGCCCAGGAUUUGGAUGCAAGCCUACAAGGCCAUGUUUAGGAGACUUAUGCAAAAUAUUUAUCCAUAGCUCCCCGCCUGAAACAUCUACAUAAAGCGUCUUCCAAGUGUGAACCAUCGUCUUGGGUCCUUGAGAUGAACAAAAACUGAGACAUGUCGUGAGUUAGAUGCAUUGCCUGAAAAUGCCGAGCAGUAGUAUGGCCUUCUUUCUGAUCAACUGUUUUGUCAAAUUCUAGAGCUCUCAUUCCAAAUCCAUCAGUUUUCUCAAAUGAUUGGCCAGUGGAGAUCCAUGGAUAUAACAUAUGAAAUGUGCACAAUAAAAGUAAUCAAACGGUUGGUUGGUUUGGCUGAAUCCCACAAUCGCAAAGACUUAUCAUAUGAAACUGUUACCAACUGAGUUGAAUUUGGCCUAAAAAGGAUAUCCGUUACUACAAACUAGCGUUCUUUCGUGGUGCUCUCUCUUUGCAGGCUAUCCAUGUUCCAAAGAAAAACUCUCUUGUCAUGUCUGGCACUGGGCACUGAUUAGAGUGUGGGACGUUCAUUCUCCAUUAUCACCAAACACAUGCAGGAUAUAUAUAUAUCAAUUCAUUCAAAAUAUGCCUUUAUUUUAUGGAACAUACCCGAAUCCAUUUUGUUUGUGUUGAAGAGGUAUAGAUCUUCUAAGGCUAUGGAGGGCACCACCUUUUCUCAGAAUUCUCUCUGACGAUGGGAAGCCGAAGAGAACGGGUUUUGUUUUUAUUUUGAAAACGUUGUUAUCCUUAAAGAACAAACACUAUUCUUUGGAUUUAUACCCUCCUACCUUAGGGACCAUACCGUUUGGCUACUGGGCCUCACGAGUCUUAGGCCCAUCAUCUAAGGCCCGUGAUGGCACUGGGCUCUACACAUAAGGUGGCCCAUACUCUAGAACGAAUAGAAAUCAUAUGUAUAUAUAUGGAUAGCUAAAUCCUGAAUAAUGGUUAAUAUGAUGUCGGUCCACAUUUAUUCUAUCAAUCUCCCACUUGGACCACAUAUAUUACAAAACAAUGUUCAUGAUAGUACUUUAUUGAGCUCAUCUUUGCUAUCCUAUCUUAAUAUCCUUAAACAAUCUGGUCUACUAGUUAUGCUAACAUAGGAUCAAAGUGGCCUUCAUUAAUCAUAAUUAUAACUAGACCCAUCAAUGAUCACAACAUUAACAAAAUUAGCAACAUAGAUCAAGUAUGGAUGUGUAGCAUGAAAAUUACAUAAAAUGUGAUCUUUAUUAUGUCUAUUUCCAAUUGGUCCUACUUUAUGACUAAAAAAUAGUCAAAUUCCACUUUCAACACUUGAUGCUAAACUGCUUCUGAAAGUCAUCAUUUCAAUUCAGAGAAUUCAAAUACAAUAGUCUUUAAAAUCAAGGUUUGUUGCGUACAUUAUUGGAAUGUUCAGCAAAUAUUUGAGUAACCCAAGUAUGGAUUACUGGAAAAAGGCAAAAUAGGUUAUGCGGUAUUUACAAAGAACUAAAGAUUAUAUGCUCACAUACCGUAGAUCCAGUCAUUUAGAGAUCAUGGGAUAUUCGGACUCCGAUUUCGCGGGAUGUCUUGACAACAAGAGAUCCACUUCAAGCUUCAUCUUCAUGUUGGCUAGAUGAACAGUUUCAUGGAAAAGUGUUAAACAAAUACUUAUUGCUUCUUUCACCAUGGAGGCAGAAUUCAUAGCCUACUACAAAGCAUCAAACCAUGGGAUAUGACUGCGGAAUUUUGUCACUCAGUUGCGAAUCGUUGAUGAGAUUGAGAAAUCAUUAAGAAUAAAUUGUGAUAAUAAAGCCAUAGAAUUGUAAUUCUAAGAACAACCGAAGUUCGUCAAAGUCCAAACACAUUGACAUCAAGUUCUUGGUUGUGAAAGAAAGAGUUUAGAGUCUUCAAGUAUCAAUUGAACAUACAAGCACAAACUCCAUGAUUGCGGAUCCGCUCACUAAGGGUUUGCCACCCAAAGUAUAUCAUGAGCAUGUCACACAUAUGGGUGUUGUACAUAUUGAUGAUGUUCCAGUAUAGUGGGAGUUUGUAUUUAGAUUUUGUGUUUGUUUUCUUGAUAUGAUGUUAUAUUGUGUUAUCGUGUACAAACUUGUGCAUACAUGAGACUUCCUAUUGUUGAGGCAUAGGGAAACCUCUUCAUAUCCUUCUUUUUAAGUUCAUUUUUCGGACAUUGGUGCAAACUAAAUUUAUCGCCUUUUGCUACAGGCAUGUCUCCUGGUGUACAAUUGCUCAUGCCAAAUCUACUCAACACCUUAUCGAUGUAGGCCUUUUGUGAUAACCCAAGUAUACCUCUUAAACGAUCCCUAUAGAUCUGUAUACCUAGCAAAAAAGAUGCAUUACCAAGAUCCUUCAUGUCAAAUUUACUAGACAAAAAUAGCUUAGUUUCAUGCAAAAGUCCCACAUCACUACUUGCAAGUAGAAUAUCAUCAACAUAUAGCACCAAGAUAAUGAAUUUGCUCCCACUAAACUUGAGAUAUAUGCAUUGAUCAAUGGUGUUUUCCUUAAAACCAAAUGAAGUAAUCACCUGAUUAAACUUUUGGUACCAUUGUCAAGAUGCUUGCUUUAAACCAUAUAUGGACCUUUUUAAUCUGCAUACAAGUUGCUUUAAAUCAUUAGACUCAAAGUUCUCCGGUUGCAUCAUGAAUAUUGUUUCAUCAAUGUUACCAUUAAGAAACGCAGUUUUAACGUCCAUUUGAUGCAACUCUAAAUCAUAAUGAGCCACAAGUGCCAUGAUGAUUCUAAAGGAGUCAUUUGACAAAACCGAUGAAAAAAUCUCCUUAUAAUCAAUGUCUUCCUUUUGAGUGAAACCUUUUGCGACUAGACGUGCCUUAUACCUAACAAUGUUGCCUUUUGAAUCCCACUUGGUCUUAAAAAUCCAUUUACAACCAAUCGAUUUUACACUUUCAGGCAACUUUACUAGGUCCCAAACACCAUUAUCUUUCAUUGAUUUCAUCUCAUCUUUUAUGGCUUCUAUCCACUUUUCAGAGUCAGAACUUUGUUUGACUUGACUAACUGAAAUUGGAUCAUCUUCCAAACCCAUGUCAAACUCUUGUUCCUGGAGAUGUACAACAUAAUCAUCUGAAAUUGUACUUCUCAUUUCUCUAGUGGAUCUCCUUAGUGGCACUUGUAUUUGAGGUUCUUGAGGCUGUUGAGUUACCUCUUCAUAAACUUGAACCGGUUCCAUAACUUGAGCAGGAGGAAUCUCAAGUGUGUUUUGAAUCUCUGUUAUUGAUUGUACAAUCUGGAUAGUGUCAUCAAACAUAAUAUGACCAUGUCCAGUCGUAAUAAUAGGAAUACUAACAGAUUCCUCUUCAAAUACCACAUUUCUUAACGGUUCUCUCCCAUUUAACUCAACAUCCUCAAUAAAUUUAGCUUUGCCCGUUUCAAAAAAGGAUCUAGUUGAGGGGUCAUAAAACUUGAAACCUCUCAACCUUUUAGAAUAUCCUACAAAGUAGCAGCUCACUAUUCUAGAGUCCAAUUUCUUUUCAUUUGGUUUUUAAGGCCUAUCUUCAGCUGGACAACCCUAGACAUGCAAGUGCCUAAUACUAGGUUUCUUGCUAGUUCAUAACUCAUAUGAGGUUUUGGCUACUGCUUUGCUUGAGACUCUAUUCAAAAUAUAAAUUGUUGUUUUGAUGGCUUCGCCCUAAAGUGAUUCUGGUAAGGUGGAAUGACUGAUCAUACUUCUUACCAUAUCCUUAAGAGUACGAUUUCGCCUAUCUGCUACACCAUUUUGGAUUGGAGUCCCCAGCAUGGUGUAUUGAGGAACGAUACCACACUCCAUCAAAUAUUUGGCGAACAGCCCUGGACGUUGUUCACUAGAUCCGUCAUAUCUACCAUAAUAUUCACCUCCACGGUCAGAUCUGACGACCUUUAUUUUCUUGCUUAGUUGGUUCUCAACUUUAGCUUUGAAAUUCUUGAACACAUCUAAUGAUUGAGACUUCUCAUGAAUCAAAUAAAGAUAGCCAUAGCGCGAGUAAUCGUCAAUGAAAGUGAUAAAAUAUUAUUGUCCAUUCCAAGAAGGGGUAGGAGAUGGACCACAAAUGUCCGUAUGUAUCAAUUCAAAGACGUCACUGCACUUGUUAACAUCAUUUUUUUUCUCAUAUUUGUUUGUUUACCCUUAAUAUACUCUAUACAGACUCGAAAGUAUAAGAAAUUAAGUGGAUCAAGAAUUCAUUCUGACACAAGCCUUUGAAUACGUUGAUUUGAAAUAUGACCCAAAUGCCUGUGCCAUAACAUCGAUGAAUUCUCAUUUGUUAAUUUCCGUUUAAUGUCAUAAUUACUUGAAUUCAAGGUUUCAUUUUCAUUAGUGGUCUUUAUGUUUAAUUUGUAUAAUUUGUCUGUUAGAUUACCUGUACCAAUAACAUUUGAAUUUAGAUAAAGACUAACCAUUCCAUUUCUAAAUGAACAAUAAUAUCCAAAGUACAUCCAGAGUCUAACUGUAAUCUAAAAAGACCAAUAGUCUUGACUGCAACCUUGUUGCCAUUUCCCGCAUAGAUGUAUCUUUCACCAUCAAUUGGCAUUCGGCUCCUUAGGCAACCCUACAUCGUGACACUUAUGUGAGUAGUUGCACCCGUAUCUAUCCACCAAGUGUCAGUAGGCACUACGACUAAAUUAAUUUAUGAACAAACAAAGUUGAGAAGUGUACCUUUCUUUUCACGCCAAGCAGCGUAUUUGGUACAUGUCUCUUCAUAUGACCAACCUUCUUGCAAAAGAAACAAGUCAUCUCCUUAUCUUGUUUCUUCUACACCUUUUGCAUUGAUGUCCCAAAAAUUGCAGUUUGUUUUUCUUUAUUGUCCCUUUUUCUUUUCUUGUUGGUACCAAAUCCCUGAGAUGUGGAAGCCAAGUGAGCACUUUCUAUCUUUUCUUGUUUCAAUCUCUCAUCCUUUUGUGCACAUUGAGCAAUAAGCUCAUUCAAAGUCCAUUUUUCUUUUUGUGUGUUGUAACUGAUUUGGAAUGGACUGAAUUGUGUAGGCAGAGAGAUCAAGACCAAGUGCACGAGUAUGUCUUCUGAAAACUCUAAUUUUAGUACCUUUAGUCUAGUCACAAGAUUAGACAUUUCCAUAAUAUACUCCCUUAUAUUCUCUUUCCCUUUGUACCGCAUAGAGACAAGCUUACUAAGAAUAGUGCUUGUCUCAACCUUUUCAUUUGUAGUGAAUCGGUUUGCUAUCUGGUCUAAGAAUGCCUUGGCUCGAGUUUUCUCAGGUAUUGCACUUCUUACAGCUUUUGGAAUUGAGUGCUUUGUUAUCAUUAGAGUCAUGCGAUUGGAUCGCUCCCAUUUUUCCAUAGUAGAACUUUGCUCAGCAGUGCUGGCACUAGUAAGAUCUGGAGGGCGAUCCUCUCUUAAUGCAUAGUCUAAAUCCAUGCACCCGAGCACAAUUAUAGCGUGUUUCUUCCAUUUCUUGAAGUUUGUGCCAUUAAGUGCAGGAAUGUUAUUAACAUUUGCAGAUAUAGAAUAUGUUGAAUUCAUAAUAAUAAAGCUCACAAUCAGUCACAUAAAUAUCAUACAUACAUGAAAAAUAACAUCAUACAAGAUACUUAGCACAAACAUUAAUAUUCUGUCUUUGGACAAUAAAUAUUAACUUGUAAUUGGUAUCCUUAUUCAAAAUUAUUCAUAAAUAUUGACAAUAAAACCAAAAACAAUAUGCUUGUCUUUAGACUAACAUAUCGAAUGCAAGAUAAACUUUAUAUGUCACAUAUUUAUGACUACUUUAUUUAUUAUUAUAUUAAAAUAAUCUUCCUUUGGGCCAAUUAUUUUAAAUAAUAAUAAUAACAUGUUUAGAUAUUAUAAAAUAAAUAAAUUAUAUAAUAUAAGUUACUUUGACAACUAACAUACAUAAUUCAUUUAUUUUAAAAUAUUAAACACAAACAUAACAAGAAAUAAUAAAUUCAAUUAAAAUUAUUUAUUUAUUUAUGCAUAAACCCAUGUAUAUAUAUAUAUAUAUAUAUUAAUUGAAGCAUAAAAAACCAUCUACAUGUGUAUAUAUAUCAAUUGAAGCAUAUAUACAAGCUUUAGUCUAAUGGUUUAAGCAAAAAAUAGGCCAUGGUAAAGGGUUUAAGCCAACCCGCCCCUUUAGUUUGGUUUUUGUUUUUUUUUUUUUGUUUUAAUUUCUUUUGGGCUACUGACCAUGCAUUCUCUCAUGGCCCAACGACCACUUAUGGUCACUUACAAGCCAAGCCCCUUCCAUAUAUAUAUAUAUAUAUAUAUGUUUUUAUUUAUUUAUUUAAAUUUUGUCCAUUGCAGCCCAAAGCGACCAUCCCUUGUAAUGGCAUCAUCAACGGUGCCAGAGCUGUCCUCGAACGACACCGAUAGUGAAACGCUGCCACCAUCACCGGAACGGUGAUUUCCCAUCGCCAAACGACGGUGUCACUACCGGAAUGAUGCUGUAACAGCAUCGCUGGGAAGCAACCUAACUUGUGGCGUGACACCAUGACAAGCAAUGCCACUAGCAGUGAAACGCUGUCGCCAUCACCGAAACGGUGAUUUUCCAUUGCCAAACAAUGGCGCCACCACCGGAACAACGUUGAAACAACAUCACUGGGAAGCAGCCCUACCCGUGGCACCAAAAUGGCGCUUGGAUGGCAUUUGGAACACUUGCAACAACGUUCAAAUCAGCGCUUCUCACUGGCAAAUGACGCUUGAACGACAUCUGGAAAUAAUGCCUACAACGCCUAAAAAUUGUGCUAUUUUGAACUCUUAAAACAACGUUGAAAUGACGUCUACCAAAGUCUGGAAUUGCACCGCUGUCUAGAACGAUGCCAUGAUGGUGUCUCACUCGCCUUAAAUGGCACCAACCACCAUGACUUGCAACCUAAAAAAUGGCACUUGAACAGCGCCUGAAGCGUGCCUGGAACGACGCUACAAACGAUGCCUGAAAUGGUGCCUUUUGUAUGCCUGAAAACGACAUAGGAAUGACGCUUAAACUACGUCCAUUUUGAACGCCUGAACGGUGUCCUAACGGCGCCUGAAACGAUGCCUGAAUGACGCCUGGAAUUGGCCCAGAUUUAUUUUAUGUUGUUUCCUUCCUCUUGGAUCUUUUGUUUGUGUUUUAAAAAAAAAAAUGUUUUGGUGAAAAUGGGAAAUGCAACCAGGCUCUGAUACCAUUUUGUGGGACGUUCAUUCUCCAUUAUCAUCGAACACAUGCAAGAUAUAUUUAUAUAUAUCUAUCAAUUCAUUCAAAAUAUGCCUUCAUUUUAUGGAACAUACCCGAAUCCAUUUUGUUUGUGUUGAAGAGGUACAGAUCUUCUAAGGCUAUGGGGGGUACCACCUUUUCUUAGAAUUCUCUAUGACGAUGGGAAGCCAGAGAGAACAAGUUCUAUUUUUAUUUUGAAAACGUUGUUAUCCUUAAAGAACAAACACUAUUAUUUGGAUUUAUACUCUCCUACCUUAGGGACCAUACCCUUUGGCUAUUGGGCCUCACGAGUCUUAGGCCCAUCAUCUAAGGCUCGUUAUAGCACUAGGCUCUACACAUAAGGUGGCCCAUACUCUGGAAAGAAUAGAAAUCAUAUGUAUAUAUAUGGAUAGCUAAAUCAUGAACAAUGGUUAAUAUGAUGUCGGUUCACAUUUAUUAUAUCAUAGAGACUUCCCAUAUGAAGAAAAUCGACAGCAGGUAGCUUUGCCAUUCUUAGUCUGUAUACAACCAACCUUAGCAAGGAUUGAACCCUUUUAUGCUUAGUUGUGCCAUAAAGAUCCUUACCACUGCCUAUAACAUGUAAUCAAAAUGAUUCGAUAAUAUCAUCUAGUGAACCAAUACCUCCAAAUGAGAGACCAUUGCCUUGGUAACUAGGGCUCAUGACUGAGAAUUGCUUGAACCCCUUUGCUUGGGUUGGAGCUUGACUGAUGCACAAAAUAUUCAUAGGCCUCUUCCCAUAACUGGCACCUUGUGUUUGCAACAUAAUUGAACAUGUAUUGAAGUGAGUUUUUUUGCAUCUUUUUGUAAGAAAAUUCUAAACAACAGAGAUUGCUUAGUGUGCCCGGCUCCUCGGGGAAUCAAGGUUCAUUCCUGUAGGGCCAAUUUUUUCACAGUCGAACUAGAUAACAUGGAGAGUAUGUUGCAAUGCUUCAACGGGGUAUUUCUUAGGAAAAUCCACCUGAAGCUAGUACAAUUCGUUGGCGUACUGAGUUCCUGGAGCUCUAUUGACUUCAAUCACCCAUCUUUGUAGAUUAUCGGUGACUUAUGCUCGGAUCCUGUAGGAGGAUUGACCUGACAUUCCACUAGCUCUUUCUGGAAGGCGAUCUUGUUUAACACCUUGUGAGAAGAGGCAAGGGAACUGGUCAUUGUUUCUUCGAGAAGAUCAGUGGCCGAGGAUGGGUUUGGAUCAGAAUUGCUAUAUGGGUUUUCUUUGGGUGAACCAAUUAGUGAAGUGGGUGGCUAUAUAGCAACUGAAGGGUAGUCAUACUAACGAGGAACUAUUAUUUCAUGCAUGUGGAGAGGAAAUGAGUAGAUUCUUCAGGGAUAUAUGAUUAUUCAUCUCUAGCUUACGUUGAAUAUCUCCUAACAAAUUUAUGCUUUGAAGCUCCCUUAGUUUCAUUACAGCUAACUUGGCCAACUUGGUUUCAUCAUGUUUCCUACAACCUCUAAGCAAAGCACGCCAGAUCACCAAAUCAGGUUCUAUUCGCAUUUUGUCCAUAAACUCCUUUGCCUAUUGACAAUAGACUGCCCCUCAAAAUUUGAUGAGAUAACAUCAACGCUGACAGGUUGGCCAUCCCCAUAAGCAUCUUUAUAGAGAUUGAUUCUAUGUUUAGAUAUUUCUCUCUCCUCAAGUGAGUUCAAUUUUUUUGUAACAUCCUUCUCCUUCUCUACUAAUAGUCUUAGCUGAACAUCCAACCUAUGUUCCUAAAGUGCCAGCAUCUCAUAUCUGAUGACAAGCCAACAACCUUGCCCUUGCUGAGACCAAUGUUUUUAAGGCGUUUGUGGGGCGCGCCUUGAGGCGAGGCGCAGCGAAAACGUGUUGAGGCGUUAAAAAUAAAAUGAAACACCUGAAAGGCGUACGCUUUUCCGAUGAGGCGUGAUUGAGGCGUGCUUUGAUCGCGCCUUUCACACUCCAAGAAGAAGGUGUAUGCUUCCUCGGAUCUGAUGUGGCAAUGAACAGAGAUUUAAAAAAAAACCCUAAGUAAUCCCUAAAACCCUAGUCCCGACUGAAAACAAACCCAAAACGAAACCCUACCUCCAACGACUCAAGUGGCGACGGAGUGCUCACCCUCGGCUGCGACCAAUCGCAAUGCAUCUUCUCCGGCGACGAUCCCUCUCAUUCAUCUCCAGGUAUGUUGCGAACUCCUUCUUCCAUGGUUUCUCCCUCUUCGUUUCUCUUUCUGCAAUCCACACGGGCUUCGUCGACUCUUCAUCCAAAUUUUUUUUUUAUCAAAUCAGUUAUGUAUAUCUAUUUAAAUUUUAAACCCUUUUUUCUCUCUCUUACAGUAUAUCUAUUUAAAUUCUUUCUCGGCAAUCCACAGCCCACACUUCCAGUCCACACUUUUCUCUCUCUCCCAAUAGGCUUUUCAUUUUCCUUUUUUUUUUUUUUUUUUUUUUAAAUUAUCAAAUCAAAUGUGCCUUUUGUUAAUAAGAUUUUUUUUGAAGUUUUUUAUAUGUUUGCUUAUAGUAUCAACAAAAAAAUAUAAUUAAAAUUAUAUAAAAGACAAUUAUUUGUGAAUUUUGAAUUUUUUAUUUCUGGUUUAAUUUUAAUUUUCACCUCAAUUUUCUUUAUUUCAUUAUUAAAUUCCAAUUAAAAUUUAUGUGUAUAAUUUUUAAACUCUUUUAAAAAAAAUUGGUUUUUUUUUAAUUUAAACCAAUUAAAUUUUGUAUUUCAUUUUUAAAUUUCUUUCAAUUGUGCUUUGUUAUUAUUUUUUUAGUCAAUUAUAUUGUUAUAUGGAAAUUUGAAUAUUAUUAUUGGUGAUUUUUUUUAGAAUGAGUUCCUCUGAUUCAAAAAAUUCAAGAAAGGAUUUUGUGUGGAAGUAUGUGAUGGAAGUUUCUAGAGAGCAAUAUUUAAUAUGUAAAUUUUGCAAUCAAAGAUGUACGGGAAGGGUGAAUAGACUAAAACAUCACUUAGCCGGAACUCAUCAUGGUAUGAAACCAUGCAACAAAGUUAGUGAAGAUGCUAGAUUGGAAUGUAAAGAGGUAUUGGCUAAUUUUAAGGAUCAAAAAACGAAGAGAAAUGAAUUGCUCCAAGAAAUUGGUAUGGGUCCAACUUCAAUGCAUGAAAGUGCCUUGUCUAAAAUAAUAGGGACAUUAGGGAGUGGGAGUGGGAGUGUAAGUGGGAGUGGGGAACCUAUUCCUAGGGGACCCAUGGAUAAAUUUACCACUUCACAACCUAGACAAAGUACUUUGAAUUCAUAGUGGAAGCAAGAAGAAAGGAAGGAAGUGUGUAGAAAAAUUGGUAGGUUUAUGUAUUCAAAAGGUCUCCCAUUCAACACUGUGAAUGAUCCUUAUUGGUUUCCUAUGAUAGAUGUUGUUGCAAACUUUGGGCCCGGGUUUAAGCCUCCAUCUAUGCAUGAAUUGAGGACAUGGAUUCUUAAAGAAGAGGUGAAUGACCUAAGUAUCAUUAUGGAAGAUCACAAAAAAGCUUGGAAACAAUAUGGAUGUUUAAUUAUGUCAGAUGGUUGGACAGAUGGAAAAAGUAGGUGUCUUAUCAAUUUUUUGGUGAAUAGUCCUGCUGGAACUUGGUUUAUGAAAUCAAUUGAUGCUUCUGAUACAAUAAAAAAUGGGGAAUUGAUGUUCAAAUAUCUUGAUGAGGUGGUUGAAGAAAUUGGAGAGGAGAAUGUUGUGCAAGUCAUCACUGAUAAUGCCUCUAAUUAUGUGAAUGCUGGAAUGAGGCUUAUGGAAAAAAAGAGUAGAUUGUGGUGGACUCCUUGUGCUGCUCAUUGCAUUGAUUUGAUGUUAGAGGAUAUUGGAAAGCUAAAUGUUCAUGCUACUACACUUUCUCGAGCUAGGCAAGUUGUGAAGUUUAUAUAUGGGCAUACUUGGGUUCUUAGCUUGAUGAGAACAUUUACAAAAAAUCAUGAACUUAUUCGUCCAGCAAUUACACGGUUUGCUACUGCAUUUCUUACUCUCCAAAGUCUUUAUAAGCAAAAGCAAGCUCUUAUAGCAAUGUUCUCCUCAGAAAAAUGGUGUUCAAGCACAUGGGCUAAAAAGGUAGAAGGUGUGAAAACUCGAAGUACAGUGUUGUUUGAUCCAAAUUUUUGGCUUCAUGUUGCUUUUUGCAUAAAGACCACUGUUCCAUUAGUUAGUGUCUUGAGAGAGGUUGAUUCAGAGGAAAGACCAGCCAUGUGUUAUAUUUAUGAGUUGAUGGAUUUAGUUAAGAAGAAGAUUGCAUUUAAUUGUCGGGGCAUGGAGAGAAAAUAUGACCCAAUUUGGAGAAAAAUUGAUGCAAGAUGGACUCCGCAACUUCAUCGACCUUUACAUGCAGCAGACUAUUAUCUUAAUCCUCAAUUGCGGUAUGGAGAUAAGUUCUCUAAUGUUGAUGAGGUGAGGAAGGGAUUAUUUGAAUGCAUGGAUAGAAUGUUGGAUUAUCAAGAACGUUUAAAAGCUGACAUUCAGUUGGACUCAUAUGACCAAGCAAUGGGUGAAUUUGGGAGUCGUAUUGCAAUUGAUUCUCGAACAUUAAGAAGUCCUACAAGUUGGUGGAUGCGUUUUGGGGGUUCAACACCGGAGUUGCAAAAGUUUGCUAUUCGAGUCCUUAGCCUUACUUGUAGUGCUUCGGGAUGUGAAAGAAAUUGGAGCACAUUUGAAUCGGUAAUACUUCUAUUUUUGUAAAUUUUUAUACAUAUAUUUCUAUUUCAAUGUUAGAGAACUUUAUUUCAUUUUAACACAUAAAAUUGUUUCUUUUAUUAUUUGUAGAUCCAUACAAAAAAAAGAAAUAGACUUGAACAUCAAAAGUUGAAUGCUCUAGUGUAUGUAAGGUACAACACUAGAUUGAGAGAGUGAAGUCUACAAAGGAAACAAAAUGUUGAUCCAACCUUGGUAGAGGAGAUUGAUUCUGAUGAUGAAUGGAUUGCGGAGAAAGAAGAUCUCCUCCUCCCCCUUGAUCUUUGUUGGCUUCAAGAUAAUGAAUUAUUCAAUGUUGAUGCCAUUAGAGUUGUGUCAUCCAACUCCCAAGAGACGCAAGCAUCAUCGGAUCAUAUGGUUUCUUCACAUUCCUACAAAAGGAAACAUAAUGAAGUACCAAGUAAGUACUCAAAAAUUGAAAUCAUAAAUUUGAUUAAAUUUAAUAAAAAAAACUUUUAAUAUUUAAACAUAAUUAAUACUUUAUGCUAGGUACAAGUGGAGGCAAAGGCAAAGAGAAGGAAUUGAAUUUGACACCAAUUGAUGAAGAUGAAGAUUUAGAUGAAAUGGGGAUACAUGAUAGUGGACAUUUUCCUACUAUUGAUACAUUGGAUGAGGAUGAUGAUGACCUUGGAGAGGAGGAUUUAAGUUGAAACAAUUUACUCUAGUUGUUAUUUCAUGACUUAGUUAUGGAUUUUUUGUAAAAGUUUAGAACUAUUAUUAUGGUUGACUCUAUUUUCUAUUUCAUGACUUAGUUAUGGCUUUUUGUUAAAGUUUGAAACUAUUAGUAUAGUUGAAUCUAUAAUCUAUUUUAUGAAUUUGUUAUGGUUUUUUGUGAAAGUAAGGAACUAGUAUGUUUUUUUUUAUGAUUCUAAUGAAUUGUUUUCAUGUUUUUAUUUAUGCUAUUUUAUUUUAUAUAUUUUAAAAUAUUAAUUAAUUAUAUAAUGUGAGGCUCAAAAAGCUUACGCCUCAAUGCCUCGAGGCUUACGCCUCGCCUCACGAACACAAAAACGCCUCGCCUUACGCUUUCGCCUUUAAAAACUUUGGCUGAGACCCAAAUAAGUAUCCAGAACCAUCAUCAUCAACCCUUUCACAAGCCUUUGUAUUUGAAGGUCAGAUUGGGAUUGCUUUGAAUGCACUGACACUGACACUGCAAUACACAAUUGUUUCUUCUCCAAUAAAAACACCACAAAGAGGUGAGGGGACUGGUAUUAGCAAAGAAGUGUUGUUAUCUAUAUUGUUCUGAGCCCGAGUACCAAAAACAAAAUCCUCAUCCUCAUCUAUACUCUUCCAUUACAUCCCUAGGCUUUUCAAUGUGAUCCACAUGGCUUACAGGAAUCCAGAAAUAUCGGUCUGUAUAAAAGUUGCUCUUAUGUGGCUCUCCUAGAAAACAUCCCAAUCAAGAUGAUCAACCUAGCUUAGAUGCUCAACACCCCAAACUUACGAGAAAUAGAGGAAUAAAAAGCAAGGAUAGGAGCCAAAGUAAAAACUGAGGGAAGAGCAAAUAGGAAAUCAAGCAAAACAUGAAUGUACAGAGCCUCAUUUCAGGUGACAUCUUUGGGCUAAUAAUAGGUGGAAUUAACAAAGUAGAUAAGCAUGAUUGUUAUAAAUAUCAAGUUCAAGGAUGAAGUCGUGCAUCAGCUACUUAUAGGGGGAGUCAAGGAAACCAAGAUAAGAUCAAAGAGAGCAUGUAUGCAAAUAAACAGAUUUGACAAAAUAGACCAAACAGCUUGUGAAUAUCCUCCUACAAAAAACUACUACACGUGGCAAAAAGUGAUGAAGCAAAAAGAGUCGGGUCCGCAUAUACAUAUCCUAUGCUAUCCUAUUCCUUCAAAUCCAAAGCAACCUGUAUUUUCAAUGGGAUUUGUUGUGAUGAAUUUUACUGGAUUGUAACAUGUAAAUAUGUUAAAAAAGGCUUGGGACAUUCCUAUAUAGUAACGCAUAAAGGUACUUCCAUUGUGAAGUUGUCAAAAUUGCAAAUUUAAAUUACAAAAUUUGAAAACAUAGAGAUGAAAGAUGAUGAAACCUUCUUUGAAAUUUUAUAUUGAACUCAUUAAUAUUAUUAAUUUUCAUUUCAGUCUAAGGGAAAGAAUUCUUUACUCUAAAGUGGUCACAAAAAUAUUAAAAUUCCUUGUCGAGAGAUUUAGAUCUAAAGUGAUCAAUAUAGAAGAAAGUAAAAAUAUUCUAAGUGUAGGUAAACUUGUAGACUCAAAUGACUCUACCUUCUCAUAAAAAAUCCUCAAUUUUAUAAAUUAUAUAGAUUUCUUCAUUUGAUACAAAAUUUGAAUAAAGAUUUUUCAAAUGACAACACAAGGAAAGGGAAAAAAAAAAUCUAUCCAGAUCAUAUUAUUUAAUCACUUAAAUUAUUUAAAAAUAAAAAUGUUUACUGCUAACAUUAUUUAGGUUCAUCUUUCUUUUGAUGGAGGUUAAAAUUCAUAAUUUUGAGGAAAAAGAUGAGGAUUCUCAUUUUUUUUUUCCAUGUAUGAAUGGGAUUCUCAUUGUGUAUAUGUGGGUUACUAAAUGGCAAAUUUGGGGGCCAAUAUGAGGGAAAAAAUGAAGUUGAGUUUGUCACCAAGAAUAGACAUGGUUCCUACAAAGGUGGCAUCUUUAAUUUCAUGUUUGGAUUGGACUUGUCAUGUAACAACUUAACAAGUGAAAUCCCUCAUGAACUUGGAAUGUUAAGUUUGAUUCAUGCAUUGAACUUGUCUCGUAAUCAACUAAAAGGCUCCAUUUCAAAGAGUUUUUGCAAUCUUUCUCAAAUAGAGAGCUUAGACCUUUUUAAUAAUAAACUAAGUGGAAAAAUUCCUCCAAAAUUGGUUAGACUAAACUUUUUAGCAGUGUUCAAUGUUAGCAUAUUCGGAAGAGUUUUAGAUAUGAAUGCAUAAUUUGCAAAAUUUGAUGAAAGUAACUAUGAAGCUAAUCCUUUCCUUUGUGGACCACCAUUAAACAGAAAAUGUAGCAUAAAUGUUGUUGAACCACCUUACCAACCAUUAGAGUCUUCAGAAGAAAGUGAUGCAAAAUGGUAUAAUAUCAAUCUUGUUAUUUUCUUUGCAAAUUUUACUACAUCAUAUAUCAUGAUAUUAUUAGGAAUUUCAACCAUUCUUUACAUUAACCCUUAUUGGUGUCAAAUAUGGUUCAAUUUUAUCGAGAAAUAUAUAUACUUUUGCUAUUAUUUUGUUUCCUAUACUCUUUCCAAGUUAUUAACAUAUUUUGAAUAAUUAGAGAUUUUUGUUUUCAAUAAUAUUUACAUAAUUAACUACUAUUGGUUUCCAUGACAUGGAAAGAAAUGCGGUGAAGGCAACAACCACUUUUUUUUCUCCUCUACUAGUGCAUGAUUGAUAUGAGUUAAAACUUGCACCCUUAUCUUUACUUAAAUUUUCUCAGCUUUUGUUUCAAUUCUUAAUUAUCAUUUCUUUUAUGUAUUGUUUAAUACAAUAUCCUAAACACAUUGCUUUGAAGGUUACUUAUUUAUUAAGCAUGAUAUUUAUUUUCAUAAAGACAAAUUCAAGUUUUUUAGGAAUUUUUAGAAUUAUUAUAAUUUGGAGUUCACAUUAGAGGAAAAAAAGGAAAGAAAAGAAUAGAUAAUUAAAAAAACAAUUUUAGUAAGUAUAAUUUGUCAUCUUCGGUAUAACAAAUGGGAAUUCCAAAAUAAUAUUUCAAUUUGUUAGUCUAUUCCUUAUAAUAUUAAUUGAAAUAUCAAAUAAGGAGUCACGUUUUGAUUUUUUUAUUAGCUUGAAUUGCAUGUCACAUAUAUUUUAAAAUCAAGCAUACCUCAGCAGGGAAGUUCUUGUAACAUGCAUGAACAUGAUAUGAUGAAUUAAAUAAUUUUCUUAAUUGUGUGAGACACAAACCCUCUUUGUUUAAUAAUAAUAAUAAUAAUAAUAAUAUACUACACAUUAUUAAAUCAUAUAUGUAUAUUUAUAGUCGUAUAAUAUAUUUAUAUAAGUAACAAUAAAUUAUAUUGUAUAAGGUAUCGGUAGGAGUUUUCAAUUCCCUCAUAUAAUAAUAUCUAUCAAUAAUUGGAUUGGACACCUUGCUGGCCAUGAGAAUGGACUUGACAUUAACACAUAGCCUUGAGUGGUGUUGAUAUUAUUACUUUGAACCAGAACUGCAGUCAUCUCAAAAACUAUAUUAUAUAGAAAAGCAAAAUAAAAACAUUAGUUAAAAAAAAUGUCAAGAUCCUUGAAAUCACGUUUCAAUAUGUUAAAUUACCAUUUUUUUAAAUAAAUUUUUGAUAGGUUGUGUGAAUAAAUAUAAUUGCUAUGAAGGGUUUCAAUUUAAUUUUACUAGCAAAUCCAUAAUAGGUGAAAAGACAAAACUACCAUUUUUGUUUUUUUUCUUUAUUUACCUUUUUUCUCUCGUAACCUUACUCCUUUCUCCUUUUUGUUUUUUCCUUUUUUAUUAUUAAUUUGUCUUUUUCCUUUUUCUCAACUAACUAUUUUUUUUCUUGUAAUUGUUAUUAUCAUUCUUAUUAUAAAUAUUAUAACCUUAUAUUAUAAAUUUUUAGUUUAGAUUAUAUUUAAACUAACUAAUGUUGUGGUUUUAAUUGACAUGGAAAAGAAUGUGGUUAUACAUGUGAUUGUCGCCUUUUUUUUUUUCAAUUAGUUAACUAUUGAUACAAGUUAAAAGUAAAAAUUGCAAUAUUAUCUUUACGUCAAUUUCACCGAUCUUUUGUUUUUAUUUUCAUGUAUCAUUCCUUUUUUGGUUAUUUAAUUAAAAGGAUUAAAAAAAAAUCACAUAUUCACAAUAAUAACCUUCAUAUUUUAAAAACAUAAAAUAAACAUUUUUUUUUUUUUAUAAAAAUACCCUCCAACUAUAUUUUUUAUAUCCCUAUUUCAAAUCCAAACACUUCUUUUAAAAAUAAUAAUAAUAAAUAAGGGCAAAAAUGUCAAACUGGGAUUAUAUUUAUAAUUUUCAAUAAUUAGAGGUUGUUUUUCCAAUGUAAAAAUUAUUUUGUUCCUUUGGCACAAAUAUUUCUUUCUUUUAUGUAUUUUUUUUAUUCAAAAUAUUAAACACAUUACCCUCAAGGUUACUAUUUAUUAUGAAUGGUGUUUACUUUACAUAACGAGAUAUUCAAAUUUUUUAGAAUUUUUUAAUGUUAAAAUAAUUUGGAGCUUAAUAGGGAAAAAAAAGAAGAAAGAAUAGAUAAUUAGAAAAGCAAUUCAAAAAAAUAAAAUUUAUCCUCUUAAAUUGGUUUUGUGUAAUACUAUAGAAGCCAUUUCUUGAGUUUGAUAUGGUAGAAUUUGGAUUCAUAUUUAUUUUAAAAUCAAGAAAUUCAAGUGUUGGUAGCAUCAAUAGAAUCUUAACAAAUUUGAAAAAAAAUAUUUAGGUAGAUCACAUUUAAAUAUAGCUAAUAGAAUAAAAAAUUAGUAUUAUUAGAAAGACAUGAUCAAUUAAAUCUUUUUUCUUAUCUAUGACACCGACUUUAUUUUUUUACAUAGUCAAUACAAUUUAUUACAACUUAUAUGUCAUUAAAUUAUAUACGUUUAUAUUAAAUAUAAUAUAAGACCAUUAAUGGAAUAAUUAUGCAAGUAAUAUAAAUUGUAUAUAAUAUAAAAAAUUUAAACUCCAUCAAACUAAUGGAAUCUAUUAUAAUAAGUAGACUAGACACCAUGUUGGCCCGAGUUGCAGGCCUGGGCCAGAUUUUAAAGGCUGGGCUUUGAGUUGCCCGUGGGCCUGAGCCAAGGCCUUCUCUUGGUAUCAUCAUUUUGAAGAAAUAAAUUGCUGAUACAGAGAAAAAAACUAUACUAAAUAGAAAAAUAAAUAAAAGCAUUGACUAAAAUGAAGGUCAAGGUCCUUGAAAAAUAAUCUUUAAAUUGUUGCAUAUAUAAUUUCAAUAAUGCAUAAAUAAUUGCAAUAUAUAUGAUAUGAUAAAGAAUUUGGAAUUAAAAGAAGAUUGAUCUAUUUUAAAUGUGGUUGGAAUAUUUCUAAAUUUGUGAUGGGAAGUUAGACAGCCAAUUAGGGAUCCAUAUUAUUUAUUUUCAAUGAUAUGAAUUUAUUUACUUUUAUUAAUAUUCUUAAUGCAACAAUAUAAAAUAUGUCAAUUUUCUAAAAUUUAAAAAGUAAUUGUAAAAGAAUUUUUUUUAAUUAUUUUUCUGAAAUUGAGUUUAUUAUAACAUUUUUCUUUACAUAAAUUUCUUUUUUAUUUUUAUUUUUUUUAAAAUGAGAUAUGAAAAAAAGAGAUCAAUAUUAGUACAAGUAAAACCCAAUAUAUAUAUAAAAAAAAUGAAUAAAUGUUUAUGAAAUAUUUUUUCUCUUUUAAUUCCUAUUCAAUUCAUUACACAAAAUAUUUUUGGUUUUUAUGCUAAAAUUUAUUGUUUAUUCAAAAAUUCUAGUAUACCUAGCUAUCAUAGAAGAGCCCCAAAAUUUUAUUGUUUAAGAGAAUAUGUGUUGCCACUUUAAAAGAUUUAUAUGCAAAAGGGAUUGAUAUUUUUUUCCUUUGGAUAUAUUUAGUUCCCGGAAAAUUUGAGGGAAAAUGUGAGGGAAGAAAAAUAGAGAAGAAAAGUAUAACGAAAUAAAAAGUGAAGGAAAAUGAAAAAUAGAUUUAAAGUUAAUAAAUUAUUUUCAUUGGUUUUUUCAAACUUAUUUUACUUAUUUUAUUCUAUUAAAUAAAGAUUAGCUAAUUUUAAUUAUAUUUGGUUUGAUUUUUAUUAUUUUUCAAAGCAAAACCAAAUAUGAAAAAAAAAACAUUUUUUUUGUUCAUUUUUUCUUUCCUUAUUACUUUUCAAAACUCAAACAUAGCUUUUAGAUUUGGAGCAUGGAAAGAUAAGAGUAUUGAAUAAAGGUUCUAUAUAUGCCCAUGCCCAUGAUACCAUUGAAAAAAAUGGAGAAAGGGUGAAACUUUUUCUCUUCAAUGGAAAUCAAAUAUAAUUAUUUUUAUCUUGUAGUAAUUGAAUGUUAUACUCCAUAAACUCAAAAUUAAAAUAAAUAAAAAAUUUAAAAACUAGGACAAUCCCAUUUUUUUUUUCAAUUUCUUAAAAAGAAAUUAAAUUACAUUUAUUUAUAUCUAUUUUCAUCCCUACCCAAAAAAAUAAAAAAAAAAUUAACAAGGUGGGACAUGUAUGAGAAAUUCUCACACUAACUCUCUCUAGUUUAUUUUUUAUUUUUUAAAAAAAAUCAAUUUCUUUUAAAAAAAUUAAACUAUAUAAAAAAUAAAUAUAAUUUAAAAUAAAAUAAUUUAACAAUUUUUUUUUUAAGAAAAGUAAAUUUCUUAUUUUAUAUAUGUUAAAAAUAAAUAUAAUCUUUUAUUUUUUUAUAUAUAUAAUCGGGUAAGGUAGAGUGGGACAAAGAAAUAAUCCCCUUCGAUUCCAAUAUGAAUUUUUAAAAUAUAAAAUAAAAAUCUUAAACUCAUCCCUAAUCCAUUUAUUUUUAAUCCUAAACUCGUCUUAUUAAGAAUAAGGCAAAGUGAGUACAUGAAAACACUUCUUUUAUCAUCAUCUCUACAAGUUCUAAUGUUUAGACUGCAAUCCAUAUCAAAGAUUUAUAAAGAAAGGACAACGAUGAAUUUCAUAAACAUUUGAAAGCAUAUACGUACAAAGUUUUAAAUAAUAUUGCUUGAGGUGCAAAUAUUAUUUGGCGCACAUAUUGAGGGACUUCAACUUGUUUUUUACAUUAGUAAGUAAUCUUGAAUAUCUAGAGUAACUUGACCAAAAUCUCUUUAAUUUUAUUUUCUUUGAUGGUUGUAUGAUGAAUUAGAAUGCUUAUAUAACAUGAUUAAAAAUUUUAAGAAAAAAAAAACUAAGAAGAAAGAAAGAAGCACCGAUCUUCCAAAUAUUGCUUCCACUUUAAUAUCUAGAAGGCUCUAAGAAAAGAACUUUUUUCAUGAAUCAUAACCCAAGUCGAAAAUAAAUUGAACCCAUUUUCUAAGUUAAAUUUUGAAUUUUUUACUAGUGAAUGCAAAUUGGGAAAAUGUAUAUAAAUAUAAUUAAACUAGAAUAGUAGGUUAGGUUUGUAGGUGGAGUUUGUUUGAAUUGUUGGAACUUCCAAGUCGUUGUGGGUCUAGUGGUCCCAUAGCUCUCUAUUAAUUUCCACCAUCAAUUUUCUGCAAUAAAGUCAAGUCAUUCCUAACCCCUAUAUUAAGUUGGCCUUAAAAGUCAAGUCAUUGAUCAUAGUUACAUUCAUGAAUCACAACCUAAGUCGAAAAUAAAUUGAACCCAUUUUUCAAGUUCAACUUUGAAUUUUUUACUAGUGAAUGCAAAUUGGGAAAACAUAUAUAAAUAUAAUUAAACUAAAAUAGUAGAUUAGGUUUGUAGGUGGAGUCUGCUUAAAUUGUUGAAACUUCCAAGUCAUCGUGGGCCCAGUGGUCCCAUAGCUCUCUAUUAAUUUCCACCAUCAAUUUUUUGCAAUAAAGUCAAGUCAUUCCUAACCCCUAUAUUAAUUUGGCCUUAAAAGUUCAGUCAUUGAUAGCUAAAUCCCAACCCAAGUCAAAAAUAAAUUGAACCCAUUUUCUACGUUCAACUUUGAAUUUUUUUUAAUUGGAAAAAUGUAUAUAAAUACAAUUAAACUAGAAUAGUAGAUUAGGUUUGUAGGUGGAGUCUGCUUGAAUUUGUGAAACUUCCAAGUCAUCGUGGGUCUAGUGGUCCUAUAGCUCUCUAUUAAUUUCCACCAUCAAUUUUCUACAAUAAAGUCAAGUCAUUCCUAACCCCUAUAUUAAUUUGGCCUUAAAAGUCUAGUCAUUGAUAGCUACGUUCAUGAAUCCCAACCCAAGUCAAAAAUAAAUUGAACCCAUUUUCUAAGUUCAACUUUGAAUUCUUUUAAUUGGGAAAAUGUAUAUAAAUACAAUUAAACUAGAAUAGUAUAUUAGGUUUGUAGGUGGAGUCUGCUUGAAUUUGUGAAACUUUCAAGUCGUCAUGGGUCUAGUGGUCCCAUAGCUCUUUAUUAAUUUUCACCAUCAAUUUUUUGCAAUAAAGUCAAGCCAUUCCUAAACCAUAUAUUAAUUUGGCCUUAAAAGUCAAGUCAUUGAUAGUUACGUUCAUGAAUCACAACCCAAGUCUAAAAUAAAUUGAACCCAUUUUCCAAGUUCAACUUUGAUUUUUUUACUAGUGAAUGCAAAUUGGGAAAACGUAUAUAAAUAUAAUUAAACUAGAAUAGUAUAUUAGGUUUGUAGGUGGAGUAAGCUUGAAUUGUUGAAACUUCCAAGUCAUCACGGGUCUAAGGGUUCCAUAGCUCUCUAUUAAUUUUCAUGGUCAAUUUUUAUGAAUUAAGAUUUAAAAGUGAGAAGGGAAUAAAUUUUUUCUUUUUCAAUUCAUUACAAAAAAUAUUUUUGGUUUUUAUGCUAAAAUUUAUUGUUUAUUCAAAAAAUUAAAGUAUAAAUAUAUAUAUAUAUAUCUUGCUAUUAUAGAAGAGCUCCAAAAUUUUUGUGUUUAAGAGAAUAUGUGUUGCCACUUUAGAAGAUUUAUAUACAAAAAGGAUUGAUGUUUCUCCUUUGACUAUGUUUGGUUCCCAAAAUUUGAGGGAAAUAAAAAAAAAAUAGUAAAAAAGAAAAAAUGAAAGAAAAUAAAAAAUAGUUUUAAAGUUAAUAAUUAUUUUUAUAUGUUUUUUCAAACUUAUUUUACUUUUUUUUUCAUUAUAUAAAGAUUAAAUAAUUUUAAAAUGCAUAAAUUUCUAACUAAUUUUAAUUAUAUUUAAUUUUUCUUUUAUAUUUUUUAGAUAGGAUCCGACACAUGAAAAAUCCUUUUUUUUAGCAUUUUUUUUUCUUUUCUUAUUACUUUCCAAUAACCAAAUAUAACCUUUAGAUUUAGCCUUUAAACUUGGAGUAUGGAACGAUACUGAGUAUUGAAAGAAGGUUUUGUAUAUGGCCAUGAUACCAUAGAAAAAAUGGGCGAGAGAGAAAAAACCUUUAUUAAAUGAUAAAUUAUUUUUUUCAAUGGAAAUCAAAUAUAAUUAUUUUUAUAAUAAUUACUUUAUUUUUUUUAAAAAUAAUAAUUUGUUGUUGCAUUAAGUAUUCUUGCAUUUGGAGAAGCAUGUUACUACUUACUACAUAAAUAGAUAUUCAUGGAGUGCAUUCUCUAAAAAGCUCCAGUCUCAUGAAAAUGGAAAGAUGGACCGGCCGGUGAACCGGUUCGAGUUUGGAUUUAUUGGCUGCCUCAGCCUUACACGCAUGAUAGGCUGUUGCAGGUGAAGAACUAAUUAAUUUAAAGCCUUCUUCUAUCCUCUCCUAUUCCUCUAUCACUCCAAAUGUUCCACAUGAUAAUGACAAUUCUUUUGUUAAAUGGUAAAAAAAAAAUUUAAAUAUUAUUUAAAAUUUUUUUUAAUUCUAAAUCCAAUGGAAAUUCGACUCUAAGGUGUGUAGAAGGCCCUAGUGCCCAUGUUGCUAAUUUGAUGAUAGUUAAAUUGUCAUUUUGGGAGAUUCCACACACUAGUAUUCUCAUUUAUAAAAUCAUGAACUUUGGCAUCCUAAUUAAUGCAAUUUAAACUUUUUUUGUUUACAAAUGAAAUAAGAGGCAACAUAUAAACCCAAAAGUUAAUUUUCCUACCAUCUCUAUGCACCAUUUUAGCUUUACUCCAAUAUAUUUUCUAUGAUUAAUUAUUUUCAUUCAAACAAUAAUAUCAAAAUAUUUUAAAAUUAGACAUAUCAUAAUCAAAUACCAUUAUAUUAUUACCGAAUAAUAUUUAAUGUAAUUUAAUUAUCAACGUAUACUUAUAAAAUUUAUAUUUUUUAUUAAUGCAUAUAAUAUUAUUAUCAAAUAUGAUAAAUUAUAUAUAUAUAUAUAUAUAUAUAUAUAUAUUUCUUCAACAAAACAACUUUAAAAUAUCUAUUAUAUUUCUAAUUUCAUUUCUAAGAAGUUUUUUUUUUUUUUUUACAUUUUUAUAAGUUUUGAUCAAUUGUAGGCUAACUGAUAUUUUUUAUAUCAAAAUAUCCACCAAUAUAUCUCUGAUAUAUUAGAUAUAUCCGUAAAAUCGAAAUACCAAUAUAUCCGUGAUUAUCGAUAUUUUUAUCCUUGAGGGAUAAUAACUAAUCUAGUUUUUGCACUUAUUGAUAUUUCUCAACAUUUAGAUUGAUUUGACCAAAAUCUUUUUAAUUUUAUUUUCUUUGAUGGUUAUAUGAUGAAUUAGAAUAGUCAUAUAAACAAAUUUAAGAAAAAACGAUAAAAAAGCUCACAUUUUUCAAAUAUUGGUUUCAACUUUGAAUAUUUUUAUUGGUAAAUGAAAAUUGUGAAAAACCUACUAAUGCUAAUACUUUUCACCACAUAAUUAAAUAUAAUAAACUAGAAUAGUGAUUCAUUGAUGUCUUAUAAAGCUACAUGCCUACUUUGACUUGUUAGUUGAUUUUUGUAGGCAGAGUCCAUUUCCAUAUGAAUUGUUGAAACUUCCAAGUCCUUGUGGGUCUAGUGGUCUCUCUAAUAAUUCCCACCAUUAAUUUUUUGUGAUGAAGUGACGUCAUUGAUAGCUACUAUAUCAAUUUGCUAUUAAAAGUCAAGUCAUUGAUAAUUACUAUUCAAUCUUUUUCAAUAUGGAAAUUGGAAUCUCUACUCUUCUCAUUGUUCAUUUUUAGGUAAUGUGAGAAUGUGAGAAUGUGUGAACAUAAAUGUCUUCUAAUCAACCAAUUUUUUUUGAAAAAAACAUGUACAAAAUUGCAAACUUGCAAAAUCAAACUUUCUUGUUGAAUAACCAUAGCUUGAUGGUUUUGAAGAAUCAAAGGAUGAAUCAUAAAAGGGUAUUUGAUAAAAAAUAAAAAUUAAAAAAAUUAAAAGACAACUACUCCCUUAGGUGUAAUAAGUGUAUUUGGUAGCACAAAUUUCCUACCACUUAUUAUUUUUUCCUUUCUUAAAAAAUUAUUUACUCUAUUAAAUAAACUAACCUUGGCUUAUCACUUAUAGCAAAAUAGGUUAAGUACUUUUUAAAAUUUUAUAAUAUUAGAUUUACAUUUUUAUCCUUCAAAAUUUCAUUAAUGUUAGAUUCUUCUAUAUGCUUAACUAAUAAAUAAUUUUUAGCAUUUUUCUUUUCUUAUAAACAUAAAAAAAUAAAAAUAUUAUUAACUUAUUGGUAUAUUUUAAAAUUUUAAUUAGAUUUAAGCUUUUAUUUAUUUGGAUUACCAAUUAUACAUAUAAAUCCUUUAUUAUUAUUGUUAUUAUUGAAAGAAAGGGGUUGAAUAGGUAGUCCCUCAAUCCCCAAAUUAAAUUCUUUAUUGCCUACUUUUGGUUUAUUCCUUUACAUGAAUUCCUUGGUGAGAGUAAACAUUUCAUUAAUAGAUAAAUAAAAUUGAUUCCAUAUCAUAGGGUAUAAUGUGGAAAAAUCACCAGUCUCAUGUGUUCCUUAGUGGAUCCUUUGGAGCCCUUAUCAAAGUUUCAUGAUGAAACCAUUGACUUUUGUUUAACCCAAAUGUGCUUUCAAGACAAAUCUUGAAAUAUUUGAGAGAUGGAGGUUCAAGUCUUUUAUGAACGACCAUGUUCUCUUAGGGUUCAUGAAAAUUCACACCUUUUGAUAAAUAAAACUUAUCUAUUUAUACGUCUAAAACCCAGUAUUUAUUUAUUUAAUUAUAGAAAGUUUCUUAGUUUUAAAAACAUUUCAAAAAUCAUUUUUAGAAUCAAAUAAUAAUUUUAGAGAUAAACACAAUAUUAAAAUUUAACAAAAACAAAAUUUCGAAUUAAAAACACAAUAUAAACUAAAUUACAAAAUAUAAAGGAAUUUUUAUCCUAAUUUCUUGUUUCAAAACCAAAUGGAACACCUAGAAGGGGAGUGAAUGGGUGAUUUUAAAAUUUUUCAAUAAUGAUUUAUAAGUUAUACCCAAUUCUUUUACCCUGCGAGUUGUUAGGGACUAUCAAUUCUUUCCUUUUGGCAAUUCAAACAAUAUAUCAAAUAAUAAAAAGAUAUAAAUAAUGAGACAUAAAGAUUUUUACAUGGAAAACCCCCCACACUAACCAUGGAGAUAAAAAGCCAUGGAGUCUAAGACCUAUUAAUCUAAAUUCACUGUACGAAAUCAAGUUACACAAAUUUAUUUGAUAGCUUUAACUUAAAGACUUACUCUCCGGUACUGACAACUUGAUUCACAUCCACAACGUAGCAACCCUCAAUUACUCCAAUGGAUCACUUCAAGCUUACUAAAAGGAUGAAGGCCUUCAAACCAAGAUUCAAAAAUCAAUUCCUUGAAUGAAAGAUCAGGGAUGGUGUGCCACUUUAGGCUUUCUCUCUAAGAACUCUAAAAUGAUCUCCUCAAUGAAAACCUCUUAAACAAAAUGAGAUAUUUCCCCACAAUCUCUAAUCCUCAAGGGGUUAUAAUGAGAUAUUUAUAAGCAACUAAGUUGAAGAGUUUCAGUUUUGGAACAUGACCGCUCGAGCCAACACACUUCCUACUUGAGCGUUUCGGGCACUUGAGCGGUAAGGCUCGCUUGAGUUGUCCUAAGCGCUUGAGCAUUCCAAGCUACUUGAGCAAUCUUGCUCUAUUUCAAAAGUUAAUUUUAAAUCAUUUUAAGUUCAAAACAAAAUUGAUUCCCUUUAUACCUCAAAGUAGCCUAACUUACAAACCAAACUUUUUUAGAUAUACUUGUGACUUCCUGGUUGGACGAACAACUCUUAAUCUUCAAUGGAAAGCAAGUCAUUAUCUAAAAAGAUUUAUAUGGUCAAACAUAAAAAAACAAAAACAAAAAAAUUGCCAACAUAACAACAAGACUCAAUGUCCUAACAAUCUCCCCCUUUGGCAAUUUUAUGACAAAAACAACAUUACAUAUACCCACUUGAACUCUCAUAAUGGAGUUUAAUAAUACACAUUAAUGUUCAAUUAAAAAUAAACUAAGGGAAUACUUUGUAUCACUUUGUAGUAUUUGUCUUCCAACUUUGUAACCUACACACAUAUAGAAAACUAUACCAAAGGUAAAGCAAUGUGUAGGAUAAGAUAUGAUCAAGAAAGCAAAAUAGGAUAAUUGAAAAUUUUGCUUGAUGCCUUGUGAAAGCAUGAAAAGGGAACAAAUUCAUAUAGUAAUACCAAGGGACAAAGCAAAACUAGAGAAGAAUAUAUAUGUAUGCAAAUCAACCAAACAUAAUAAAAGCUACAUAAGAUGCAAUAGAUCAAUAAUAAUGCCUAGGGGUCUAUCUCCAACCAGAAAAUAGGGAGUGAAAAUCAUAGGAAGAACCUUCUGUGACUUAGAAAGGUUCUAGAGAGAUAGUCAAUUCAAACAUAAAUAUCUUGCUAGAAACAUCUAUGUUAUGUAUCUCUCUAAACCUUCUAAGUUAUGCUUUCAUUAGUUGAUUUGGUUUUUCUCCAAUGUCUCAGGUUUAAUUUCCUCUAAUAUUUCAAUUAGAGAGAAAUUGGUAGUCGAUUGACUUAGUGGGUGUUUGGUAAAACUUAAUACUUAUUAUUUAAUGAUUAACUUUAAGUUAAAUUGUUCUUAAGUUAUUAAUUUAAAAUUUAUUACUUAUUUUGUAUUUAAGUACUAGGGUUAUUUGAAAAAAUCGACUUAAAAUUUAUUCUAAAUCAUCAAAAUGACACAUUUACCCUUAUUAAUUUUAACUUAUAUUUAUUUUCAUUAAUUUUAAACAAUAAAUUUAUUCAUAAAACAUCUAUAUUUUUGUAGAUACAUAACCAUAAAAUAUUUACUAUAAAAAAUGAGUCAUGGAUGUAGAAUUAUAAUUCUAAAAUAUACACUUAUGAGUGUGGGUAAAUAAGGCAAAAAUGAUUUGAGAUUAAGAGUAAAGUUAAUUAUUUUGACUUAAGACUUCAAGUUAAAAAUAACUUUAAGUUGCAAUAUUAAGUUAUUUUAUCAAACAUGCUUAAUUUACUUAACAACUUAAAUUAAGUUAUUAAGUUGAAUUAUCAAACACCCCACUAGUAGUAUGUUGAAAAUUCACACCUUUUGAUAAAUAAAACUUAUCUAUUUAUACGUCUAAAACCCAGUAUUUAUUUAUUUAAUUAGAGAAAGUUUCUUAGUUUUAAAAACAUUUCAAAAAUCAUUUUUAGAAUCAAAUAACAAUUUUAGAGAUAAACACAAUAUUAAAAUUUAACAAAAACAAAAUUUCGAAUUAAAAACACAAUAUAAACUAAAUUACAAAAUAUAAAGUAAUUUUUAUCCUAAUUUCUUGUUUCAAAACCAAAUGGAACACUUAGAAGGGGAGUGAAUGGGUGAUUUUAAAUUUUUUCAAUAAUGAUUUAUAAGUUAUACCCAAUUCUUUUACCCUACGAGUUGUUAGGGACUAUCAAUUCUUUCCUUUUGGCAAUUCAAACAAUAUAUCAAAUAAUAAAAAGAUAUAAAUAAUGAGACAUAAAUAUUUUUACGUGGAAAACCCCCCACACUAACCAUGGAGAUAAAAAGCUAUGGAGUGUAAGACCUAUUAAUCUAAAUUCACUGUACGAAAUCAAGUUACACAAAUUUAUUUGACAGCUUUACCUUAAAGACUUACUCUCCGGUACUGACAACUUGAUUCACAUCCACGACGUAGCAACCCUUGAUUACUCCAAUGGAUCACUUCAAGCUUACUAAAAGGAUGAAGGCCUUCACACCAAGAUUCAAAAAUCAAUUCCUUGAAUGAAAUAUCAGGGAUGGUGUGCCACUUUAGGCUUUCUCUCUAAGAACUCUAAAAUGAUCUCCUCAAUGAAAACCUCUUAAACAAAAUGAGAUAUUUUCCCACAAUCUCUAAUCCUCAAGGGGUUAUAAUGAGAUAUUUAUAAGCAACUAAGUUGAAGAGUUUCGGUUUUGGAAGGUUUCUUAAUUGAAUUUGUGUGAAAAACUCAACAGAAUCAACAUGACCGCUCGAGCCAGCACACUUCCCACUUGAGCAUUUCGGGCACUUGAGCGGUAAGGCUCGCUUGAGUUGUCCUAAGCGCUUGAGCAUUCCAGGCUACUUGAGCAAUCUUGCUCUAUUUCAAAAGUUAAUUUUAAAUCAUUUUAAGUUCAAAACAAAAUUGAUUCCUUUUAUACCUCAAAGGAACCUAACUUGCCACAAACCAAACCUUUUUAGAUAUACUUGUGACUUCUUGGUUGGACGAACAACAACUCUUAAUCUUCAAUGGAGAGCAAGUCACUAUCUAAAAAGAUUUAUAUGAUCAAACAUAAAAAAACAAAAAAAUUGCCAACAUCACAACAAGACUCAAUGUCCAUGCAUGGUCACCUGAAAGUUGACUCCAACCACAAUAUAAUGCAUGUUCUCAUAGAACAUGUGAACAAGAUGGAGAUAGAAAGUCCCUUAGAGAGAAAACAGAGUCUUCUAACCCUACUCUUGAAUGAUGAUAGGGAAGACAGUGUCCUGAAAAGCUUAGAGGUUAAUGGCAUGUUGAGGCUCGACACACCGAUAUGUGAAAGAAGCGUAAUAAUGGUCCCAUGCCACCUGGCAGUGAAAGCGCUCAAUCGAAAGUGCAUCUAGGUUAAAAAGACCCUAGAGUGGGAUGCCCUAGACGGUUUUCAGUGACCUAGGAAAGGUCACCUCCCUCUGAAAUCUAUGACUAGCCAUAUCUAAGGUAUAUAAUAUGAAAAAAAAAAAGCUAAAGAAAAACUAAAGAAAAUCCAAAGAAAAGCUAAACCACUAAAAAUGUUAAACUCAAUGCGUCGAACAAUACUAUACAAAUGGAAAUGAAAAAUAUGAAGCGAACUGACCUCAGAAGACAAAAGGACAGUUACCCAGAGGGCUCGAAGAGGAAUAGGAAAGUUUGAAAUGAAUAUUGUGUGAUGGAUGACCUUUAUAUAGCUUAUAGGAGUGCUUGAUGCAGAUUAGCACUUGAGCGUCAUGACUAACUUAAAUCAAAUUAUUUAUUAAUAUGGAAAUAUUUUAUAAGUUUCAAAGGAAGUAUUCAAUUUAGAACCUUUUUAGAAUUUUUUUGAAAGAAACAAAAAUAAAGCGUGAAAUAUUAUGUGUUAAAGGUGUUAGAAGACAAUAUUGUCUAAUCAAAAGCCUUACACAUUCCCAAAAAAAAAAAAAAAAAAGGAAAAAAAAAGAUACUAUAUAAGAUUUUGAUCACAUCUAAUAGAAACUAAUAUUUAGCAACAUAUCACCAAGCACUAUCUUAUCAGAAAGCUCUAACAUGUUGGAAAUUUAUGUAAGGUUCCAUAACAACUAACAACUUUUUAUGACGACUCGGUAAUGGACCAUUUGCACUUCAACUACAUUAUUAAAUUUAAAUCAUAUUAGAAUAUAAUUGACUUCUCUUUUGUGAGGUUACAUAUCUUGUAGGAUGGGAUAGGUGAUUCAUUUCAUAUAUGAAAUUUUCUUAAUUUAGUAAUGCUUCCAAGUUCAUUAUGAAUCUAAUGGUAUCACAACUCCUUGAAUAUUUGUAAUCUGUAAUCUUUGCUUCAACUUCUCAAGUCUAGUCAUUUUAUCGGCAUAACUAGUUUGCUUCAAUUAUCUCUCAACUUUAUUAUAAAACUAAGGGAAAGGAUUGUCACUCAUUUUAUAUUAACUUAACCAAACAUCUUUAUAUAUAUAUAUAUAUAUAUAUAUUGUAAAUUUAGGAAAAAUUCAUCCAUUAGCCAUAGUAAGUAAGAAUCAAAUAAGGGAUAUGUAAGCCAAUGGUGAUAUUGAUGGCGUUAAAUCAAUGACAUAGUAGAAAAGUGGAUUGUCUAUUUUCAAACCUUUAUAUUUUCAUGCAAUAGUAAAAAGGUUAAGGCAUCACUUGAAAAGUAGUUCGUUUUUUACCUUGGACUAUGAUUUAUGAAUAAAGUUCUUCUGUUGUAUACCUUUUGUGAUGCCCCAACCUAAUUUAGGGGUAAAAAAAUAAUUUAGAAAAAAAUAAAUAAAAAGUUAAAUAAAUUUAAUUAAGGUAAAAAUGUAUUUUUGUAUUUAAAAUUCCUAGGUAUCAAUUAUAUAUUUCUUGUCUUCUCUAUUCAAAAAACCAUAUUACACAAAAAUCAAAUAUCAGAGAACAUAGGACAACGCAGGGUUGAAGAUUUGGAGGUUUAGGGUUGAAGAUUAGUUUUCCAGGUAAGAUUCUAACCCUUAAAUUAGUAUUUUAGAUUCGUUAAUUAGUUUGAACACUUUAGAUAUUCUUUGAAAAAUCUGAAUAUACAUUAGGGUUUGUUAAUUUAAUUUUUAAAUAAAAAAGAUUGAAAAUUUAUGAACAUAAGUAGAGUUAUUAUUAAAGAUUGAAAAUUUUUGAAUAUUUGAAUUAAAAAUCUAGAAAAAAAAGAAGAAAAUAAAUUAUAGCUUUGGACGUGGAAAAAAAUUAAUAUUAAUUAAUAAAUAAAACCUAUGAGUAUGGAAGUAGAAAAAUAUGAGAGUUGAAAGCAAAGAAAAAAAAAGAGAAUAAGGUUUUGUGGUUGUACAUGCCUCCUUAGUGGAAAAAAAAAAUACAAGGUUGCUUGCAAUAGGAUAUGACAAAGAGAGAGAGAUAAAUGCUUAGAUGUUGAUUUUUGUGGGGAAAAAAAGAUUGGGUAAUGUAGGAGAGAAAUAGGUAGCACUUUUAGAGUCGGUGGAGUUGUUGUAAAAGCUCGUAGGGGUAAUUGUUAGGUAGUAGUAGGGUAUGAGAUUAAUUGUUAGGAAACAUUAGGACUUGAAAUAAUAAUAAUUGCUUCUAGUAAAAGUUUUAAUUUAGUUUAAGUAUAUAAAAGAAAUAGAUGAUUAGAAUAAGAUUUGGAAGGAAUAUGAAUUCAUAAAAAUUUCAAAAUUUACUAAUUUAGAUUAUUAUUGUUUUGGAAGUUGAAUAUAAUAUAGGUGAUAAUAUUAUUAAUAUAGGAAAUGAUUAAGAUUCUCAAACCUACAAUUUUAGAUAAAUAGUUAAUAGUAAUAGUUGAUUUUUUAUUUUUUUUUUAUUUUUUAUUUUUUAUGUUAUGUUAAGUGAAUAAUGGAUUCUUUGAUUAAUUCUCUAAGGUUUCUAAGUGCUUCUUUAAGGUAAGGGAUAUUAAUACUGAUUUUGUAAAUGAAAAUAUUUCUUUUUAUAAGUUAUUUUAAAUUAUGAAAAUUUUUAUUUUUAUUUAUGCAUGGAUCAAAUAUAUAUUUUUUCAUGAGAAACAUGUUUGGGCAAUUUCUUUGUUUAUAAAUAAAUAAAUGAAAACUUUGGAAAUAUAAUGUUUUGUUUUGUAAGUUUAAAAUAAUGAAAUAAAGUUUUUGACUCUGGUUUAUAUGACCUUAGUUAAUAGGUUAUAAUUGUUGACAUUUUCAGCUCCAGUCAACGAUUAUAAUUGUUGACAUUUUCGGCUCUCCAAUCAAUGAUUAUAAUUGUUGAGAUUUUCAACCCUAGCCAACGGGUUAUAAUAGUUGACCUUAUAGCCCUAGUCAACAGAUAUAAUUGUUAACCUUUGGCUUUUCCCAUCUUAAAAAGAACAAAUUUAAGGCUAGCCAUUUAUUUGUAAAGUCCCACCUAACUAAGUACCAUUUGUUAUUUAAUAACCAGAGUAAAGAUAUUUUGAAUGUAUUUGAUGUGAAAUUGUUGUGAUAUUAAUAUGAAAAUGUUUGGUUGAAAAGUUCAAAUGUUUAAUGCAUGUUGAAUUCAAAAGUUUUUAUGAAAAUGAUUAUAUGUUAUAUCUCUUAUUUGUAAGUUUGAUCCAUGAAACUGUAUUAAUAUUCCUUAUUGGACUUUGAGCUCAUUCCCCUUUAUUGAGAAUUUUUUUUCGUAUUCUCAGUUUGGGCAAGGAGUGAUGACUGGGUUGGGGAAUUUUCUUUACUAUGGUUUUGCUUCAAUCUUAUUUUGGACAUUGUUUAGAUGUUAAAAUUUAAUUCCCAUUUAAAUUAUUUGGGUUUGGAGUUAUUUGGACGAUAAAACUUUGAUUGAUGUGUUAGUUUUAAAGUUGAGAAUUGAAAAUUAUAGAAUUUAUUUAUCUUACUACUUUGAACAGAAAUUUAGUAAUUGGAGAUCAUCCAGUUACAAGAUGAAUAUUUGAGUCGUUUCAAGUCGUUUCCACUUUGAGUGUUCAGGCUUAGGGUGUGAAAUGAUCGUUAUGCCCUUGGAGUGGGUAUAUUGUUUAUUUGAAUUUAAUGGUCCCCGAACUCCUUAAUUACUCAUAACUUUAUAUCAGCUUCUCAAAGUUAAGUUGUUUUACAACUACUAUCUAGCUACUUUUCUCUACUAUGACAACUUUAUUACAUAGUGAUUAAUUGAAAGAAUCUACAUGUCUUAUUUCAUAGGAUAGUUGAUUUUUUUACUCAAUGAAUUUUGCUUUUAUUAUUGAAAAUUUCAAAUCAUUGUAGUCCAACAAUUUCCUAUCCAUUGGUAAUUUCAUAUUACAUUUCCAAAGUCUAAUCAUUUAAAAACACUUGUAGUUAAUAUAUUGGCAAUUGCAUUGUGGGAAGUUGUUCACUUGAUUUUAAUGUUGAAACUUUCAAAUUUUUGUAGUCCAACAAUUCCCUAUCCAUUGGUAAUUUCAUAUCACAUUUUCAAAGUAUAAUACUUGUAUAUAGUAUAUUUGGUGAUUGUAGAGUGGAAAGUUGAUCAUUUUCAUGAAGACCUCUAAAAUAGAAUUUUUUUUCAUUCCAUUUAUUAAAGAAUUUCAUUAAUUGAACAUAUAUGUUUUUUUAACCGAAAAGUAGAGGCCACAUUAUACGAGGCCUUAGGUGACAAUACUAGGUGAGGGCUUUUUUUUUUAAUUUAUUUAUUACGAAAUAUAAAUAAUAUUAUUUAUUGUAUAAUAAAGAUUAUUAUAAUAUAUUUUUUAUAGAUGAAAAAAAAUAUUAAUUGAGUUUUAUUUUUUUAAAUAAUUGUUUUCAAUAAAUAACGUAUUUGUAAAAAGAAAACUAUAAAAUAUAUGCAUUUGAAAAAUAUUUAAUUUUUAUUUGAUUUAGUAUCAAUUAAUAUUUGUAAUAUUUUUUAAUAUUAUAGAAGUUAACAUACUCAAUUAAGAUAUUCAAGAUCAAGAGAAUAUUUGAGAUUGAAUUAAUUUCUUUAUUGUUUAUGUUUUAGUAAAUUUUUAUAUCCAUUAAAAUUUUUUUAUUGUUUAUUUUUCAUUCAAUGUUUGCAUUUUGUAAUAGAUAUUAAAACAAAUUUUUUUCUUGUAUGUUAAAAAAAUAUUUCAAUGUCUUUAAAAAUAAAAUAUUGUAGUAAAAUCAAAAUUACAUUGUGAAACUUUAAGCGAAUGUUUUAUACUAAAGAAGUGCCAAUUAAAGUAAGCAUGCAUCUACAAUUGUAAUUUAGAUGUCAUAUUGAAACAAUAGUUCUCUUUGACUAUAUCAUAAAAUUUGGUUCGAAUUACUUUAAGUCAUCUUGUAGAUUUUCAAGUUCCAAUGAUAUGCAUCAAGUAUGUGCAACAUACUUGAUAUGACUAAUAUUUUCUUAAGUAAUUGGACACUUUUUUCUAUAAAUUUACUUGAUUAUCAAUGAAUACUUUUAUGUAAGGUAUUGAUAUAAUUCGAUAAAUAUUUUAAAAUAGUAUUAGAAUAGCUUUGCUCUUUCCUAAUUAACAAAUUUACUAAAUUAACUUAUAUAUAUUUGUUUAUUUUAAUUUACUGGUAUUUGACUCAAUUUGUUAUUAUUUUUAAAAUUAUAGGAAAACCAUUAUUUAUAGAGUUUAAUUAUAUUUGGUAAAUUAUCUUUUUAAGUUUGACUAGGAUUAGGAAACUAUUAAUUUAAGAUUAAUCCAUAAGGCUCUAUAAAUUUGCAGUUUUAUAUAACAUUUAAAAAAAGAAAGAAAAAGUAAGAAAAAGUGAAGAGAGAUAGGCAAAGAGUGCAUUGGGUUUUAGAUAGAGAAAGGUCGAGAGAGUUUUGAUUACUACUCAAAAAGAACAUAUUUUAGAUAGUAAUUCUCAUGGGUUUCACAUCUUUUGAGUAUUAAUUAUGCCUAAAAAUGCUCAAUUAACAUGUUGUUGCCCUUGCAAGAGUUACUAAUAAGUUUUAUAAAGUUUUGGAGUCAUUUCAAGUUAUGAUUUUAAUAAAUUGGUGAUGAAAGAGAUGAAUUGAUUUGAAGAAGGAAAAUAAUAUUGAUGAUGAUCCAAAUGCAUAAUGAAAGAAGCAAUAUAAUUAGUUUGAUCGGGAUUUGCUGCUAAUUUGGAGGUAGUUAAGGUGGAGUCAAAAGAAGAAAAUGGAAGAAAUGACAAAGAGGAACUUAAAAACCAAAUGUUGCAGAUUUGUAUGAUCAUUCAAAAAUUACAUGACUAUGCCAAAUGGAUUAGAGAAGGAAAAUUGACUAUAGUAUAAGGAGGAUGCUUAAGUUGAUUUAGCAUGAACAUGAGAAAAUUUCGCAUGAACAUGCGAAAAUUUUGCACAAUCAUGCGAAAUGGUCCAGAAAGCUCUCUAAUGUUGUUGUUGCUCCACUAAUUUCGCACCACCAUGCGAAAUCGAUCUUUUCAUGCAAAAUGGCUGAAGCUCAUGUGAAAUCAUGAUUUUGAUGCUAAACUCCAGAUUUGUGAAUUUGGAAGGUUUUAGAAGACCAAUGAGAGGUUGCCAAGUGUCCACUUGACCUUGGUCUAUAAAUAGAAACUUGAAUUUCCCAUGUAAAGAGCUUUGUGAUACUUUUGAUUUUAGAUUUUUCUAGAAACUCUUUCUCUAAAUAGAAUUCUAUAUUUUCUUUAAUUUUCCCUCAUUUUCUCAUUAGCCAAACAUGCCUAGUGAGACCAAAUUUCCAAGUAUGAGUGACUAAAUCUCGUUUUUCUCAGAGGAAUGAGGAUCUAGAGGCAAGAUCUAUGGUGAAUUAUAGAAAUGAGUUUUAAUUGCAAAUGUAAUUUGAUUCAAUUGAUUGAUUAAUUGAAAUUCGAGGAUUUUUCUCUUCAAAUUGUCCUGAAUGACAAUUACAUUGCAAACUAGGCAGAUUAAUUAAAUUCUUAAAGUUAGAUUUAAUGAGACUGAAUAGUUGCAUUGUAUGAAUCAUUGGAAGAUGAUUUAAGAUGAAUUGAAUAUAUAAUUUAAAUUCAUAUCUUGGAUUAAAUAACCUAAUUUGAAGAGAAAUUAGGUUUAGACUUAAAGGGAAAUCUAAAAUCGGUUUAGAUAAGAAUUUAGGUUUUCAAUCUAACUUGAUGAAAAAUAAAUCUCAACAUUUAUUCACCAUGGAAAUUGUUUUCUAAAAAAUAUUAACUCUGAGAAUUCCUUUUCCUUAUCAGUUUUCUUAUAUUCUACAUUAUAUUAUUCUUUUCGAUUAGAAAUCAUUGUUAUUUUGAUUUUUCGUGAAUUGUCAAAUCAAUUUCACUUGACCAUAAUCAUUUCUUUUCCUCUCAUUUAAACCUUAAUUAUCGAGAAUAAUCCAUCCCAAUAGAAGACACCUAAGACCACUAUACUACUGUAGCUUUUGCUAAAAAACCUUUUUGAUCGGGCAAGAGUUACCUUAGCAUAGUUGAAUUAGGUUAUAAAUUUUUUAUCCAAUAAACAACAAAAAAAUCAAUUGAUCAAGUUUACAUUGUGUAUUCUUGAAUUUUAUUAAUAAAUUUGAUCCCCUUUUUUGAAGCGAUUACACCAAACCAAGUAAAUAUUUUAUCUACUUCAUUUGCUUUAUUUUUUCUAUUAAGUUUAGGUGUUGCAAUUUUUAAGAGUCAUGGUGAGAAGAUUGUGGGAAAAAUUAUUUUAAGGAUGGAGUCGAACAUAAAAUAUGAAAUUGAGUCCUUUGAUGGAAAUAAUAAUUUUAAUAUUUGAUAGAGUAUUAUUAAAGAUGUUUUGAUACAACAAAGACUUCUCAAAGCAUUACAAGGCAAAAAAAACUAGAGAGCAUGACAAAUAAAGAAAUGAAAGAAUUACAAGCAAGAGUUGUAAGUACUAUUUGUUUAAGUCUUAAAAAUGAAAUACAUUGUUUUGAAUGAAAAAAAUAUUCUUUUAGGGGUGUCAAUUGCUCUUUUAGAGACCAAAAAUAUUAAGCAAUCAAGUAGUUCAUCUCAUAUUGGACAAACUGUUAUGAUGAAUUCUAAACCAUAUCAUCAUAGGAGUAAAUCGAAAGAAAAGUAUCUGAUAGGAGGAUGAUCAUUCCAUUCACACUUAUAGAGGAAUAUGAAGUAUUAUUNNNNNNNNNNNNNNNNNNNNNNNNNNNNNNNNNNNNNNNNNNNNNNNNNNNNNNNNNNNNNNNNNNUAGUGAUUGUUUUAUGUUGAAGAAAGGCUAAUUAAAGUAAACAUGCAUCUAAAAUUAUAAUUUAGAUGUUGUACUCAAAUAGUUGCUCUCCUCGAUUAUAUCAUAAAAUUUGGUUUGAAGUCUAAGUCAUCUAAUAAUUUUCUAGUUCCAAUUACAUGCAUCAAACAUGUGUGUUAGGAAGUGUUGCAAAUUACUAAUUAGUAUAUAUUCUUUUUUUUUUAAGAAUAUUGUAUUAAAUAUUUCUAGGUUGAUAUAUUAUUGUAAUAUUAGACUUCUUUAUAGAAUAAGGAAGGUUGUUGAAAAUAUCCCUAUAAAUAUUCUAGUUCAUAAGGGGAAAAAGUUUUGAGAUGAAGAUGGACCCAUAAAGACUAUACAAGGUGGAUAGAGAUGUGAGGAAGAACGAGAGGUACCCGAUGGAGCGAGAGGGCUCGUGGUAGGGUAUAGGUACGAAGAGUGAGGAAACAUGGGAUGUUUUGGGAACUCAAUAUUUGUAUCUAGUUAUGUCCUCUAUAAGUUCUAGUUCUGUCAUCUGCAUUGUUCUCUAUUUUAUAGUGGAAUGAUUCUCUCUUAUCUGUGGACGUAGGCAUGGUUUUCGAACCACGUUAAAACCUUGUGUACCGUUUGUGUUGAUUUUUUUUAUCUUUAUUUUCUUGAUUAAUGAAGUUUGCAUCAAAGCUUCUGUCAACGUAACAAACUUGUAUCAAAGUUUGGGAUAAAGAUUUCUAGAAGAGUAAAAGAUCAUAGAGCACACAAGAUGAAAACAAAAGGAAUUUUUAGUGAAAAAGGAGUCAAUUGCUCUCUCGUGGUGAUAUGAUAUAAAAAGUUUAUGUCAUGGAAAGUUUGAAGAUUUACUUCAUGGAAUCUGGUCCAAAAUGGAGAUUGUUAAUAAGUGUCCCAAAUUCCUAAUUAGUAUAGAUUUUUUUUUUUGUAAAGAAUAUUGUAUAGAAUAUUUCUAGGUUGAUAUAUUAUUGUAAUAUUAGACUUCCUUAUAGAAUAAGGAAGGUUGUUGAAAAUAUCUUUAUAAAUAUUCUAGGUCAUGAGGGAAAAAAGUAUGAGAUGAAGAUGGGCCCUAUAAAAACUAUAUGAGGUGGAUAAAGAUGUGAGGAAGAAUGAGAGGUACUCAAUGGAAUGAGAGGGCUCGUGGUAGGGUAUGGAUACAAAGAGUGGGGAAAUAUGGGAUGUUUUGGGAACCUAUUAGUUGUAUCUAGUUCUGUCAUCUAUAAUGUUCUAGUUACGUCCUCUAUAAUGUUCUCUAUUGUAUAGUGGAAUGAUUCUCUUUCAUCCGUGGAUGUAGGCAUGGUUGUCGAACCACAUUAAAACCUCGUGUACUAUUUGUUUUAUUUUUAAAUUUUUUUUAAUCUUUGUUUCUUGAUUAAUGAUGUGUGCAUCAAAGCUUCCAUCUACGUAACAAACUGGUAUCAGAGCUUGGGUUGAAGAUUUUUGGAAUAGUAAAAGAUCACAAAGCACACAAGAUGAAAACAAAAGGAAUUUUUAGUGAAUGUGGAGUCAAUUGUUCUCUCGUGGUGAUAUGAUACAAAAAGUUUGUGUCAUGGAGGGUUUAAUGAUUGACUCCGUGGAAUUUGGUCCAAGGUAGAGAUUGUUAGGAAGUGUCCCAAAUUCCUAAUUAGUAUAGAUUUUUUUUUUUUAAAGAAUAUUGUAUAGAAUAUUUCUAGGUUGACAUAUUAUUGUAAUAUUAGACUUCCUUAUAGAAUAAGGAAUGUUGUUGGAAAUAUUUUUAUAAAUAUUUUAAGUCAUGAGGGGAAAAAUUUAUGAGAUGAAGAUGGGCCUAUAAAGACCAUAUGAGAUGGAUAGAGAUGUGAGGAAGAAUCGGAGGUACCCAGUGGAGCGAGAGAGUUCGUGGUAGGGUGUGAAUAUGAAGAGUGGGGAAACAUGGGAUGUUUUGGGAACCCAAUAGUUGUAUCUAGUUCUGACAUCUAUAAUGUUCUGGUUCUGUCAUCUAUAAUGUUCUGGUUUUGUCCUCUGUAAUGUUCUUUAUUGUAUAGUGGAAUUAUUCUCUCUCAUCUAUAUAGGCAAGUUGCUAAACCACGUUAAAACCUCGAAUACCUUUUGUGUUGAUUUUUUUUAUCUUUGUGUUCUUGAUUAACGAUGCUUGCAUCAAAGCUUCUACCAACGUAACAAUGUGCAACAUAUUUGAUAUAACUUAUAUUUUCUUAAGUAAUUGAACACUUUUUUCUAUAAAUUUACUUGAUGAUCAAUGAGUACCUACAUAUACGGUAUUGACAUAGUUUGAUAAACAUUUUAAAAUAGUAUUAGAAUGGCUUUUCUUUUUCCCAAUUAACAAAUUUAUCAAAUACACACACACACACACACACACAAAAUACUCAUUAGUAUGUCUUUUAUGAAAAAACUAUGUUUGUUUAUUUGAAUUUAGUAGCCAUUCAAUUCCUUAGUUACUCAUAAACUUUUUAUCACCUUCUUAAAGUCAAGUCAUUUACAAUUAUUUUCAAGUCAUUUACAAUUAUUUUAGCCUUCUCCAUUAUGACAACUUUAUAAGAUAGUGAUUGAUUGGAAGAAUCUACAUGCCUUUGUUGAUAGUAUAAUUGUUUUUCUUUUUUUUCGUAUUCAAAGAAUCUUGCUUCUGUUAUUGAAACUUUCAAAUCCUUUAUGUCUAGUGGUCUUAUAAUUCCCUAUUCAUUGGUCUUUCAUAUUACCAAUCAUUUUGCAAAUGAGUUAAUUUCAUUCACAUCCUCUGAGAUUUGAUGUAAAUUCGCUUAGUUACCAAUGAUUUCAAAUUUCAUUAAUUAGUACCCCUACAGAUAUAAUUCGUGUACAAAAUUUAUUUUUUAAAAGAGUUUAGGUAAAAAUAUUUUAGGUAUAUGUCUUUAACAAUUCUCUAAAAUAAAUUUUACUUGCUAAAAAAUAACUUAUAUAGAUAGAAUACAUCUACAGGAGUUCUAACUAACGAAAUUUAAAACUAAUGGUGGUUUAGUGUAUUUAAACUAAACAUUAGGAAGGGUGACUGAAAUUAACCCUCUAGGUAUAUAUGUUUAACAAAAUUUUUAUUGUUUAUUUUUCAUUUAAUGUUUGCAUUUUUCAAUAAACAUUGAAAAGGAAUUGUUUUUCCAUAUGUUAACAAAAAGAAAUUUGAAUACCUAUAAAAAUGAAAUCUUGUAGUAAAAUUGGAGUUACAUUAUCAGACUUUUAACGAGUGUUUAUGUUUAGAAAGGCCAAUUAAAGCAAGCAUGCAUCUAGAAAUUGUAACUUAGAUGCAUCAAACAUGAGCAACAUAUUUGAUAUAACUAAUAGUUUCUUAAGUAACUAAACACUUCUUUUUCUAUAAAUUUACUUGAUUGUCGAUGAAUACUUACAUACAUUUACAUAGUUUGAUAAAUAUUUUAAAAUAAUAUUAGAAUAACUUUGUUUUUUCUCAAUUAUAUUAGAAAAUAAUAUAAAGUUACUUAUAAACUUUAUAUCAUUUUCUCAAAGUCAAGUCAUUUACAAUUAUUUCUAUCUAGUCUUCUCCAUUAUGACAACUUUUAUAUGAUAGUCGUUGAUUGGAAGAAUCUACAUGUCUUUUUUGAUAAGAUAGUUGUUUUUAUUAUUUUUAUUUUUUUUAUUCCAAAAAUUUGCUUCUAUCAUUGAAACUUUCAAAUCUUUUAUGUAUAUUACCAAUCAUUUUACAAGUGAGUUAAUUUCACUUAGGGUAGAUAUACUUAGCCACACCCCUAUAGAUGUAAUUUGUGUUUAAAUUUUAUUUUUUAUUUAGGUAAAAAUAUCUUAGGUAUAUGUGUUCUACAAUUCUCUAAAAAAUAAAUUUUCUUAUCUAAAAGUUUAUAUAGACAAAAUACAUCUAUAGAAGUCCUAACUAAUGAAAUUUAAAAUCAAUGGUUGUUUAGUGUAUUUACAUUAAACCUUAUGGGGUAUGAUUGAAAUUAAGUCUUUUACAAGCACUUGUAGCUAAUAUGUUUGUAGUUGUAGUCUUGGAAAUUGAUCAUUUUCUUGAAGGCCUCUAGGAUAUUGAAAAUAUUGCCAUAGUUUUAGACUUUUUUUUUAUUACACCUAAUAAAAAAUAUUAUUAAUUUAACAUAUAUAUUCUUGACUUAAAAGUAAAGUCUCUCCAUAUUGUAUAAGCCCUUAGGUGGCAAUAUUAGGUGAAGUUUUUCUUUCGUUUAUUACAAAAUAUAAAUAAUUUAUUAUUGUAUGAUAAAAUUUUAUGUAAUAUAUUUUUAUAGAUGUAAAAUUAUUAAUUGGGUUUUGUUUUUUUUUACUAAAUUGUCAUUUCAAUAUAUAAAACUUAUUUGUAAAAAGACAAUUAUAAACUAUAUGAAAUUGAAAAACAUUUAGUUUUUUUAUUUAAUUUAGAAUUUUAUUUGGAUUAAUAAUUGAUAUUUGUAAGAUUUUUGAAUAUUAAAAAAAGUUAGCAUACUUAAGAAAGAUAUUCAAGAUCGGGAGUGUUUGAUAUCGGAUUAAUUUCCUUAUUUUCUCUAUUUUAAUAAAUUUUCACGUCCAUUACAAAAUUUUUGUUGUUUAUUUUUUACUUCAAUAUUUUUAUUUUGUAAUAGAAAUUUGAAAAGAUUUUUUCCUACAUGUUAAAAAAAAAAAAGAUUUGAACACUCCUAAAAAAGAAAUAUUGCAAUAAAAUUAAAGUUUACACUGUAGGACUAUUAGCAAAUGCUGCAUACUUAAAAUAGACCAAUUAAAGUAGAAAUACUUCUAAAAUUGUAAUUUAGGUAACAAUAAUAUAAAAAGACAAUAUUUUUGAAACAAUAGUUCUCUUGGAGUUUUGGGUACAAUGGACUAGACUUUAUGUAACAAUAGAUAUACAAACUUUCCAUUAACAUCUUGAGAGACAUGAUGAGGAGCAAAGUCAUCCAAGAAGGUACCAUAGAGGUACCUUAGCUCAAUUCAUCUAGACUACAUAAUGUUUAAAGAUCAAAUUCAAUGACUAGAUUUCAAAAAUCAAUAUAAGCUUUCUCAUAUUCUACUCUAUAUAAGACAAUGGUAUGAUACCUCUCUUGUGUCGUAGAAUGCACCAUGAAAACCUUAUCAUUUUAACAUCAGUUUGAAACUUAAAAGUCACUUAGCACAUUCUAGUUAUUAAUUUAAGAGCAUUAAAAGAAAUAUAUAAAAAAAAAGUUACUUUAUCCUUGUGAUUUUGAUCUAGGACUUUUAAUGAUAUUAAAAAAAAAAACAGAAAAAUAAAUGGAAAUAAAAUCAAUAAAUUAAACAAUUGAAUUAAGUUAGUUUAAUUUUUGAAUCGUUAAAUGGGUAAAUAAAGAUCUUAGAUUUGAUAUUAAUAUGAACAUCAUGACUUCAGUGAAUCUUACAAGAAAAUUUUAGUUUGAAAGACUUCAUUCAUUAAACGUGUGGCACAUAUUAAAGUAAAACUAAGUCUUCUCUAUAAUUUGUACCUAUCAUAGUUUCUUUCCUCAUAAAUAGCCUUUUUUGAAUAUAAUAUAGACUUCAACAUGCAUGGUGGGGCCAAUCAAACUACUAGUCAAGACAACUCAUGGGCAACAACGAUGUACCAACUACAUUUAAAUACUCUUCAUAUAUUUGCAUAUCAAGAGUAAUUUAGUAGUGUCUUUCUUAUGUACCUCAUAUCUAGACUUUCAAUGGAGAGUUCUUCAUCUAAAAAUUUGACUUGGGUUUUCAUACUAGUUUUGGUUUAGACAUGUGGAUGCAAAGGUUGCAUCAAAGAAGAGAAGUAGGCUAAAUCAUCUUACAAAUUUUCAAGUUCAAAUUAGAUGCACCAAACAUAUGCAACAUAUUUGAUAUAACUAAUAUUUUCUUAAGUAAUUGAAUACAAUUUUUUUUUAUAAAUUCACUUGAUUAUUAAUGGAUAACUAACUACAUGUAUGGUAUUGACACAACUUGAUAAAUUUUUUAAAAUAGUAUUAGAAUAACUUUGCUAAAAAAAAGUAAAAAUAAAAAUAAAAAUACAUCUAUAUAUAUAUAUAAUUAAAUAAAAUUAAAAAUUAAUAUAUAUAUAUAUAUAUAUAUAUUCUGUGUGUGUAUGUGUGCAUGGUCUCACAAGUCAUUAGCUACUCAUAAGCUUUAUAUCACUUUCUCAAAGUCAAGUCAUUUUGUAAUUAUUUCUAUCUAGCCUUCUCCAUUACGACAACUGUAUAGGAUAUUGAUUGAUUGUAAAAAUCUUCAUGUCUUUUUUUAUAAGAUAGUUUUUUAUUAUUAUUAUUAUUCAAAGAAUUUUCUUUUAUUAUUGAAACUUUCAAAUCCUUUAUGUCUAGUGGUCCUACAAUUCCCUAUUCAUUGGUAUUUCAUAUUACCAAUCAUUUUACAAAUAAGUUUAUUUCACCCGGUAAAUAUACUUAACUACCAAUGGUUUCAAAUUUAAUUGAUUAACACACUUAUAGAUGUAAUUUGUUUUUAAAUUUUAUUUCUUUUAGAAGAAUUGUAGGUAAAAAUGUUCUAGGAAUAUGUGUUCAAUAAUUCUCUAAAAACAAUUUAUAUAGAUGGAAUACAUUCAUGGAAGUUCCAACUAAUGAAAUUUAAAACCAAUGACGAUUUAAUGUAUUUGCACUAAAUCUUAGGGGAGGUGUACUAAAACUAGCCCUUUUACAAAUAUUUGUAGCUAGUAUAUUUGUAGUUAUGGUGUUGGAAGUUGAUCAUUUUCUUAAAGGCCUCUAAGAUAUUGGAAAUAUCGCCAAAGUUUUGAACUUUUUGUUUCACCUAAAUAAAAUAUCAUUAAUUUAAUAUAUAUACUCUUCGCUUGAAAGUAUAGUUUCUUCAUAUUGUAUGAAGUUGUAACUAGGUGACAAUAUUAGGUGAAAUUUUUUUUUGUUUACUACAAAAUAUAAAUAAUAUAUUUAUUAUAUGAUAAAAUUUUGUAAAAUAUAUUAUUAUAGAUGCAAAAUUAUUAAUGGAGUUUUAUUUUUUACUAAAUUAUCAUUUCAAUAAAUAAGAACUUAUUUGUUAAAAGAAAAUUAUAAAAUAUAUGCAAUUGAAAAAAAUUUAAUUUUUUUAUUUAAUUUGGUAUUUUAUUUGAAUUAAUAAUUGAUAUUUGUAAAAUCUUUUAAUAUUAAAAGAAGUUAACAUACUUAAAAAAGACAUUCAAAAUCAAGAGAGUAUUUGAUAUGAAAUUAAUUAAUUAUUUUUUUUCUAUUUAAAUAAAUUUUUACAUCCAUUAAAAAAAUUUUCUUGUUUAUUUUUCACUUCAAUAUUUUUAUUUUGUAAAAUAAAUAGAAAUAAAAUCAACAAAUUAAACAAUUGAAUUAAGUUAGUUUAAUUUUGCCACCGUUAAAUUGGUAAAUGAAGACUCUUAUAUUUGAUAUUAACAUGAACAUCAUGACUUCAUUGAAUAUUCUCACAAGAAAAUUUUAGUUUGAAAGAUUUUAUCCUUUAAACAUGUGGCACAUAUUAAAGUGAGACCAAGUCUUCCCUAUAAUUUGUAUCUAUCACAAUUUCUUUCCUAAUGAAUAACCUUUUUGAAUAGAAUAUAGACUUUAGCAUAUUACCAACCAUUUUACAAAUAAGUUAAUUUCACUCAGUAAAUAUACUUAACCACCAAUGGUUUCCAAUUUGUAGCACUCUUAUAGAUGUAGUUUUUUUUUUAAAUUUUAUUUUUUAGAAGAAUUGUAGGUAAAAAUAUUUUAGAUAUAUAUGUUCAACAAUUCUCUAAAAACAAUUUAUAUAGAUGGAAUACGUUCAUGGAAGUUCCAACUAAUGAAAUUUAAAACCAAUGAUGAUUUAAUGUAUUUGUACUAAAUCUUAGGGAGUGUGGACUAAAAUUAGCCCUUUUACAAAUAUUUAUAACUAGUAUAUUUGUAGUUGUGGUAUUGAAAGUUGAUCAUUUUCUUAAAAGGUUUACCAUUGAAGUUAGUUGAAUAUAAAGUUAGGUGAACUUUACCAUUGUUUAAUUGGUAAAUGAAGACUCUUAGAUUUGAUACUAACAUGUACAUCAUGACUUCAUUGAAUCUCUCACAAGGAAAUUUUAGUUUGAAAGACUUCAUCUUUUAAACAUGUGGCACAUAUUAAAGUGGACCAAGUCUUCCCUAUAAUUUGUAUCUAUCACAAUUUCUUUCCUCAUAAAUAGCCUUUUUUAAUAGAAUUAAUAUAGACUUUAGCAUGCAUGGUGGGCCCUGUCAAACUAUUAGUCAAGAUAAUUUGUAGGUAAGAACGAUGGACCAACUAUAUUAAAUAUUCUUCAUCUAUUUGCAUAUCAAGAGCAACUUAAUAUUGUCUUUCUUUUGUACUUCAUGUUUGAACUUUCAAUGGAGAGUGUGUCAUCUAAAUAUUUGAUGUGGGUUUUUAUACUAUUCUUGGUUCAAAUAUGUGGAUGCAAAGGUUGCAUCGAAGAAGAGAAGAUGGGUUUGCUUGAAUUCAAGGCUUUUCUUAAAUUGAAUAAUGAGCAUGCAGAUUUUCUUCUCCCUUCAUGGAUAGAUAACAACACUAGUGAAUGUUGUAAUUGGGAGCGGGUUAUUUGCAAUCCCACCACAGGUCGAGUUAAGAAGCUUUUCCUCAAUGAUAUUACGCAACAACAAAGUUUCUUGGAAGACAAUUGGUACCAAUAUGAAAAUGUCAAAUUCUGGUUACUAAAUGUCUCCCUAUUCCUUCCUUUUGAAGAACUUCACCAUCUAAACUUGUCUGCAAACUCAUUUGAUGGGUUUAUUGAGAAUGAAGGUAUGUUACCUCUCACCUUUAAAAUUUCAUUUCACUUAUACUCCAAACAUUCUAAAGGAACUACUAGCAUAUGUUCUUAAAAGUGUUCAGGUGGAGACCAAAUGGUCACUAGUAACUAUUGAAUUUAAUAUAAGAACAAUUACUAAUUAUUAAAAUUUAUAAUGUAAAUUAACAUUUAAACAGAACAAUAAAAAAAUUAUUAUUUUAGAAAACUAUAGAUUACAUUAGCCUUAUAUAUAUAAGCAUACUUGUUAUUUAUGCCAUCAUUUCACACUCAACCCAAUAAGUGGGAUUCAACUAAGAGUGAGCAAUUUCACAAUUAUUAAUUAACAGGAACACUUAGUCUCCCAUAUCCUUAUCCUUUUUGUUGAAUUGUCUUUCCUUAUCUUCCAUUCCUAAAAAGCUUGAUUUCUAUAUUCUAAAUUGAUAAAGAUUGGUUAAAGAAAGGUGAUCACAAAAUUUGACUAUUGCUGUCAAAUAAGGAAUCACCAUCUUCAAAGUUUCACAUUUACAAAAAAAAAAAAAAAAAAAAAAAAAAAAAAAAAAAACCCUAGCCUUGGGUAAGGUCCAAGCCUUAUUGUUUUAAGCUGAUGUCGGGUUGGUUUAAUAAUAAACAAAAAAAAUCCUAACCCAUGACCAUCUACGCAUUUCCAAAUUCCACCCAUCCACAACCCAUUAAUAUGACAUUUUCAAGGACAAAAUUUAAUCAAUUAAACCUAUUAGAUGGAUUCUCCAUACAAUGUUAAAAUGAAUAUAAAAACUUUAAUUCAAAAAAUAAUUUCCUUUAUUUAGUUAGGAUUCAAAUUAUAGGGGCACAAAACAUGAAAAUUUUCAUGUUUAAAAUUCACAAAGAUCACAAAAGCUCUUUGAAGCUCUAUGGACUUUUUUAUUUCUAACAUUUAAACACAAAAAUCACCAUAUUUAAUUAGAGAUUUGGAUACAUAUUCUUAUAUUAAAGACAUGUAAGCUUACAUAUUUAAAUAUGAAGAUCUCAACUUGUAAUUACAUGCUUCUAAUUAAAGUUAUAUUACUCUAUUUUAUAGGAUUUAAAGGGUUAUCAAGUUUAAAGAAAUUGGAGAUCUUAGACAUAAGUGGUAAUGAGUUUGAAAAAAGUGUCUUAAAAUCUUUGGACACAAUAACAUCACUCAAGACAUUGGCUAUUUGCAGCAUGGGACUGAAUGAAUCUUUUUCCAUUCGAGGCAUGUUAUAUGUCCACAUUGUUUCUUUGAAAUUAAGUAAAAUAUAUUUCUAACUUUUAAUGUUCCUUAGUUAAUCUCUCUUUUGAUUCAUGUUUGUUGCAGAAUUAGCUAGUUUGAGAAAUUUGGAAGUGUUGGAUCUAAGCUAUAAUGAUUUGGAAAGCUUUCAACUAUUGCAAGGUACUUCAUUAACUUGCUAAAAAAACUUAUGAUAUUUUGUUAUUAAAUUAAAGGUAAGAUUAACAAACAAUUUCUUCUCAUUAGUUACUUUUCUUUGUAAUAUCAUUAAAUUUGAUAUAAAGUAGUCUAAAUCAUCCUUUCAAUUUAUAAGUUUUAAUUAAAACGCAUCAAGCAUGCACAAGAUGUUUAAUAUAACUAAUAUUUUCAUAAGUAAUUGAAUUUUUUUAUAUGAAUUAAUUAACUUGAUUAUCAAUAAAUACUUACAUGUAUAAGAUUAAUAUAGUUUCAUAAGUAUUUUAAAAUUGUCUUACAACACACACACACACACACACAAGGAAAAUGAAAGGUAUGUGAUAUCUUUAUGCUAUGUUUGGUUCCCAAAAAAAUUGAGGGAAAAUGAAAGGAGAAAAAAGUAGAGACGAAAAGUAAAAGAAAAGAAAAAAAGUAAAGAAAAAUAUAAAAUUGAUUAAAGUAAAUACAUUAUUUUUAUAUGUUACUUUAACUUGUUUCACUUAUUUUAAUUCUUCAAUGUAAAGAUGAAAGAUUUGAAAAUGCAUAAGUUUCUAAUUAUUUUUUAUUUUAUUUUAUAGUUUUUACAAUACAACCAAACAUAAUAAAAUCAUUUUCUUUAAUUUUUUUUCUUUUCUUAAUACUUUUCACGAACCCUUUAAGUUAUGUUUGUUUGCAGAAAAUAUGAGGAAUAGAAAAUAGAAAAGAAAAUUAGAAGGAAAGAAAAAGUGAAGUAAAAUAAAAAUAAAUUUAAAUUUAAUAAAUUAUUUGUAUAUGCUACUUUAAACUUAUUUCACUUAUUUUAAAUUAUUUAAACUCAUUUCUAAUAAAUAAUAAUGGAAAUUGUAGAGAAGUUUGUGUUAUUCAAGCUUUGCAAUGACUUUACAAGGUGAAGGAAAAUAUUCUUGCUGAAAUUGAAAAAAGAAAUACCUUCUUAAAUAGCCUAUUGACCGAAAACACAUUACCCUAACAUAUACACACACCUUUAUUAUUUAUACAAUCAUUUAAUACUUAAUCCAGUUAGUGGGAUUCUAGUGGUUGUUUUUAUCUUGGUUUCCAAUAUUUCUGAUUGAUAGUGUUCGAUUAAUGAAAUAUCAUAAAUUUUGACCCUAAUAAGGACCAAUCCCUAUUAAAUGUAAUUGGGUUGACCUAAGACUAAAUGUUAGAUCCAACUAAUAAAAACCCAUCUAUUUGUUGGAGUGUAAAUAACCCGGCCUUAGGUAGGGCCCAUGCCUUAUUAUUUUAAGAUGUAGUCCAACUGGUUUGACACUAGAUUGAGUAAAGCCCAACUUAUGAGCAUCUAUGCAUUUCCAUCCAUCCACAACCUACUGGCAUGGACAAACUUUGGUCAAUUAAACCUAUUAUAACUGCAUACAAAAUUUUAAGUUCAAAAGAUAAUUUUCCUUAUUUAGUUAGGAUUCAUAUUAAAAAGGCACAAAGCACGAAUUUUCAUGUUUAAAUUCACAAAUAUCACAAAAGCUCCUUCAAGCUCUAUGGACCAUUUUAUUUGUAACAUUAUAUUACUCUUAAUUAUCAAAUUAACCAACAAAUUCUUCUCAUUAGUUAUUUUUCUUUAGUAAUGUCAUAAAAUUUGAUAUAAAGUAGUAUUGGUCAUCAUUUCAAAUUUUAGGUUCCAAUUAGAUGUAUCAAGCAUGUGUACCAUAUUUGAUAUAACUAAUAUUUUUAUAAGUAAUUGAAUUUUUUUUUCUAUAAAUCAAUUAAUUUGAUUAUCAAUGAAUACUUUCAUACAUGAUAUUGAUGUAGUUUCAUAAAUAUUUUAAAAUAGUCAUAGAAGUCUUUUAUCUGAUUCACUAGAAAGAAAAAUAAACUAUUCUAAUGAAAAGACUUGAUGAUUUGAAGUGAUUGCUUUUGAUUUUAUUUGAUUGCUACCAUUAUUAAUUGUUAGAAAUUGGCAACAAAUACCCAUUUUGCAUCACUUCUAUAUGCAUCGGGGGAAUGAAUUAUAUUUCAUAGAGCUAAUAGGGCAAAACUCAAACUUUUGGAAUUAUGGAAAAGGUUGCUAGAAAGCUAAUUAACCAUUUAUAUUAUGAUUAAGACUAGUUGGGUUAGAAAUAAUUCAUAUGGAGAUUAAAAAAAACUAUGUAAUUUAGUUUAGUAGCUUGGGUGCUAUUGUAAUGAUUAAUGAUCUGCAACUUGAACACAUCUACUAGUGCUUUCUACUUGUAUAGCUAAAUUUAUGUUACCACUUUGAACUACAGUACUUACAUGAGAAGAAAGUUUUUCCUUAGUGAUAAUGCAAAAGAAAUUAAGUAUCAAUUUUUGUUAAACUAACAAGUGAUAGUUUAGAUAUGGUUUGAAUACACUUCCUUUCUUCUAUAUUUUUAUUUUGAAAAAAAAAAACUCUUUAAUGAAAUAUAAGAAAUCUUAUAUGUAUAAAAAUUAAAGACUUAAACAAAAAAAUUCUUCAAAUUUGAAAAUUUUCGAGAAGUAUUUUUAAGAAUUUGUAUUUUCAAUAUAAUAAUUCAUAUAUUUUGUAUAAAAGUUUUUGUUUAAAAAAAUAGAAGUGUGUCCAAAUUACAAAUUAAUUGUUAAAUUAAGAAUGUUUCUCAGAUCAAGAGAUGAUGAAAGUUGUAGAGAGUUUGCAUUACUCAACCUUUGCAAUUACUUUUUGAAGGUAAAAGAAAAUACCUUCCUACAUAACAUACAAUGGCAGGUUCUGGUUUGUAAGAAACUAAUAAAUGAUUAAGAAUAUGAAUAAGACUUCCUUUAUAAUGGAUAUGUAGAGAAGAAUAGUGGAUGAUAGGAGGUGAAAAUCUUGUAAUAAAAUAUCAAUAUCAGUUAUAAGAUAAUCAACAUUUUCUCUAUUUCUUGUACCUAUGUGAUUAAGAAUCUUGUAGCUCCCUUAUUGAAAUAUAAUAUAAAAAUAUAAAUAAACUAUUUAGAAGUGCAUGUAGUUUUCAACAUGAGGAAGUUCAAAAGCAAGUUAAUUAUGAUAAUUUUCUAUAGUCUAUAUUGAACACAAAUUAUUUUUACUAAAGGUUCAAUCGUUCUAUGAAGGUUAAAAGUUUGAAUUGUUUACAUAUGCAAAUGGACAACCAAACAAGAAAAUGAUUUUGAAAUCCUUUUUGGACCUUUUUUUAUCAUUCAUUUUUUCCCCUACUCUAUUUCCUUUCCCUCAAACUCUCUAGGUAGUAAACAUUACCUAAGAUAAAUAGGGAAGAAAAUAUUUUAUCAUUUAUUUAUUUAGUAUUUUUCUUACAUUUUUUGUAUGUUAUCCAAAUAUAAGAAAACUAUUUUUCUUUAUUUUUUCUUUUCCUUGUUGCUUUUCAAGAAUCAAGCAUACUUUAAACUCUAAUUAAGAGUUACAUAGAUUUACGAAGAAACAAUGCAACUGGUAACAAAAAAUUAAGGAAAUUUAAUUUUUGAGAGUAGGUAUAAUGAGAUUGGUUUGUUUGAUACAAAAUUUGAAUAAAAAUUCUUUCAAUGAAAAUUCAAGGAAAGGAAAAAAAAAACAACUUUCUCUCUAGACUAUAAUACUAAAUCACUUAAAAAAUAUCCUAACAUCGUUUAUGUUCAUCUUUCUUUUUAUGGAUUUGAAAAACCCAAUAAUUUGGAGAAAACUGAUUCAAGGAAGAAUAAUUUUUAGAAUAAAAUAUUAUUAUUUAAGAAGAUCAUAAAUAUUAUAGUCAUUGUUGAAUAUGAUAAAUGAUUUAAAAAAAAUGGUAGUUGGAAAUUUAGAUACUUUUAUAAGACAAAUGAAUUUUUCUAGUAUGGUAUGAAAAAAGGUAAAAUGAUAGGCUUUGAUCAUUUUUUAAGGUAGUUUGUUUAAAUCAUUUUAAUUUAUUUUCAUUUAAGAACAAUAACUUUUAUUACACUAGUUAUUUUGAUUUUCUUUUGAUAGAUUUUGCAAGCUUAAGCAAUUUGGAGCUAUUGGAUUUGAGUAAUAAUUCAUUUAGUGGGAGCGUUCCAUCAUCUAUAAGAUUGAUGUCUUCUCUCAAGUCUUUAUCCCUGGCUGGAAAUUACCUCAAUGGUUCCUUACCAAAUCAAGGUAUAUAUAUAUUGUGAUUACAGGUUUUUCUGUUUUCUUUUUUAAUAUCUUGUUUGUUCUUUAUGCCAAUGAAGUCAUGCAUGUCUAUUAAUUUUUGGUAUUUAAUAAAAAACUUUAUUCUUAAUUCAUAAAGACCUCAUCAACGGUAAGUAACAGCUAGUUGUAAGUUUGGGGGCAUUGACAAGACGAGGAGAUGAUUGGUUACAUGUCUUAUUCUCUUUUGUAGGCUUUUGCCAAUUGAAUAAGCUUCAAGAAUUAGAUCUUUCUUACAACUUGUUCCAAGGAAUCCUUCCUCCAUGUUUGAAUAAUUUGACAUCUUUGAGGUUAUUGGAUCUCUCUUCCAACCUAUUCUCCGGAAAUCUUUCUUCCCCUCUGUUACCUAAUCUCACAUCCCUGGAGUACAUCGAUCUCAGUUACAAUCAUUUUGAGGGUUCAUUCUCUUUCAGCUCUUUUGCUAAUCACUCCAACCUUCAAGUGGUCAAACUUGGAAGGAAUAACAACAAAUUUGAGGUAGAAACUGAAUAUCCAGUUGGUUGGGUUCCCCUGUUUCAGUUGAAAGCUCUUGUGCUAUCCAACUGUAAGCUCAUCGGUGACCUUCCUAGUUUCCUUCGACACCAAUUAAGAUUAACCGUGGUUGAUCUCUCCCAUAAUAACUUGACUGGAAGUUUCUCCAUUUGGCUGCUUGAAAACAAUACAAGACUAGGAUCUCUAGUUCUGAGGAAUAACUCUUUAAUGGGUCAACUACUUCCCCUGAGACCUAAUAGUCGUAUCACUUUAUUGGAUAUCUCAGACAACCGACUUGAUGGGGAACUUCAACAAAAUGUGGCCAAUAUGAUUCCAAAUAUUGAGUUUCUAAAUUUAUCCAACAAUGGUUUUGAAGAUAUUCUCCUAUCCUCAAUAGCCGAAAUGAGUUCCUUACAGUCAUUGGAUUUGUCUGCUAAUAGUUUCUCAGGGGAAGUACCAAAACAAUUGCUUGUGGCAAAAUAUUUGUGGCUUCUGAAAUUAUCAAAUAAUAAAUUUCAUGGUGAAAUAUUUUCAAGGGAGUUUAACUUGACUCAGUUAGGGUUUUUACAUUUGGACAAUAAUCAGUUCAAGGGAACACUGUCAAAUGUAAUCUCCAGAAUCUCUAGGUUAUGGGUGUUGGAUAGGUAACAUGACCGAUUUGACUACCCUAGUGUUGGGCAACAAUAGUUUUAAAGGCAAAUUACCACCUGAGAUUUCUCAAUUGUUGGGGAUGAUAUUUCUUGACCUUUCUUAAAACGCUCUUUCAGGAUCUUUUCUUUCUUUGAAGAGCCUGGAGUAUUUAGAGCAUCUACAUUUGCAAGGGAACAUGUUUAUAGGAUUGAUACCUAGAGAUUUUCUCAAUUCCUCAUAUCUAUUGACUUUGGAUAUCAGAGACAACAGGUUAUUUGGAAGUAUUCCCAAUUCAAUCUCUAGACUUUUAGAGCUAAGAGGAAACCUUUUAAGUGGUUUCAUUCCAUAUCAGCUCUGUCAUUUGACUAAAAUAAGCUUCAUGGAUCUUUCAAACAACAAUUUUUCUAGGUCAAUUCCUGGAUGCUUUGGUCAUAUCAGAUUUGGAGAUUUCAAAACUGAGCACAAUGUGUAUAUACCGAUGUUGGAUUCGUAUUCAGAAAGCAAUCCUUCUAUAUAUGCGGGUUACUUAAUAAAAUUUUAUUUUUCUCUAGUGAACUCCCUAAUGAAGUAGAUGAAGUUGAGUUUGUUACCAAGAAUAGGUAUAGCUCCCACAGAGUAGAUAAAUAUAUUUGUUGGGAAUUUAGAUAUUUUUAUAGAAAAGUAGACAAGUAUUCUAAUUUAUAAAAAUAAUGCAUUUCUUUAGUUUGGUAUAAAAAAAAUGAAAUGAUAUGUAUUGGUAAUUUUUUUUAAAGUAACAAACGUUUUAUUUUAUUUGUAUUUAAGAACAAUUUUUUUUCUUAUACUAGUUAUUUUAAUUUUCUUUUGACAGAUUUUGCAAGCUUAAGCAAUUUGGAGAUGCUAGAUUUGAGUUAUAAUUCCUUAAGUGGGAUUAUUCCAUUAUCUAUAAGAUUGAUGCCUCAUCUCAAGUCUUUAUCCUUGGCCAGAAAUCACUUCAAUGGUUCUUUACAAAAUCAAGGUACAUAUGUUAUGAUUUGUUUGUUUCAUAUAGAUUAGAGAAGAUGAAUAUUGUUAAAAAAAAAAAGUUGUUGUUAAUGUAAGCUAGAAAUAAGUAUUUUGCCUUAUAAAUUAUAUAAGCAUGUGUUUGUUCUGAAUGAAUCUUUACAACAUUUAGAGUUACCAAUGUUUAUAAUUCAUAAAGACCUCAUUAACAGUGAGUAACAACUAAUUGUAAGUAAUUGUGGAAAAAGUAAGGAAAACAAAAUGAGGGAAAAGCAAGGAAUUAGGAAAUUAUUUUGUUCCCAUAAAAAAAUGCUAAGGAAGAAAAAGGUAAAAGAAAGUUUAAAAAAAGUGUAUUUUUCAAAAAUUUAUUUCUCUUUCCUUUAAUUUUGCUAUGGACAACCAAACAAGAAAAUAAUUUUAUAAUUCCUUUUUUUUUUCAUUCUCUCUCUCUCUCUCUCUUUUUCCCUACUCUAUUUCUUUUCCCUCAAACUUUCUUGAUAGUAAACACAACCUAAGGUAAAUGAGGAAGAAAAUUUUUAGUUUUUUUUAUUUUUUAUUUUUUUAGAAUGUUUUCUUACUUUUUAGUAUUUUAUGCAAAUAUAGGAAAAUUUUCAUCUUUCUUUUUAUGGAUUUGAAAAACCCAAUAAUUUGGAGAAAACUGAUUCAAGGAAGAAUAAUUUUUAGAAUAAAAUAUUAUUAUUUAAGAAGAUCAUAAAUAUUAUAGUCAUUGUUGAAUAUGAUAAAUGAUUUAAAAAAAUGGUAGUUGGAAAUUUAGAUACUUUUAUAAGACAAAUGAAUUUUUCUAGUAUGGUAUGAAAAAAGGUAAAAUGAUAGGCUUUGAUCAUUUUUUAAGGUAGUUUGUUUAAAUCAUUUUAAUUUAUUUUCAUUUAAGAACAAUAACUUUUAUUACACUAGUUAUUUUGAUUUUCUUUUGAUAGAUUUUGCAAGCUUAAGCAAUUUGGAGCUAUUGGAUUUGAGUAAUAAUUCAUUUAGUGGGAGCGUUCCAUCAUCUAUAAGAUUGAUGUCUUCUCUCAAGUCUUUAUCCCUGGCUGGAAAUUACCUCAAUGGUUCCUUACCAAAUCAAGGUAUAUAUAUAUUGUGAUUACAAGUUUUUAUGUUUUCUUUUUUAAUAUCUUGUUUGUUCUUUAUGCCAAUGAAGUCAUGCAUGUCUAUUAAUUUUUGGUAUUUAAUAAAAAACUUUAUUCUUAAUUCAUAAAGACCUCAUCAACUGUAAGUAACAGCUAGUUGUAAGUUUGGGGGCAUUGACAAGACGAGGAGAUGAUUGGUUACAUGUCUUAUUCUCUUUUGUAGGCUUUUGCCAAUUGAAUAAGCUUCAAGAAUUAGAUCUUUCUUACAACUUAUUCCAAGGAAUCCUUCCUCCAUGUUUGAAUAAUUUGACAUCUUUGAGGUUAUUGGAUCUCUCUUCCAACCUAUUCUCCGGAAAUCUUUCUUCCCCUCUGUUACCUAAUCUCACAUCCCUGGAGUACAUCGAUCUCAGUUACAAUCAUUUUGAGGGUUCAUUCUCUUUCAGCUCUUUUGCUAAUCACUCCAACCUUCAAGUGGUCAAACUUGGAAGGAAUAACAACAAAUUUGAGGUAGAAACUGAAUAUCCAGCUGGUUGGGUUCCCCUGUUUCAGUUGAAAGCUCUUGUGCUAUCCAACUGUAAGCUCAUCGGUGACCUUCCUGGUUUCCUUCGACACCAAUUAAGAUUAACUGUGGUUGAUCUCUCCCAUAAUAACUUGACUGGAAGUUUCCCCAUUUGGCUGCUUGAAAACAAUACAAGACUAGGAUCUCUAGUCGUAUCACUUUAUUGGAUAUCUCAAACAACCGACUUGUUGGGGAACUUCAACAAAAUGUGGCCAAUAUGAUUCCAAAUAUUGAGUUUUUAAAUUUAUCCAACAAUGGUUUUGAAGGUAUUCUCCCAUCCUCAAUAGCUUAAAUGAGUUCCUUACAGUCGUUAGAUUUGUCUGCUAAUAGUUUCUUAGGGGAAGUACCAAAACAAUUGCUUGCGGCAAAAUAUUUGUGGCUUCUGAAAUUAUCAAAUAAUAAAUUUCAUGGUGAAAUAUUUUCAAGGGACUUUAACUUGACUCAGUUAGGGUUUUUACAUUUGGACAAUAAUCAGUUUAGGGGAUAUUUCUCCAGAAUCUCUAGGUUAUGGGUGUUGGAUGGGAGAUAGUUUUAAAGGCAAAUUACCACCUGAGAUUUCUCAAUUGUCGGGGAUGAUAUUUCUUGACAUUUUUCAAAACGCUCUUUCAGGAUCUCUUCCUUCUUUGAAGAGCCUGGAGUAUUUAGAGCAUCUACAUUUGCAAGGGAACAUGUUUAUAGGAUUGAUACCCAGAGAUUUUCUCAAUUCCUCAUAUCUAUUGACUUUGGAUAUCAGAGACAACAGGUUAUUUGGAAGUAUUCCCAAUUCAAUCUCUAGACUUUUAGAGCUAAGAGGAAACCUUUUAAGUGGUUUCAUUCCAUAUCGGCUUUGUCAUUUGACUAAAACAAGCUUCAUGGAUCUUUCAAACAACAAUUUUUCUGGGUUAAUUCCCGGAUGCUUUGGUCAUAUCGGAUUUGGAGAUUUCAAAACUAAGCACAAUGUGUAUAUACCGAUGUUAGAUUCGUAUUCAGAAAGCAAUCCUUCUAUAUAUACGGGUUACUUAAUAAAAUAUUUAUUUUUCUCUACUGAACUCCUUGAUGAAGUAGAUGAAGUUGAGUUUGUUACCAAGAAUAGGUAUAGCUCCCACAGAGUAGAUAAAAAUAUUUGUUGGGAAUUUAGAUAUUUUAUAGGACAAUAUACAAGUAUUCUAAUUUAUAAAAACAAUGCAUUUCUUUAGUUUGGUAUAAAAAAAAUAAAAUGAUAGGUAUUGGUAAUUUUUUUUCAAAGUAACAAACGUUUUAUUGUAUUUGUAUUUAAGAACAAUGUCUUUUCUUAUACUAGUUAUUUUAAUUUUCUUUUGACAGAUUUUGCAAGCUUAAGCAAUUUGGAGAUACUAGAUUUGAGUUAUAAUUCCUUAAGUGGGAUUAUUCCAUCAUCUAUAAGAUUGAUGUCUUGUCUCAAGUCUUUAUCGUUGGCCGGAAAUCACCUCAAUGGUUCUUUACAAAAUCAAGGUACAUAUGUUAUGAUUUGUUUGUUUCAUAUAGAUUAGAGAAGAUAAAUAUUGUAAAAAAAAAAAAAGUUGUAGUUAAUGUAAGCUAGAAAUAAGUAUCUUGCCUUAUAAAUUAUAUAAGCAUGUGUUUGUUCUUAAUGAAUCUUUACAACAUUUAGAGUUACCAAUGUUUAUAAUUCAUAAAGACCUCAUUAACGGUGAAUAACAACUAAUUGUAAGUAAUUGUGGAAAAAGUAAGGAAAACAAAAUGAGGGAAAAGCAAGGAAUUAGGAAAUUAUUUUUUUCCCAUAAAAAAAUGCUAAGGAAGAAAAAGGUAAAAGAAAGUUUAAAAAAAGUGUAUUUUUAAAAAAAUUAUUUCUCUUUCCUUUAAUUUUGCUAUGGACAACCAAACAAGAAAAUCAUUUUAUAAUUCCUUUUUAUUUUUUUCAUUCUCUCUCUCUUUUUUUCCCUACUCUAUUUCUUUUCCCUCAAACUUCCUUGGUAGUAAACACAACCUAAGAUAAAUGGGGAAGAAAAUUUUCAGUUUUUAUUUUUAUUUUUUUAGAAUGUUUUCUUACUUUUUAGUAUUUUAUGCAAAUAUAGGAAAAUUAUUUUUUUUUCUUGCUCCUUUUCAGACAUGAAUCACACUUUAAAAGAAAAUUAAUUUUUAAUUAGGAGUUAAGAUAAAUUUAAGGAGAAACAAUGAAUCACGAAUAACAAAAAAUUAAGGAAAUUGAAUUUUUGAAAGUAAGUAUAAUCAAAUUGCUUCAUUUGAUACAAAAUUUGAAUAAAAAUUCUUUCAAUGAAAAAUCAAGGAAAGGAAAAAACAUUUUUGUCUCUAGAUUAUAAUACUUAAUCAUGUAAAAAAUCUCUUAACAUCAUUUAUAUUCAUAUUUCUUUUUGUAGAUUUGAAAAAUUCAACAAUUUGGAAUAAACUUAUUCAAUGAAGAAUAAUUUUUAGAUUUAAAGAUUAUUAUUUAAGAUCAUAAAUAUUACCAUCAUUGUUGAUGUCCAAGAAGAUCAUAUUCAACAAUUUUUUUAAUAUGUUGUUUUUUAUGGUAAUUAAUUGAUGUCUUGUAAUUUUUAAUAUUUAAUGAAAAACAUUAAUUUAAUUCAUCUAAAGCUCUUAAUUCAUGAAGACCUCGUUAAUGUAAUGGUGAGUAAUAGUUGGCUGUAAGUUUGGAGUCAAAGACAUGUUAAGGAGAUGAUUAGUUACAUGUCUUAUUCUCUUUUGUAGGUUUCUGCCAAUUGAAUAAGCUUCAAGAGUUAGAUCUUUCUUACAACUUAUUCCAAGGGAUCCUUCCUCCAUGUUUGAAUAAUUUCACAUCUCUGAGGUUAUUGGAUCUCUCUUCCAACCUCUUUUCCGGAAAUUUUUCUUCCCCUCUGUUACGUAAUCUCACAUCCCUAGAGUACAUAGAUCUCAGUUCCAAUCAGUUUGAGGGUUCAUUCUCUUUCAGCUCUUUUGCUAAUCAUUCCAAGCUUCAAGUGGUCAUACUUGGAAGGGAUAACAACAAAUUUGAGGUAGAAACUGAAUAUCCAGUUGGUUGGGUUCCCCUGUUUCAGUUGAAGAUUCUCUCUCUAUCCAGCUGUAAGCUCACCGGUGACCUUCCUGGUUUUCUUCAAUACCAAUUCAGGUUAGUGGGGGUUGAUAUCUCACAUAAUAACUUGACAGGAAGUUUCCCCUAUUGGUUGCUUGAAAACAAUACGAGACUAGAAUCUCUAGUCUUGAGGAAUAACUCUUUAAUGGGUCAACUACUUCCCUUGGGACCUAAUACUCGUAUCAAUUCAUUGGAUAUCUCACACAAUCAGUUGGAUGGACAACUUCAAGAAAAUGUGGCCCAUAUGAUUCCAAAUAUUAUGUUUCUAAAUUUAUCCAACAAUGGUUUUGAAGGUAUUCUCCCAUCCUCAAUAGCUGAACUAAGAGCCUUAUGGAUUUUGGAUUUGUCUACCAAUAAUUUCUCUGGAGAAGUACCAAAGCAAUUGCUUGCAACAAAAGAUUUGGGGAUUCUGAAAUUAUCAAAUAAUAAAUUUCAUGGUGAAAUAUUUUCAAGGGACUUUAACUUGACUGGGUUAUUGUGUUUGUAUUUGGGCAAUAAUCAGUUCACAGGAACUCUGUCAAAUGUAAUCUCCAGAAGCUCUUGGUUGGAGGUGUUGGAUGUGAGCAACAACUACAUGUCAGGUGAAAUUCCAAGCCAGAUAGGUAACAUGACCGAUUUGACUACACUGGUGUUGGGCAACAAUAAUUUUAAAGGCAAAUUACCACUUGAGAUUUCUCAAUUGCAACGGAUGGAGUUUCUUGACGUUUCUCAAAAUGCUUUUUCAGGAUCUCUUCCUUCUUUGAAGAGCAUGGAGUAUUUAGAGCAUCUACAUUUGCAAGGGAACAUGUUUACAGGAUUAAUACCCAGAGAUUUUCUCAAUUCCUCAAAUCUAUUGACUUUGGAUAUUAGAGAAAACAGGUUAUUUGGAAGUAUUCCCAACUCAAUCUCUGCACUUUUGAAGCUAAGGAUUCUUUUGCUAGGAGGAAACCUUUUAAGUGGUUUUAUUCCAAAUCAUCUUUGUCAUUUGACUGAAAUAAGCUUGAUGGAUCUUUCAAACAACUCUUUUUCAGGGCCAAUUCCCAAAUGCUUUGGCCAUAUCCGAUUUGGGGAAAUGAAAAAGGAGGACAACGUGUUUGGACAGUUCAUUGAAUUUGGGUUUGGAAUGGUUUCUCAUCUUGUAUAUGCAGGUUACUUGGUGAAAUAUUACGGUUCCCCAACUUUAGUAUAUAAUGAAAAAGAUGAAGUUGAGUUUGUCACCAAGAACAGGAGUGACUUCUACAAAGGUGGCAUCCUUGAAUUCAUGUCUGGAUUGGACUUAUCAUGUAACAACUUGACAGGCGAAAUACCUCAUGAACUUGGAAUGCUAAGUUGGAUUCGUGCAUUGAACUUGUCUCACAAUCAAUUGAAUGGCUCCAUUCCAAAGAGUUUCUCUAAUCUUUCUCAAAUAGAGAGCUUAGACCUUUCUUAUAAUAAACUGGGUGGAGAAAUUCCUCUAGAGCUAGUUGAACUCAAUUUUUUAGAGGUGUUUAGUGUGGCUUACAACAACUUCUCUGGUAGAGUUCCAGAUACCAAAGCACAAUUUGGGACAUUUGAUGAAAGGAGCUAUGAAGGUAAUCCUUUCCUUUGUGGGGAACUAUUAAAGAGGAAAUGCAACACAAGUAUUGAGUCACCAUGCACACCAUCACAGUCUUUUGAAAGUGAGGCAAAAUGGUAUGAUGUCAAUCAUGUUGUUUUCUUUGCAAGUUUUACUACUUCAUAUAUCAUGAUCUUGUUAGGAUUUGCUAUCAUCCUUUACAUCAAUCCUUAUUGGCGUCAUAGAUGGUUCAAUUUUAUCGAGGAAUGUAUAUAUUCCUGCUAUUAUUUUGUUUUUGAUAGUCUUUCCAAGUUAUCAGCAUAUUUGUAUAAUUAGAUACUUUUAAUUGGAUGAUAUUUGCAUAAUUAACUACUAUUUGUUUCCCUGGGAUAGAAAGAAAUGGGAUGUAUAAUGCUAUGAGCUGAAACUUACAUACUUUGCUCAAAUUCUAACAUCUUUUGAUUUUAUUUUCAAGUUCCGUUAUUUAUUAUGUAUUGCUUAAUUCAAGAUUUAACCAUAUUACGUUACUCUUAUAAAAGCAAAUUCAAAUUUUUAGGAACUUUUAGCAUUAAAAUAAUUUCAUAGUCAGAUUUUAAAAAAUAAAGAAGAAAGAAAAUAAUAAAUAAUUGGAAAAACAAUUCAAGGAAGUAUUAAAUUAUUAUCUUAGAAUUAUUUGGCGUAGUAUGGGAAUUCAAAAAUAAUCUUUCAAUUUGUUAGAAAUGUUUAUUUAUUUAUUAUAGCAAUGAUUGAAAUAUCAAUCACAAAGUAAUGUUUUCUUUUCUUUUGUAGGGCACUAACACUUUUUCUUUGAUAGUAAUAAUUGAUAAAUAUAUUACACAAUUAUUUGUUUUAAAAAAGGGAGGGAUGACAAACAUAAUAACAUGUGAAAUAUUUCUAAAACUGUAAUGGGAAAUAAGCCAUCUAAUUAGGGUGCAAUAUUAUUCAUUUUAAUUUACAUGAAUUUACUUAUUUUUAUUUGCAUCAUAUUUUGAACUAUUUUAUGAAAUUAAGGGAGAUUAAAACAUCACGAGUUUCUUAUUUUAGUUUAUAUUCUUAAUAAUAAAGCAUGAAAUAUUAUAAAAAAAAAAAUCAUGAAUUUCUUUAAUUCCUUAGGAAACCAAUAUAUAAAAAAUUGAACAUAUUAUUAUUUUAUAUCCUAAAUCUCUAAAUUUGUUCAUUACCUAUUUAUUUUUAUAUUAAAUUUAUUAUUAAUUAUUUAUUUAUAUUAUUAUUUUAUGUUUAAAAUGUUCAUAAAUAAUUAAAAUUAAUAAAUAUAAAAAUAAAAUAUUAAAAAAUUAAAUUAUAAAGAUUUCAUCAAACUGACAUAUUUAAAAAAAAAAAAAAGCUAAAAAAGAUGAGGAUAUUAUAGAGGAGGGGAAAAGGAUAAAAGAAAAUUCAUGUGGUAUGAUAAUAUCACGUGUCAAAGUUAUUUUCUUUAAAAAAUAAUAAUAGUAAUGAUGAACUCAUUUGUCUUAUCAAAGUAAGUUAAAAAAAAAAAAAAAAAAAAAAAAGAAAAGAAAAAGAUGGUAGUUGGCUUAUUUGUUCUUUGAAAAUAAAAAAUCAAAGUUUUAGAAAAAUACAAUUUUCUUUUAAAUGAUGAAUGGUUACAUCAUUUCCCCUUAGCUUAUCUGUUCCUUUAAACUUUAGUUUGAAUAAAAUUAGUUUUAAUUAUUUUCUUUUUGGAAUUAUAUUUAAUCGUAUUAUUAAAAAUAUAAAAAACAUCGUAAUAAUAUUGUCAAUAAGUUUUUUUAUAUAUAUUGAAAAAUAUUUAUAUUUAAAAAUAUUUAAAUUUUGUCAUGGGCUGCCCAUUUCAAAAUGAUAAGAAUAUAAUAACCUAAUUUUUCCAAAUUCCAGGUAAAUAUGCUAAUCUAAAAAAAAAAAAUUAUUAGGUUUUUAUGUGCUGAUUGGGUUUUUUUUAUACCCAGUAUGCUCUCCAAUCUACCACUUAAGCAUCCGACAUGGCUAAAAAUAAAUUUUUAAAAAAAAGAAUAAAAAAGGAAAAAAACGAAAGUGUGUGAUCUCUUUCUUGAGUCUUCACAAUCUGAGACACUGAACCCAAAUCAAAAUUAAUCCUCCAAAUUAAUUUUCACCUCCAACCCAAACCCUAACGACUGCCUCACUUUCUUCUCAAACAUAGCUAUACGAAAAACCCUAGCCUCUGCCUCGUCUUCCUCUUAUCCCGGAAACCCAAAUCCCGUGACCCUAACCCCUUCUCUUUCCGAAAACCCUCCAGAAUCGGAAGAUUCAAGUGAUCGAAUUAAUUCUUCAGAAUUAAUUUUCACCUCGAAGCCGAACCCUAACUGCCUCAUCUUCCUCUCAUUCAUAUCCCAAAAGUAGCUUCAACAGUCAGGCCUGCGGCCAUGAAAGCCGUAGUGAUCGCCACUUCCGGCGAUCCCCAAGUUCUCCAAGUGCAAGAAGUCGAAAACCCUGAAAUUGGAGAUGAUGAAGUUCUAAUUAGAGUGGACGCCGCUGCCAUUAAUCGAGCGGAUACGCUUCAGAGGAAGGGCUUGCACCCUCCCUCAAAGGCGGCAGUCCCUACCCCGCUGGAAUCAUCGAAGCUGUUGGAAAGGUCGUCGUUCGAUGGAAGGUUGGCGAUCAGGUAUUUCAAUUGCCUAAUAUUUUGAUUCCGUUUCUGUUCCUGUAUUUUUCUCGGCUAUCCUUUAUGUGAUUUUGCUUCCUCCUGAGUACAAGUUCAUAAUAUACAUGGUACAUGGUGAAUCUGUAUGACAUUUCAUGGUAUACAGGUGUGUGCUCUUCUUUCUGGUGGAGGGCAUGCUGAAAAAGUGGCUGUUCCAGCUGGGCAAGUUCUCCCUGUCCUAUCUGGUGUUUCUCUGAAGGAUGCUGCUGAGGUUGCAUGUACUGUUUGGUCAACUGUUUUAAUGAUGAGCCGACUGUCUGCAGGAGAAACAUUCCUGGUGAAUUUUUUGUCUUUUUUAUUUUCUGAUGCCUGAUAUAUUUACCAGCACAAAUUUUCCCUGUUGCUGUUUAAUGUGUGUGCAUCAAUAUUGGAUUAGGGAGGUAGAAGAGCCAUGGUUCUAUUACAUCAUCAUAUUCUUAUUUAGAUACAUUGUAUCCCACAAUUUCAUUGCAUCCAAGGCUAUGUUGUUUUUUAUUGCACGGUUUGUCAUGGUAAUUUCUCAACCCUUCUCUGGAAAAUUAUGUUGGAUGGCUGCUAUUAAUUACCCCAAAAGAAGAAAUUUUAUGUUGAAGUAAGAUGAGUAGCACAAAGAGUUACUUGUGGUUGAUCCUAUCAUCAAAUGGGCGAUUGAUGCACAAUCCAAAUGGUAAAUUUUUUUCCCCCUUUAUCCAGAUGGAAUUUUUAUGCAUGGUUGAAUAGUGAAAUGAGGACUGAUAAUAUUUCAGGUUCAUGGGGGUUCAAUUGGAAUUGGUACCAUCUAUUCAAAUAGUGAAAUAUUGAGGAGCAAGGGUAUUUGUUACAGCAGGUUUGCCAUCACUGUUCUACCUCAUCCCACAGAAUGCUUAUCUCAUGGCACCAAUUCCUUUUCUUCACAUGUUUUCAACCAUUUUUUCCACCCAGGAACGAGGAAAAAUUAGCUGUUUGUAAGGAUCAUUGAGCAGAUGUGUGCAUCAAUUACAAGACUGAAAACUUUGUUGCAUGGGUGAAGGAGGAAACAGGAGGGAAAGGUACAUUCUAUUGUAUCUUAACGAUAAUUUCAAUUGAAGGUGGAAUUGCUUUUUAUUUUUUAGUGCACCAAAUCCACUAGUCUGGAAUGUUUGAAAAGAUAAAUAGUCAUCUUCCACUUGAUUCCGAUUGUGAAGAUCUAACCCCAAAAAUGUUGAAUGACAGGUGUUGAUGUUAUACUGGAUAAUAUUGGAGGGGCCUACUUUUGGGGAGACAUCAAUGGUUUAAAUGUUGAUGGAAGGCUUUUUAUUAUUGGUUUUCAGGGUGGAACAGUGGUACAAGUAAAUCUUUCAGGUUUACUUGCAAGGCGCCUUACAGUGCAAGGUACCACUUUCUCUGUAGAAGAUUUUUCUGUAGUUUUGGAGUUGAAUCAAUUUGAUUAAUCUCAUCCAAGUUCAGAACUGAGGUGGAUUCUGGCAAGCCAAGGAAAAACCAAAUUACCAUAAAUUCUUUUUUUUUUUCUGGAUCGUUUUACUUCUUGGAAAUCCUGUUUCUCGAUCUGGUCAGGUAUAUGGAAAUUCCAAGGAAAAUAUGUUUUACAUUUUCCAUAAUUGGAAACACUCAGGAAUUUAAUAUUUUCCUCUGAAAUAGCAAUGGUUUUCUAAUUACGACAUUUGUUUUUCUUGUAUCAUCCCAAAAUAUUUUUUAGGUGUUUGUUCUCUCUUGACACAGCUUUUAAUUGGGUCUGUCUUGCUUUUUGAUAGAUCUCUUGACAAGUUGCUUGUAUAUCAUACUUUCUUUAUUGUUUUCGGAUCAUGAACCUUGCUUCUGUCAGCCCUGUUAUCACUACCCAAACUAGUAAAUUUAUGCACAAAACUCCAUGUGUCAGUAACAGUGGUUAUUUGAUUGUAUUAAAUAAUUUGUAAAUACAGUGGAUAAGUUUGUGCAUAGAUUGAAGGCGAAUGAAAAACGUGCAUAGAUUGAAGGUGUGCUGCUUGAGUUGAUUGUAGUUUGAGCAUGAAAAUUUGAAGAUCCAGAACAGCAAAUGAGGAAUGCCUAUCAAUUUGAAACCAGCAUGGGUGGAUGAAUGGAGAGGUUCUUCACUGAAUUUGUCCAUGAAGCUUUUUAGCACUCUAGGGCAAGGGUCUCCAAGCCUAGCUGUUGAUUGCACAUCCCUCCUGCGCAAUACUAAGAACAGAGUGAAAUGCAAAUGCAGGAAAGGGUGUUUCUUAGCUGUUCAACAACUGACAAUACAUUGGCAUGACAAUUCCCUGGAUCGAAUGCCACAAUGCCCUCUUGGAGUUCCAAAGCUUGUUCACAGGUCAAACGAACUUGAGGGUUUUGGGACAUGAACUCCAAGUUUGGUUGCCAAGAAUCUCCAGGUGGAGGAUCAGCUUCUGACACGUGCACACACCUCUUGGCCAGUUUGUGUUAUUGCAAUUUUUAUUAAAUUGCUAAAAAAUUUAUCGCGAACAAUUUUUUCUUUUUUCUUUUUUCUUUUUUUCUUUUUAAACAAACUGCAAAAAUCCCUUUUUUUUUUAUAUAAAAAAAAAAAAAAUUCUCCAACAAAGUGAUUUUUUUUUGUGGCAUGACUCGGUUUGACCACUAACUCGGUGAACUGGUCUAUCGGCUCAAGUUUGGAUCCCUUAAUUUUGUGGCAAAUUGGGCAUCAAGCCCAACAACCUAACUUCCAUGCGGGCUAUCUACUGGAUCUCACCCAUUGUAACUUGCUCUGGGUGAAUGGCCAUUAUAAACUUCAUUUUAUCCUCAUGUGAUUUUGAUGUGGGAAUGGGAGAGAUGAGGAUUUGACAUUUGGACCUAAGGCUCAAUGGGUUUUAACUCCACUCAGCUACUUUAUGUCUUGUAUUUAAUAUUGCAAACCAAAAUAAUAAUAGACAUGAUUCUUUUCAAAAAAUUUAUAAUGUAAUAUUUUUUAAAAUUAUAAAAUAAUAGGUUAUAUAAAUUUUAAUAUAUAGGUAAAAUUAAUUAAAUUUUAACAAAUAUCUUCACAUUUAGACAUUACAUAUUUUUUAUUUAAUAAAAUUUUAAAAUAUUAAUAUAUCUAAAUAUAAUAUUAAAAAUGAAAAAUAAAAUAGUAAUAAUUUUUAUUUUCUUUAUAUAUUUAAAAUUAUAUAAUUAUUUUUUAUUUUAAUAACAUAUAAAUUGUAUAUUUAUAAUAUUAUUGGUUCAACUGUGAUUCAACCAUCACUCCGAUUAUUCAAUUAUGAAUUAAUAAAUUUUUUAAUUCAAUGAUAGGUUUGAUUAUAAAAAUAUUAUGUUUUUUUUUAUGAAAAGUACUCAAGAAAUAUCAUUAAUCACUAAGAUCACGUGGUUGGAUUAGGUGUAUCCGAAACAUAGGUAUUACUCUCUUCCUUAGUUAGGGCUUAGCUUUUGAAAAUGUAGAUAGGUAAAGUGGAUGGAAAGUCUAUAACUACGUAGAGAUUGAGCUUGGAGGCCAAUCUAGCAAAUGUGGAGAUUAGAAAUAGUUUACCAUCUAGAUAGUCAAGCAUAGCAAUUUACCAAACCCUUACCAACCAUCCAUACUAACCAAUUGUGGUUAAAUGUUUACAAAAAUGUACAUUAAAUCAAAGAGAAAAAAGAUUAAAAACGAACAAGAGAGAAGAAGCACAUCACCUAAUUUUGGUAAUAAAUGAAAUUAAAAUAAAUUCAUAAAUUUUUUAAAUUAAAAUGAAUUUGAACUCUAGAGAUUUGUGUAGAUAUCUUAUUAAAAAACCAAAAAGUUUGUUGCAUAUAUAAUUUCAACAAUGCAUAAAUAAUUACAACAUACGCAAUACAAUAAUAUUACACAACUAUAUUUUCAAAUAUAAUAUAAGAUCAUUAAAGUGAUAAAUUGUAGUUGUAUAAAGUAUUUAUACAAGUAAAGAAGAAAUUAUGAGAUUAAAAUGCUUGUUGGAUUCUAAGUAAAAAAGAAAUGAGAUAUAGAGAUUGUCCCAUCAGACAUAUAGAAUUUCAUAUACAUAAUUUUCCCUUCAAGAAAAUUUAGGGUCAAAUUGAAAAAAUUUCAUUCAUAGAUUUUGGUAAAACCUCUAUCUAGUCCCCGAAGUCUUGUAUACAAAAGGAAAUAACAUUGGUAUGAGGGGUUUGAAUGCUUAAUUUUAGAUUGAAAAUGCUUGAGAUAAUUUUUGAUCGACUUCACAUGUGUUUUUAAUAAACUUGGAACAUUCAAACUUGUAUUUGAAGAAUCUUCAAUUUGAUCUUAAAUAAUGUUGAAACCUUCAAAAUUUGAAUAGAAGAAUCUUUAAGCAUUUGAAUUUUGGUUUAAAGAAUUUUGAAAUUUGAGACUGAAGAAUCUUCAAAUUUGGGCCUGAAGAUCAAAGGCUAAGCUUGAAGAGUUCUUGAAGCUUGAGUGGUAUGUCCGAUUUUGUUUUGUAUUUUAUAAAAACUUUUAGGCUAUGUUUGGUUCCCAGAAAAUUUGAGGGAAAAUGCGAGGGAAAGAAAAUACAAAGGAAAAGUAGAAGGAAAGAAAAAGUGAAGGAAAAUAAAAAAAUAGAUUAAAAGUUGAUAAAUUAUUUUUUUUGUUACUUCAAACUCAUUUUAUUUAUUUUAACUCAUCAAUAUAAAGAUUAAAUAAUUUAAAAAUAUAAAAGUUUUUAAUUAGUUUUAAUUAUAUUUAAUUUUCUUUGAUAUUUUUUAUAAGACAACCAAACAUGAGAAAAUCAUUUUCCUUAGCAUUUUUUUUCUUUCCUUUGUACUUUCCGGGAACCAAACAUAGCCUUAAGUAUACUAUAUUUAUAGGUUUGAAGAGACAUUGAGAUUUUGUAUACAUGUUUGGAGUUUUAAACCUUGAAAUAUUACUCUUUUAUGAAAUUAACAUUUAUAAAAUUUGGAAGAACAUAAUUAGAUAAUAUUCUAAGUUAUUUUUAAUGAAAAUUGAUAAUUACCUUUUAAUUAUCAAAUUCACUAUUUCUAUUUAUUUUUGUAAUAUAUAUUAAUUACUAAAAUCAUUUAUUUCCUUUAUUUAGUUUGAAAGCAAUUAUAUAUCUUUUGUUUGUGUAGAGCUCAUGUGACACGACAAAUUUUAUUUUGUAACUUGCUCUGGAUGAAUGGCCAUUAUAAACUUCAUUUUAUCCUCAUCUGAUUUUGACGUGGGAAUAGGAGAGAUGAGGAUUUGACAUUUGGACCUAAGCCUCAGAGGGUUUUAACUCCACUCAACUACUUUAUGCCUUGUAUUUAAUAUUGCAAACCAAAAUAAUAACAGACAUGAUCCUUUUCAAAAUUUUUAUAUUAAUAGAAGUGUAAAUAAUAUAAGUAAAAAUAAUGUAAUAUUUUUUAAAAUGAUAAAAUAAUAGGUUACAUAAAUUUUAAUAUAUAGGUAAAAUUAAUUAAAUUUUAACAAAUACCUUCACACUUAAACAUUACAUAUCUUUUAUUUAAUAAAAUGUUAAAAUAUUAAUAUAUUUAAAAUUGUAUAAUUAUUUUUAUUUUAAUACUAUAUAAAUUAUAUAUUUAUGAUAUUACUGGUUCAACUAUAAUUCAAUCACUGGUCCAACCAUUGAACCAUGAAUUAGUAAAUUUUUUUAUUCAAUGAUAGGUUUGAUUCUAAAAACAUUAUGGCUAUGUUUGGUCCCAGAAAUUUUUUUUUGAUGGAUAAUGACAAAGAUAUUACCAAUUUGAUAUCACCAAUUGAUAACACAAUUAAAAAAUAAUAUGAAUUUUAACAUAUUUGAAUUCAUUGUAAUCAUAUCCAUGACCUAAUUUUACACAUCCUUAAAUCAUGGUUGAUUUAUGAAACAAAUCUAUACCAUCAAUAGAAAAUAAAUAAAUAAAAUAAUACAAAAAAAAUAUAUAGAUAGUCAAGCAUAGCAAUUUACCAAACCCUUAGCCACCAUCCAUACUAACCUGUUGUUGUUAAAUGUUUACAAAAAUAUACAUUAAAUCAAAGAGUAAAAAGAUUAAAAACGAACAAGAGAGAAGAAAUACAUCACCUAAUUUUUGUAAUAAAUGAAAUUAUAAUAAAUUCAUAAUUUUUUUAAAUUAAAAUAGGAAUUCAAAUACAUGUAACUAUUGUUUUUGUCUUGUAAAUCAUCCAAUUUUUCAAUGAAUUUAAACUCCACAGAUUUGUGUAGAUAUCUUAUUAAAAAAAGCAAAAAGUUUUCACUAAAAUCAUAAAAUUUAGAUUAGAAAUGAUUUACUAUAUUAGUUCAAAAUUCACCUCCACAAAAAUUGAAAUAAAUUAAUUAUCUUCAAUUCAAAUAAAAUUUCUCCAAUUAAAUUUCCAAAUAUGUGCCUUAAUACCUAUAAUGGAAUUAGUAAUUUUAAUUAAAAUAAAAAUAAAAAUAAGGAUUUGAUCUUUUUCUUACCAUUUGAUGAAAAUUAUAAAAUAUAUUAAAAUGACAAGUGAUCAGACAUUUGAAAUUUGCAUCAUUUCUACCAUUGCAAACACCACCAACCCCAUAUUUCCCAUUUUUCUACCUACUGCCAAUUCACUCAUCUCUCUGGGAAGAUUUUUGAGGUUAUCGUCAUGCUUGAGAUAAUCCAGAAAGUUGAGCGGCAUCACUCUCUGAAAGGUGCCUUACAGCAUGGGUAAUGUAUGGGAUACAUCUGAUAACUUGCCAUAUCCAUAAACCACUAUAUUAAACCAUGGUUCAUAUCCCCAACGUUACACGAGAAUCUGUACUCAUCCCAAGCAGCUUGGAGAUCAUAAAAUUAGGUUUUGAGGGCCUCCCGAGACAUGCACAGCUUCACCCUUUGUGCAUUCCUUUGAUUUGGAAAAUUUCUUCUUUAGAAUUCCCCAUUAUCAUGCCCUGAACCAAGACAUAUCAUGAUUGGAUGGGCCCCUUCACCAAUUUCACAAUAUCCAAUAGCAUAUCAUUUACUUCCCUUUUGUCAAUGGGAAUUACCAUUUUGCAUGGGAAGCACCAACGGAGAUGGAGGUUUUCAAAUUGGAUCACUAGCAAAGAAACCCACCGCAACUAUCUGAAUAAUUGAGCACAACAUCGGCUUUAGAGAACUCCUCCUGAAGGCGAAAUCGUCAUCUUGGCUAAACGUAGUCAUAGUUGGGUUGUGAGAAAUGGAGAUGAAUCAUAGAAGGCUUUCAGUUUCAUAGCAACGAAAAGGUAAAUGUACUCUAGAGAAGUUUUGACCUUGGGAGAAGCGCUUUUGAAUCCAAGUCAAGGUCUGUUCUGGAUCCCUUUUCGACUCUCUCUAUUAAAGGAAGAUAAUCUGCCUAGGAUUUGGAUGCAAGCUUGCAAGGCCAUGUUUAGGAGACUUAUGCAAAAUAUUUAUCCAUAGCUCCCCGCCUGAAACAUCUACAUAAAGCGUCUUCCAAGUGUGAACCAUUGUCUUGGGUCCUUGAGAUGAACAAAAACUGAGACAUAUCGUGAGUUAGAUGCAUUGCCUGAAAAUGCCGAGCAGUAGUAUGGCCUUCUUUCUGAUCAACUGUUUUGUCAAAUUCUAGAGCUCUCAUUCCAAAUCCAUCAGUUUUCUCAAAUGAUUGGCUAGUGGAGAUCCAUGGAUAUAACAUAUGAAAUGUGCACAAUAAAAGUAAUCAAACGGUUGGUUGGUUUGGCUGAAUCCCACAAUCGCAAAGACUAAUCAUAUGAAACUGUUACCAGCUGAGUUGAAUUUGGCCUAAAAAGGAUAUCCGUUACUACAAACUAGCGUUCUUUCAUGGUGCUCUCUCUUUGCAGGCUAUCCAUGUUCCAAAGAAAAACUCUCUUGUCAUGUCUGGCACUAGGCACUGAUUAGAGUGUGGGACGUUCAUUCUCCAUUAUCACCAAACACAUGCAGGAUAUAUAUAUAUCAAUUCAUUCAAAAUAUGCCUUUAUUUUAUGGAACAUAACCGAAUCCAUUUUGUUUGUGUUGAAGAGGUAUAGAUCUUCUAAGGCUGUGGAGGGCACCACCUUUUCUCAGAAUUCUCUCUGACGAUGGGAAGCCGAAGAGAACGGGUUUUGUUUUUAUUUUGAAAACGUUGUUAUCAUUAAAGAACAAACACUAUUCUUUGGAUUUAUACCCUCUUGCCUUAGGGACCAUACUGUUUGGCUAUUGGGCCUCACGAGUCUUAGGCCCAUCAUCUAAGGCCCAUGAUGGCACUGGGCUCUACACAUAAGGUGACCCAUACUCUGGAACGAAUAGAAAUCAUAUGUAUAUAUAUGGAUAGCUAAAUCCUGAACAAUGGUUAAUAUGAUGUCGGUCCACAUUUAUUCUAUCAAUCUCCCACUUGGACCACAUAUAUUACAAAACAAUGUUCAUGAUAGUACUUUAUUGAGCUCAUCUUUGCUAUCCUAUCUUAAUAUCCUUAAACAAUCCGGUCUACUAGUUAUGCUAACAUAGGAUCAAAGUGGCCUUCAUUAAUCAUAAUUAUAACUAGACCCAUCAAUGAUCACAACAUUAACAAAAUUAGCAACAUAGAUCAAGUAUGGAUGUGUAGCAUGGAAAUUACAUAAAAUGUGAUCUUUAUUAUGUCUAUUUCCAAUUGGUCCUACUUUAUGACUAAAAAAUAGUCAAAUUCCACUUUCAACACUUGAUGCUAAACUGCUUUUAAAAGUCAUCAUUUCAAUUCAGAGAAUUCAAAUACAAUAGUCUUUAAAAUCAAGGUUUGUACAGAUAACACAAUAUAACAUCAUAUCAAGAAAACAAACACAAAAUCUAAAUACAAACUCCCACUAUACUGGAACAUCAUCAAUAUGUACAACACCCAUAUGUGUGACAUGAUCAUGAUAUACUUUGGGUGGCAAACCCUUAGUGAGCGGAUCCGCAAUCAUGAAGUUUGUGCUUGUAUGUUCAAUCGAUACUUGAAGACUCUAAACUCUUUCUUUCACAACCAAGAACUUGAUGUUAAUGUGUUUGGACUUUGACGAACUUCGGUUGUUCUUAGAAUUACAAUUCUGUGGCUUUAUUAUCACAAUUUAUUCUUAAUGGUUUCUCAAUCUCAUCAACGAUUCGCAACUGAGUGACAAAAUUCCGUAGCCAUAUCCCAUGGUUUGAUGCUUUGUAGUAGGCUAUGAAUUCUGCCUCCAUGGUGAAAGAAGCAAUAAGUAUUUGUUUAACACUUUUCCAUGAAACUGUUCAUCCAACCAACAUGAAGAUGUAGCUUGAAGUGGAUCUCUUGCUGUCAAGACAUCCCACGAAAUCGGAGUCCGAAUAUCCCAUGAUCUCUAAAUGACUGGAUCUACGGUAUGUGAGCAUAUAAUCUUUAGUUCUUUGUAAAUACUGCAUAACCUAUUUUGCCUUUUUCCAGUGAUCCAUACCUGGGUUACUCAAAUAUUUGCCUAACAUUCCAAUAAUGUACGUAAUAUCUGGAUGCGUACAAACUUGUGCAUACAUGAGACUUCCUAUUGUUGAGGCAUAGGGAAACCUCUUCAUAUCCUUCUUUUUAAGUUCAUUUUUCGGACAUUGGUGCAAACUAAAUUUAUCGCCUUUUGCUACAGGCAUGUCUCCUGGUGUACAAUUGCUCAUGCCAAAUCUACUUAACACCUUAUCGAUGUAGGCCUUUUGUGAUAACCCAAGUAUACCUCUUGAACGAUCCUUAUAGAUCUGUAUACCCAGCAAAAAAGAUGCAUUACCUAGAUCCUUCAUGUCAAAUUUACUAGACAAAAAUCGCUUUGUUUCAUGCAAAAGUCCCACAUCACUACUUGCAAGUAGAAUAUCAUCAACAUAUAGCACCAAGAUAAUGAAUUUGCUCUCACUAAACUUGAGAUAUAUGCAUUGAUCAAUGGUGUUUUCCUUAAAACCAAAUGAAGUAAUCACCUGAUCAAACUUUUGGUACCAUUGUCAAGAUGCUUGCUUUAAACCAUAUAUGGACCUUUUUAAUCUGCAUACAAGUUGCUUUGAAUCAUUAGACUCAAAGUUCUCCGGUUGCAUCAUGAAUAUUGUUUCAUCAAUGUUACUAUUAAGAAACGUAGUUUUAACGUCCAUUUGAUGCAGCUCUAAAUCAUAAUGAGCCACAAGUGCCAUGAUGAUUCUAAAGGAGUCAUUUGACGAAACCGGUGAAAAGGUCUCCUUAUAAUCAAUGCCUUCCUUUUGAGUGAAACCUUUUGCGACUAGACGUGCCUUAUACCUAACAAUGUUGCCUUUUGAAUCCCACUUGGUCUUAAAAAUCCAUUUACAACCAAUCGGUUUUACACUUUCAGGCAACUUUACUAGGUCCCAAACACCAUUGUCUUUCAUUGAUUUCAUCUCAUCCUUUAUGACUUCUAUCCACUUUUCAGAGUCAGAACUUUGUUUGAAUUGACUAACUGAAAUUGGAUCGUCUUCCAAACCCAUGUCAAACUCUUGUUCCUGGAGAUGUACAACAUAAUCAUCUGAAAUUGUACUUCUCAUUUCUCUAGUGGAUCUCCUUAGUGGCACUUGUAUUUGAGGUUCUUGAGGCUGUUGAGUUACCUCUUCAUAAACUUGAAUCGGUUCCAUAACUUGAGCAGGAGGAAUCUCAGGUGUGUUUUGAAUCUCUGUUAUUGACUGCACAUUCUGGAUAGUGUCAUCAAACAUAAUAUGACCAUGUCCAGUUGUAAUAAUAGGAACACUAACAGAUUACUCUUCAAAUACCACAUUUCUUAACGGUUCUCUCCCAUUUAACUCAACAUCCUCAAUAAAUUUAGCUUUGCCCGUUUCAAAAAAGGAUCUAGUUGAGGGGUCAUAAAACUUGAAACCUCUCAACCUUUUAGAAUAUCCUACAAAGUAGCAGCUCACUGUUCUGGAGUCCAAUUUCUUUUCAUUUGGUUUUUAAGGCCUAGCUUUAGUUGGACAACCCCAGACAUGCAAGUGCCUAAUACUAGGUUUCUUGCUAGUUCAUAACUCAUAUGAGGUUUUGGCUACUGCUUUGCUUGAGACUCUAUUCAAAAUAUAAAUUGUUGUUUUGAUGGCUUCGCCCCAAAGUGAUUCUGGUAAGGUGGAAUGACUGAUCAUACUUCUUACCAUAUCCUUAAGAGUACGGUUUCGCCUAUCUGCUACACCAUUUUGGCUUGGAGUCCCCAGCAUAGUGUAUUGAGGAACGAUACCACACUCCAUCAAAUAUUUGGCGAACGACCCUAGACGUUGUUCAUUGGAUCCGUCAUAUCUGCCAUAAUAUUCACCUCCACGGUCAGAUCUGACGACCUUUAUUUUCUUGCUUAGUUGGUUCUCAACUUUAGCUUUGAAAUUCUUGAACACAUCUAAUGAUUGAGACUUCUCAUGAAUCAAAUAAAGAUAGCCAUAGCGCGAGUAAUCGUCAAUGAAAGUGAUAAAAUAUUGUUGUCCAUUCCAAGAAGGGGUAGGAAAUGGACCACAAAUGUCCGUAUGUAUCAAUUCAAAGACGUCACUGCACUUGUUAGCAUCAUUUUUUUCUCAUAUUUGUUUGUUUACCCUUAAUACACUCUAUACAGACUCGAAAGUCUAUGAAAUUAAGUGGAUCAAGAAUUCAUUCUGACACAAGCCUUUGAAUACGUUGAUUUGAAAUAUGACCCAAACGCCUGUGCCAUAACAUCGAUGAAUUCUCAUUUGUUAAUUUCCGUUUAAUGUCAUAAUUACUUGAAUUCAAGGUUUCAUUUCCAUUAGUGGUCUUUAUAUUUAAUUUGUAUAAUUUGUCUAUUAGACUACCUGUACCAAUAACAUUUGAAUUUAGAUAAAGACUAACCAUUCCAUUUCUAAAUGAACAAUAAUAUCCAAAUUUGUCUAGACAUAAAACAGAAAUUAAAUUCCGUCUAAACGACGAUACUACAAAAGUCUCUUCCAAAUCCAAAGUACAUCCAGAGUCUAACUGUAAUCUAAAAAGACCAAUAGUCUUGACUGCAACCUUGUUGCCAUUUCCCACAUAGAUGUAUUUUUCACCAUCAGUUGGCAUUCGACUCCUUAGGCAACCCUACAUCGUGACACUUAUGUGAGUAGUUGCACCCGUAUCUAUCCACCAAGUGUCAGUAGGCACUACGACUAAAUUAAUUUAUGAACAAACAAAGUUGAGAAGUGUACCUUUCUUUUCACGCCAAGCGGCGUAUUUGGUACAUGUCUUCUUCAUAUGACCAACCUUCUUGCAAAAGAAACAAGUCAUCUCCUUAUCUUGUUUCUUCUGCACCUUUUGCAUUGAUGUCCUAAAAAUUGCAUUUUGUUUUUCUUUAUUGUCCUUCUUUCUUUUCUUUUUGGUACCAAAUCCCUGAGAUGUGGAAGCCAAGUGAGAACUUUCUAUCUUUUCUUGUUUCAAUCUCUCAUCCUCUUGUGCACAUUGAGCAAUAAGCUCAUUCAAAGUCCAUUUUUCCUUUUGUGUUGUAACUAAUUUUGAAUGGACUGAAUUGUGUAGGCAGAGAGAUUAAGACCAAGUGCACAAGUAUGUCUUCCGAAAACUCUAACUUUAGUGCCUUUAGUCUAGUCACAAGAUUAGACAUUUCCAUAAUAUACUCCCUUAUAUUCUCUUUCCCUUUGUAUCGCAUAGAGACAAGCUUACUAAGAAUAGUGCUUGUCUCAACCUUUUCAUUUGAAGCGAAUCGGUUUGCUAUCUGGUCUAAGAAUGCCUUGGCUUGAGUUUUCUCAGGUAUUGGACUCCUUAUAGCUUUUGGAAUUGAGUACUUCGUUAUCAUUAGACUCAUGCGAUUGGAUCGCUCCCAUUUUUCCAUAGUAGACCUUUGCUCAGUAGUGCUGGCACUAGUAAGAUCUGGAGGGCGAUCCUCUCUUAAUGCAUAGUCUAAAUCCAUGCACCCGAGCACAAUUAUAACGUGCUCCUUCCAUUUCUUGAAGUUUGUGUCAUUAAGCGCAGGAAUGUUAUUAACAUUUGUAGAUAUAGAAUAUGUUAAAUUCAUAAUAAUAAAGCUCACAAUCAAUCACAUAAACAUCAUACAUACAUGAAAAAUAACAUCAUACAAGAUACUUAGCACAAAUAUUAAUAUUUUGUCUUUGGACAAUAAAUAUUAACUUGUAAUUGGUAUCCUUAUACAAAAUUAAUUCAUAAAUAUUGACAAUAAAACCAAAAACAAUAUGUUUGUCUUUAGACUAAUAUGUCGAAUGCAAGAUAAACUUUAUAUGUCACAUAUUUAUGACUACUUUAUUUAUUAUUAUAUUAAAAUAAUCUUCCUUUGGGCCGAUUAUUUUAAAUAAUAAUAAUAACAUGUUUAGAUAUUAUAAAAUAAAUAAAUUAUAUAAUAUAAGUUACUUUGGCAACUAACAUACAUAAUUCAUUUAUUUUAAAAUAUUAAACACAAACAUAACAAGAAAUAAUAAAUUCAAUUAAAAUUAUUUAUUUAUUUAUGCAUAAUAUAUAUAUAUAUAUAUAUAUAUAUAUAUAUAUAUAUUAAUUGAAGCAUAAAAAACCAUCUACAUGUGUAUAUAUAUCAAUUGAAGCAUAUAUACAAGCAUUAGUCUAAUGGUUUAAGCAAAAAAUAGGCCAUGGUAAAGGGUUUAAGCCAACCCGCCCCUUUAGUUUGGUUUUUGUUUUUUUUUUUUUUUUUUUUAAUUUCUUUUGGGCUACUGACCAUGCAUUCUCUCAUGGCCCAACGAAUAUAUAUAUAUAUUUGUUUUAAAAAAAUUUUGUCCAUUGCAGCCCAAAGCGACCAUCCCUUGUAAUGGCAUCAUCAACGGUGCCAGAGCUGUCCUCGAACGACACCGACAGUGAAACGCCGCCACCAUCACCGGAACGGUGAUUUCCCAUCGCCAAACGACGGUGUCACUACCAGAAUGACGUUGUAACGGCAUCGCUGGGAAGCAGCCUAACCUGUGGCGUGACACCAUGACAAGCAAUGCCGCUAGCAGUGAAACGUUGUCGCCAUCACCAGAAUGGUGAUUUUCCAUCGCCAAACGAUGGCGCCACCAUCGAAACAACGCUGAAACGACGUCACUGGGAAGCAACCCUACCCGCGGCACCAAAAUGGCACUUGGAUGACAUUUGGAACUCUUGCAACAACGCUCAAAUCAGCGAUUCUCACUGGCAAAUGACGCUUGAACGACGUCUGGAAAUAAUGCCUACAACGCCUAAAAAUUGUGCUCUUUUGAACGCCUGAAACAACGUUGAAAUGACGUCUACCGGCGUCUGGAAUUGCACCGCUGUCUAGAACGAUGCCAUGAUGGUGUCUCACUCACCUUAAAUGGCACCAACCACCGUGACUUGCAUCCCCAAAAAUGGCACUUGAACAGCGCCUGAAGCGUGCCUGGAACGACGCUGCAAACGAUGCUUGAAAUGGUGCAUUUUGUAUGCUUGAAAAUGGCACAGGAAUGACGCCUACACUACGUCCAUUUUGAAUGCCUGAACGGUGUCCUAACGGCGCCUGAAUGACGCCUGGAAUUGGCCCAGAUUUAUUUUAUGUUGUUUCCUUCCUCUUGGAUCUUUUGUUUGUGUUUUAAAAAAAAAGUGUUUUGGUGAAAAUGGGAAAUGCAACCAGGCUCUGAUACCAUUUUGUGGGACGUUCAUUCUCCAUUAUCAUCGAACACAUGCAGGAUAUAUUUAUAUAUAUAUAUAUAUAUCAAUUCAUUCAAAAUAUGCCUUCAUUUUAUGGAACAUACCCGAAUCCAUUUUGUUUGUGUUGAAGAGGUAUAAAUCUUCUAAGGCUAUGGGGGGUACCACAUUUUCUUAGAAUUCUCUAUGACGAUGGGAAGCCAGAGAGAACAAGUUCUAUUUUUAUUUUGAAAACGUUGUUAUCCUUAAAUAACAAACACUAUUAUUUGGAUUUAUACUCUCCUACCUUAGGGACCAUACCCUUUGGCUAUUGGGCCUUACGAGUCUUAGGCCCAUCAUCUAAGGCUCGUGAUGGCACUAGGCUCUACACAUAAGGUGGCCCAUACUCUGGAACGAAUAGAAAUCAUAUGUGUAUAUAUGGAUAGCUAAAUCUUGAACAAUGGUUAAUAUGAUGUCAGUUCACAUUUAUUAUAUCAUAGAGACUUCCCAUAUGAAGAAAAUUGACAGUAGGUAGCUUUGCCAUUCUUGUCCGUAUACAACCAACCUUAGCAAGGGUUGAACCCUUUUAUGCUUAGUUGUGCCAUACAAAUCCUUACCACCGCCUACAACAUGUAAUCGAAAUGAUUCGAUAAUAUCAUCUAGUGAACCAAUACCUCCAAAUGAGAGACCAUUGCCUUGGUAACUAGGGCUCAUGACUGAGAAUUGCGUGAACCCCUUUGCUUGGGUUGGAGCUUAACUGAUGCACAAAAUAUUCAUAGGCCUCUUCCCAUAACUGGCACCUUGUGUUUGCAACAUAAUUGAACAUGUAUUGAAGUGAGUUUUUUUGCAUCUUUUUGUAAGAAAAUUCUAAACAACAGAGACUGCUUAGUGUGCCCGGCUCCUCGGGAAAUCAAGGUUCAUUCCUGUAGGGCCAGUUUUUUCACAGUCGAACUAGAUAACAUGGAGAGUAUGUUGCAAUGCUUCAACAGGGUAUUUCUUAGGAAAAUCCACCUGAAGUUGGUACAAUUCGUUGGCGUACUGAGUUCCUGGAGCUCUAUUGACUUCAAUCACCCAUCUCUGUAGAUUAUCGAUGACUUAUGCUCGGAUCCUGUAGGAGGAUUGACCUGACAUUCCACUAGCUCUUUCUGGAAGACGAUCUUGUUUAACACCUUGUGAGAAGAGGCAAGGGAACUGGUCAUUGUUUCUUCGAGAAGAUCAGUGGCCGAGGAUGGGUUUGGACCAUAAUUGCUAUAUGGGUUUUCUUUGGGUGAACCAAUUAGUGGAGUGGGUGGCUAUAUAGCAACUGAAGGGUGGUCAUACUAAUGAGGAGCUAUUAUUUCAUGCAUGUGGAGAGGAAAUGAGUAGCUUCUUCAAGGAUAUAUGAUUAUUCAUCUCUAGCUUACGUUGAAUAUCUCCUAACAAAUUUCUGCUUUGAAGCUCCCUUAGUUUCACUACAGCUAACUUGGCCAACUUGGUUUCAUCAUGUUUCCUACAACCUCUAAGCAAAGCACGCCAGAUCACUGAAUCAGGUUCUAUUUGCAUUUUGUCCAUAAACUCCUUUGCCUAUUGACAAUAAACUGCCCCUCAAAAUUUGAUGAGAUAACAUCAAUGCUGACAUGUUGGUCAUCCCCAUAAGCAUCUUUAUAGAGAUUGAUUCUAUGUUUAGAUAUUUCUCUCUCCUCAAGUGAGUUCAACUUUUUUGUAACAUCCUUCUCCUUCUCUACUAAUAGUCUUAGUUGAACAUCCAACCUAUGUUCCCAAAGUGCCAGCAUCUCAUAUCUGAUGACAAGCCAACAACCUUGCCCUUGCUGAGACCCAAAUAAGUAUCCAGAACCAUCAGCAUCAACCCUUUCAUAGGCCUUUGUAUUUGAAGGUCGGAUUGGGAUUGCUUUGAAUGCACUGGCACUACAAUACACAAUUGUAUCUUCUCCAAUAAAAACACCACACAGAGGUGAGGGGACUGGUAUUAGCAAAGAAGUGUUGUUAUCUAUAUUGUUCUGAGCCCGAGUACCCUCAACAAAAUCCUCAUCCUCAUCUGUACUCUUCCAUUACAUCCCUAGGCUUUUCAAUGUGAUCCACAUGGCUUACAGGAAUCCAGAAAUACCAGUCUGUAUAAAUGUUGCUCUUAUGGGGCUCUCCUAGAAAACAUCCCUAUCAAGAUGAUCAACCUAGCUUAGAUGCUCAGCACCCCAAACUUACUAGAAAUAGAGGAAUUAAAAGCAAGGAUAGGAGCCAAAGUAAAAAUUUAGGGAAGAGCAAAUAGGAAAUCAAGCAAAACAUGAAUGUACAGAGCCUCAUUUCAGGUGACAUCUUUGGGCUAAUAAUAGGUGGAAUUAACAAAGUAGACAAGCAUGAUUGUUAUAAAUAUCAAGUUCAAGGAUGAAGCCGUGCAUCAGCUACUUAUAGGGGGAGUCAAGGAAACCAAGAUAAGAUCAAAGAGAGCAUGUAUGCAAAUAAACAGAUUCGAAAAAAUAGACCAAACAACUCGUGAAUAUCCUCCUACAAAAAACUACUACACGUGGCAAAAAGUGAUGAAACAAAAAGAGUCGGGUCCGCAUAUACAUAUCCUAUUCUAUCCUAUUCCUUCAAAUCCAAAGCAACCUGUAUUUUCAAUGGGAUUUGUUGUGAUGAAUUUUACUGGAUUGUAACAUGUAAAUAUGUUAAAAGAGGCUUGGGACAUUCCUAUAUAGUAACGCAUAAAGGUACUUCCAUUGUGAAGUUGUCAAAAUUGCAAAUUUAAAUUACAAAAUUUGAAAACAUAGAGAUGAAAGAUGAUGAAACCUUCUUUGAAAUUUUAUAUUGAACUCAUUAAUAUUAUUAAUUUUCAUUUCAGUGUAGGGGAAAGAAUUCUUUACUCUAAAGUGGUCACAAAAAUAUUAAAAUUCCUUGUUGAGAGAUUUAGACCUAAAGUGAUCAAUAUAGAAGAAAGUAAAAAUAUUCUAAGUGUAGGUAAACUUGUAGACUCAAAUGACUCUACCUUCUCAUAAAAAAUCCUCAAUUUUAUAAAUUAUAUAGAUUUCUUCAUUUGAUACAAAAUUUGAAUAAAGAUUUUUCAAAUGACAACACAAGGAAAGGGAAAAAAAAAAUUCUCUCCAGUUCAUUUCAUUUAAUCACUUAAAUUAUUUAAAAAUAAAAAUGUUUACUGCUAACAUUAUUUAGAUUCAUCUUUCUUUUGAUGGAGGUUAAAAUUCAUAAUUUUGAGGAAAAAGAUGAGGAUUCUCAUUUUUUUUUCCAUGUAUGAAUGGGAUUCUCAUUGUGUAUAUGUGGGUUACUAAAUGGCAAAUUUAGGGGCCAAUAUGAGGAAAAAUAUGAAGUUGAGUUUGUCACCAAGAACAAACAUGACUCCUAUAAAGGUGGCAUCCUUAAUUUCAUGUCUGGAUUAGACUUCUCAUGUAACAACUUAACAGGUGAAAUCUCUCAUGAACUUGGAAUGUUAAGUUUGAUUCAUGCAUUGAACUUGUCUCGCAAUCAACUAAAGGGCUCCAUUUCAAACAGUUUUUGCAAUCUUUCUCAAACAGAGAGCUUAGAUCUUCUUAAUAAUAAACUAAGUGGAGAAAUUCCUCCAAAAUUGGUUAGACUAACUUUUUUAGUGGUGUUCAAUGUGACUCAUAGUAGCAUCUUUGGAAGAGUUUCAGAUAUGAAUGCAUAAUUUGCAAUAUUUGAUGAAAGUAACUAUGAAGAUAAUCCUUUCCUUUGUGGACCACCAUUAAAGAGAAAAUGUAGCAUAAAUGUUAAGCCACCUUACCCACCAUUAGAGUCUUCGGAAAAAAGUGAUGCAAAAUGGUAUAAUAUCGAUCUUGUGGUUUUCUUUGCAAGUUUUACUAUAUCAUAUAUCAUGAUAUCAUUAGGAAUUUCAACCAUUCUUUACAUUAACCCUUAUUGGUGUCAAAGAUGGUUCAAUUUUAUCGAGAAAUAUAUAUACUUUUGCUAUUAUUUUGUUUCCUAUACUCUUUCCAAGUUAUUAACAUAUUUUGAAUAAUUAGAGAUUUUUGUUUUCAAUAAUAUUUACAUAAUUAACUACUAUUGGCUUCCAUGACAUGGAAAGAAAUGCGGUGAAGGCAACAACCACUUUUUUUUCUCCUCUACUAGUGCAUGAUUGAUAUGAGUUAAAACUUGCACCCUUAUCUUUGCUUAAAUUUUCUCAGCUUUUGUUUCAAUUCUUAAUUAUCAUUUCUUUUAUGUGUUGUUUAAUACAAUAUCCUAAACACAUUGCUUUGAAGGUUACUUAUUUAUUAAGCAUGAUAUUUAUUUUUCAUAAAGACAAAUUCAAGUUUUUUAGGAAUUUUUAGAAUUAUUAUAAUUUGGAGUUCACAUUAGAGGAAAAAAGGAAAGAAAAGAAUAGAUGAUUAAAAAAACAAUUUUAGUAAGUAUAAUUUGUCAUCUUCGGUAUAACAAAUGGGAAUUCCAAAAUAAUAUUUCAAUUUGUUAGUCUAUUCCUUAUAGUAUUAAUUGAUAUAUCAAAUAGGAAGUCACGUUUUGAUUUUUUAUUAGCUUCAAUUGCAUGUCACAUAUAUUUUAAAAUCAAGCAUACCUCAGCCGGGAAGUUCUUGUAACAUGCAUGAACAUGAUAUGAUGAAUUGAAUAAUUUUCUUAAUUGUGUGAGACACAAACCCUCUUUGUUUAAUAAUAAUAAUAAUAUACUACACAUUAUUAAAUCAUAUAUGUAUAUUUAUAGUCGUAUAAUAUAUUCAAAAUAUUAAACACAUUACCCUCUUAAAUUUUUAUGAAUGGUGUUUACUUUACAUAACGACAGAUUCAAAUUUUUUUAGAAUUUUUUAAUGUUAAAAUAAUUUGGAGCUUAAUAGGGAAAAAAAAGAAUAAAUAAUUAGAAAAGCAAUUCAAAAAAAAUAAAAUUUAUCCUCUUAAAUUGGUUUUGUGUAAUACUAUAGAAGCCAUUUCUUGAGUUUGAUAUGGUAGAAUUCGGAUUCAUAUUUAUUUUAAAAUAAAGAAUUUCAAGGGUUGGUAGCAUCAAUAGAAUCUUAACAAAUUUGCAAAAAAGUAUUUGGGUAGAUCACAUUUAAAUAUAGCUAACAGAAUAAAAAAUUAAUAUUAUUAGGAAGACAUGAUCAAUUAAAUCUUUUUUCUUAUCUAUGACACCGAUUUUAUAUUUUUACAUAGUCAAUAUAAUUUAUUACAACUUAUAUGUCAUUAAAUUAUACAUGCUUAUAUUAAAUAUAAUAUAAGAUCAUUAAUGGAAUAAUUAUGCAAGUAAUAUAAAUUGUAUAUAAUAUAAAAAAUUUAAACUCCGUCAAACUAAUGGAAUCUAUUAUAAUAAGUAGACUAGACACCAUAUUGGCCCGAGUUGGAGGCCUGGGCCAGAUUUUAAAGGCUGGGCUUUGAGUUGCCCGUGGGCCUGAGCCAAGGCCUUCUCUUGGUAUCAUCAUUUUGAAGAAAUAAAUUGCUGAUACAGAGAAAAAAACUAUACUAAAUAGAAAAAUAAAUAAAAGCAUUGACUAAAAUGAAGGUCAAGGUCCUUGAAAAAUAAUCUUUAAAUUGUUGCAUAUAUAAUUUCAAUAAUGCAUAAAUAAUUGCAAUAUAUAUGAUAUGAUAAAGAAUUUGGAAUUAAAAGAAGAUUGAUCUAUUUUAAAUGUGGUUGGAAUAUUUUUAAAUUUGUGAUGGGAAGUUAGACAGCCAAUUAGGGAUCCAUAUUAUUUAUUUUCAAUUAUAUGAAUUUAUUUACUUUUAUUAAUAUUCUGAAUGCAACAAUAUAAAAUAUGUCAAUUUUCUAAAAUUAAAAAAGUAAUUGCAAAAGAAAAUUUUUAAUUAUUUUUCUGAAAUUGAGUUUAUCAUAACAUUUUUCUUUACAUAAAUUUCUUUUUUAUGUUUAUUUUUUUAAAAAUGAGAUAUGAAAAAAAAAGAUCAAUAUUAGUAAAAGUAAAACCCAAUAUAUAUAAAAAAAAUGAAUAAAUGUUUAUGAAAUAAGAUUUAAAAGUGAGAAGGUAAUAAAUUUUUUCUCUUUUAAUUCCUAUUCAAUACAUUACAAAAAAUAUUUUUGGUUUUUAUGCUAAAAUUUAUUGUUUAUUAAAAAAUUCUAGUAUAUCUAGCUAUCAUAGAAGAGCUCCAAAAUUUUAUUGUUUAAGAGAAUGUGUUGCCACUUUAAAAGAUUUAUAUGCAUACCUUUGGAUAUGUUUAGUUCCCGGUAAAUUUGAAGGAAAAUGUGAAGGAAGAAAAAUAGAGAAGAAAAGUAUAACAAAAUAAAAAGUGAAGGAAAAUGAAAAAUAGAUUUAAAAUUAAUAAAUUAUUUUCAUUGGUUUUUUCAAAUUUAUUUUACUUAUUUUAUUCUAUUAAAUAAAGAUUAACUAAUUUUAAUUAUAUUUGGUUUGAUUUUUAUUAUUUUUCAAAGCAAAACCAAAUAUGAAAAAAAAAACAUUUUUUUUGGUUAUUUUUUUCUUUCCUUAUUACUCUUCGGGACUCAAACAUAGCUUUUAGAUUUGGGGCAUGGAAAAAUAAGAGUAUUGAAUAAGGGUUCUAUAUAUGCCCAUGCCCAUGCCCAUGAUACCAUUGAAAAAAAUGGAGAGAGGGUGAAACCUUUACUAGAUGAUAAAUUAUUCUCUUCAAUGGAAAUCAAAUAUAAUUAUUUUUAUCUUGUAUUAAUUGAAUGUUAUACUCCAUAAACUCAAAAUUAAAAUAAAUAAAAAAUUUAAAAACUAGGACAAUCCCAUUUUUUUUCAAUUUCUUAAAAAGAAAUUAAAUUAUAUUUAUUUAUAUCUAUUUUCAUCCCUACCCAACAAAAUAAAAAAAAUUAACAUUGUGGAACAUGUAUGAGAAAUUCUCACAAUUUUUUUUAAGAAAAAUAAAUUUCUUAUUUUAUAUAUGUUAAAAAUAAAUAUAAUCUUUUAUUUUUUAUAUAUAUAAUCGGGUAAGGUAGAGUGGGACAAAGAAAUAAUCCCCUUCGAUUCCAAUCCGAAAUUUUAAAAUAUAAAAUAAAAAUCUUAAACUCAUCCCUAAUCCAUUUAUUUUUAAUCCUAAACUUGUCUUAUAAGGAAUAAGGCAAAGUAAGUACAUGAAAACACUUUUUUUUAUCAUCAUCUCUACAAGUUCUAAUGUUUAGAUUGCAAUCCAUAUCAAAGAUUUAUAAAGAAAGAACAACGAUGAAUUUCAUAAACAUUUGAAAGCAUAUACAAAGUUUUAAAUAAUAUUGCUUGAGGUGCAAAUAUUAUUUGGCGCACACGUUGAGGGACUUCAACUGGUGUUGUCUAGGUUUUUUACACUAGUAAGUAAUCUUGAAUAUCUAGAGUAACUUGAUCAAAAUCUCUUUAAUUUUAUUUUCUUUGAUGAAUUAGAAUGCUUAUAUAACAUGAUUAAAAAUUUUAAGAAAAAAAAACUAAGAAGAAAGAAAGAAGUACCGAUCUUCCAAAUAUUGCUUCCACUUUAAUAUUUAGAAGGCUCUAAGAAAAGAAUUUUAUUCAUGAAUCACAACCCAAGUCGAAAAUAAAUUGAACCCAUUUUCUAAGUUAAAUUUUGAAUUUUUUACUAGUGAAUGCAAAUUGGGAAAAUGUAUAUAAAUAUAAUUAAACUAGAAUAGUAGGUUAGGUUUGUGUGGUCCCACGAUGACUUGGAAGUUUCAACAAUUCAAGCAGACUCCACCUAUAAACCUAAUAUACUAUUUUAGUUUAAUUAUAUUUAUAUAUGUUUUCCCAAUUUGCAUUCACUAGUAAAAAAUUCAAAGUUGAACUUGAAAAAUGGGUUCAAUUUAUUUUCGAUUUGGGUUGUGAUUCAUGAAUGAAACAAUGAUCAAUGACUUGACUUUUAAGGCCAACUUAGUUAAGUCAUUCCUAACCCCUAUAUUAAUUUGGCCUUAAAAGUCCAGUAAUUGAUAGCUAAAUCCCAACCCAAGUCAAAAAUAAAUUGAACCCAUUUUCUAAGUUCAACUUUGAAAUUUUUUUUAAUUGGAAAAAUGUAUAUAAAUACAAUUAAACUAGAAUAGUAGAUUAGGUUUGUAGGUGGAGUCUGCUUGAAUUUGUGAAACUUCCAAGUCGUCGUGGGUCUAGUGGUCCCAUAGCUCUCUAUUAAUUUCCACCAUCAAUUUUCUGCAAUAAAGUCAAGUCAUUCCUAACCCCUAUAUUAAUUUGGCCUUCAAAGUCCAGUCAUUGAUAGCUACGUUCAUGAAUCCCAACCCAAGUCAAAAAUAAAUUGAAUCCAUUUUCUAAGUUCAACUUUGAAUUUUUUUUAAUUGGAAAAAUGUAUAUAAAUACAAUUAAACUAGAAUAGUAGAUUAGGUUUGUAGGUGGAGUCUGGUUGAAUUUGUGAAACUUCCAAGUCGUCGUGGGUCUGGUGGUCUUAUAGCUCUCUAUUAAUUUCCACCAUCAAUUUUCUGCAAUAAAGUCAAGUCAUUCCUAACCCCUAUAUUAAUUUGGCCUUAAAAGUCCAGUCAUUGAUAGCUACGUUCAUGAAUCCCAACCUAAGUCAAAAAUAAAUUGAACCCAUUUUCCAAGUUCAACUUUGAAUUUUUUUUAAUUGGAAAAAUGUAUAUAAAUACAAUUAAACUAGAAUAGUAGAUUAGGUUUAUAGGUGGAGUCUGCUUGAAUUUGUGAAACUUCCAAGUCGUCGUGGGUCUAGUGGUCCCAUAGCUCUCUAUUAAUUUUCACCAUCAAUUUUCUGCAAUAAAGUCAAGCCAUUCCUAAACCAUAUAUUAAUUUGGCCUUAAAAGUCAAGUCAUUGAUAGUUACGUUCAUGAAUCACAACCCAAGUCUAAAAUAAAUUGAACCCAUUUUCCAAGUUCAACUUUGAUUUUUUUUACUAGUGAAUGCAAAUUGGGAAAACGUAUAUAAAUAUAAUUAUACUAGAAUAGUAUAUUAGGUUUGUAGGUGGAGUAAGCUUGAAUUGUUGAAACUUCCAAGUCAUCAUGGGUCUAAGGGUCCCAUAGCUCUCUAUUAAUUUCCAUCAUCAAUUUUUAUGAAUUCAGAUUUAAAAGUGAGAAGGGAAUAAAUUUUUUCUUUUUCAAUUCAUUACAAAAAAUAUUUUUGGUUUUUAUGCUAAAAUUUAUUGUUUAUUCAAAAAAUUAAAGUAUAAAAAUAUAAAAUAUAUAUCUUGCUAUUAUAGAAGAGCUCCAAAAUUUUCGUGUUUAAGAGAAUAUGUGUUGCCACUUUAGAAGAUUUAUAUACAAAAAGGAUUGAUGUUUCUCCUUUGACUAUGUUUGGUUCCCAAAAAUUUGAGGGAAAGAAAAUAAAAAAAAGGUAGUAAAAAAGAAAAAAUGAAGGAAAAUAAAAAAUAGUUUUAAAGUUAAUAAAUUAUUUUUAUAUGCUAUUUCAAACUUAUUUUACUUAUUUUUUUUCAUUAUAUAAAGAUUAAAUAAUUUUAAAAUGCAUAACUAAUUUUAAUUAUAUUUAAUUUUUCUUUUAUAUUUUUUAGACGGGAUCCAACACAUGUAAAAAUCCUUUUUUUUAGCAUCUUUUUUUCUUUUCUUAUUACUUUCCAAUAACCAAAUAUAACCUUUAGAUUUAGCCUUUAGACUUGGAGUAUGGAAGGAUACUGAGUAUUGAAAGAAGGUUUUGUAUAUGGCCAUGAUACCAUAGAAAAAAUGGGCGACAGAGAAAAAACCUUUAUUAAAUGAUAAAUUAUUUUUUUCAAUGGAAAUCAAAUAUAAUUAUUUUUAAAAAUAAAAAUAAAAAAUAAUAAUUUGUUGUUGCAUUAAGUAUUCUUGCAUUUGGAGAAGCAUGUACUACUUACUACAUAAAUGGAUAUUCAUGGAGUGCAUUCUCUAGAAAGCUCCAGUCUCAUGAAAAUGGAAAGAUGGACCGGCCGGUGAACCGGUUCGAGUUUGGAUUUAUGGGCUGCCUCAGCCUAACACGCAUGAUAGGUUGUUGUAGGUGAAGAACUAACUAAUUAAUUUAAAGCCUUCUUCUAUCCUCUCCUAUUCCUCUAUCACUCCAAAUGUUCCACAUGAUAAUGACAAUUCUUUUGUUAAAUGGUAAAAAAAAAAUUUAACAAUUAAUUUAAAAAAUUUUUAAAAUCUAAAUCCAAUGGAAAUUUGACUGUAAGGUGCGUAGAAGGCCCUAGUGCCCAUGUUGCUAAUUUGAUGAUAGUUAAAUUACCAUUUCGAGAGAUUCCACUCACUAGUAUUCUCAUUUAUAAAAUCAUGAACUUUGGCAUCCUAAUUAAUGUAAUUUAACUUUUUUUUGUUUACAAAUGAAAUAAGAGGCAACAUAUAAACCCAAAAGUUAAUUUUCCUACCAUCUCUAUGCACCAUUUUAGCUUUACUCCAAUAUAUUUUCUAUGAUUAAUUAUUUUCAUUCAAACAAUAAUAUCAAAAUAUUUUAAAAUUAGACAUAUCCACUAAUAUAUCUUCGAUAUAUUAUAUAUAUCUGUAAAAUCGAAACACCAAUAUAUCCGUGAUUAUCGAUAUUUUUAUCGUUGAGGGAUAACAACUAAUCUAGUUUUUGUACCUAUUGAUAUUCCUCAACAUUUAGAUUGAUUUGACCAUUUUUUUUUUAAUUUUAUUUUCUUUGAUGGUUAUAUGAUGAAUUAGAAUAGUCAUAUAACAUUAACAGAUUUAAGCAAAAAUGAUAAAAAAGCUCGCAUUUUUCAAAUAUUGGUUUCAACUUUGAAUAUUUUUAUUGGUAAAUGAAAAUUGUGAAAAACCUACUAAUGCUAAUACUUUUCACCACAUAAUUAAAUAUAAUAAACUAGAAUAGUGAUUCAUUGAUGUCUUAUAAAGCUACAUGCCUUCUUUGACUUGUUAGUUGAUUUUUGUAGGUGGAGUCUGUAGGGACCCCUCCCCCUGAUGACACGUGGCACGCAUUUCUAUCCGGAUUAGCUCCAUCCGGAUUUCCUCCAAGGAGACACGUGGCGCGCUUCCCCUAUCCGGACUCCCUCAGGGAGAAGCACACGACACUCGCAAACAUCACAUCCGGACGACCGCCAUAUCGCAUCCGGACGAUCGACAUAUCCUAUCCGGAUAUGUUUGUCCGGAUCGUUGACUAAAGUAAGCAAGUCUUACUACGUCAUUCCGACAGCCUGCCAUGGCCCACGUUCCACCACCUGCAAAGUGAAAAGACAGGAAUGAUGGCAAGUCACUUCCUACGAUCUCUGACAGCUGUGGCGCCUCUCACGAUCUCUGUCAGCCGCCCGUAGGGUGAUGAUGGCCCUGUCACCACCUAGAGUCAUCAUGACAAGCCAAAAUAUCUCUCUAUCAUUAAAGAGGGAGACAGAGCUUCUGGUACUAUAUAUAUGGACCUUCACACAAAGAGGAAGGUAAGCUUGCUAUACCUAGUAAAAGGCCAACUGAUUUAUCUCUUUAACCAUGGCUGACAAAACCAUCGGAGGGUGUGUCCGGACACCCUGUCCGGACGCCUUUUGCAGGAACGAUUGAACCAGGAAUCUAUAUUGGUUGAGAUCGUGCGUCCAUCCAUUUGGCAACUACGUGGAUCACCAGGGACGCGAGGCCUCAACAUUGGCGCCGUCUGUGGGAAAAUCACUGAUUCAGUCACCGACAAAGAUAGCCACACCUUCCCAAAGCCGCUCGUCCGCUAGGGAAAAGGAAGAUAAUUCUGAAUGGCGCCGAGCCAUUGAAAGAAGACAGUUGGCAAGCUCGUGACAACUGCAAGCUCUCCUCCAGGAGACAGAAUGACUAAGAGAAGAAAACGCGGUACUACGCAUCCAAGCUUCAUCGACGGGGCCUCCCCGUCGUCAGCAUUCAAAAGGCCAGGUAGCAAACUCAAGGCCUGACCCAGAGUCAAUAUACCCUGGGGCAGCAGGAGCAAUACUUGAAACAUGCAACGUUAGGCCACAUGAGCCACACACGCCCAUGCACCGAGCUCCCCAUGAGGAAAGCUCAGACUCUACUCAUUUUUCAGCAAAAAGACAACGCGACAAAAAAUCCCAAUUGUCAAACUCAAUGCGUGCGAGACUAGGCCCACAGGAGCCUGGGAGGCCAAAGCCGCCAGUAGCCAUAACCUGGGCAGUGCACCUUGACCCUAUGGUCACCCCCAUGGUGCAGAGCGUUCUCCCGCACCGUGACCCUAUGGUCACCCCUAUGGUGCAGAACGUUCACCCGCACCUAGCGGUACGACAAGCUGGGAGAAACCUCCCAAAUGAGCCACCCAUUGGCUCCAUUAGCAAAAGGCUGGACGACAUGCUCUCCACGCCUUUUUGCUCUCAUAUCAUUCAUUACGAGCCCCCAAGGGGAUUCCUCGUGCCCAAAUUCUCCACAUACGAUGGGUCCAGCGACCCCUUCGACCAUAUCAUGCAUUAUCGACAGCUCAUGACUCUCGAUAUAGGCAAUGACGCGCAGCUAUGCAAAGUAUUCCCCGCCAACCUACAAGGGCAGGCCCUCUCAUGGUUUCACCGCCUACCUCCCAACUAUGUUGAUAAUUUCAGAGACCUAUCAGAGGCCUUCGUGGGACAAUACUUAUGCUCUGCUCGACAUAAGCAGAACAUCAGCACUCUGCAAAACAUAAAAAUGCAGGAUAACGAAUCCUUAAGGGAGUUCGUGAAGUGGUUUGGUCAUGCCGUACUACAGGUAAAGGCUUACAGCAUGGAUGCUGUCCUGCAGAUCUUCAAGCGAAGUAUUUGUCCAGGCACCCCAUUUUUUGAAUCACUCGCUAAAAAGCCUCCUACGACGAUGGACGACUUGUUCCAGCGUGCGAGCAAAUACUCAAUGCUCGAAGAUGACGUGCGAGCAGCCACCCAGCAAGUCUUGGUUGCCGGACAGGCAUCUAGAAGUGGCACGGAAAGAAGUGCCAAACUUCCGGACAGGCCAAGACAGUCCCAUCAAAGGCAGGAAGGGCCAAGUCGCCCGGAAAGGCCGCCCCUCACACCCCUUUCCAUAUCCUAUGAGAAGCUUCUCCCUAUGAUCUAAGACAUGUCCGACUUCAGGUGGCCUAGACCCAUCGGAACGGACCCAUCCAAAAGGGAUCAUAGUAAAAAAUGUGCCUUCCAUAAAGAGCAUGGUCACACAACGGAGACAUGCAGGUGCCUUCAUUAUUUGGUCGAAAGGCUCAUAAGGGCGGGACAUUUAAAGCAAUACCUCCACUCAGAUACCGGAGGUAGAGAUGCUUCCCGAAAUCACAACUCUGGAGCCCCUAGGGCCCUAGCCGUCCCCAAAGCCGUUAUAAACUAUAUUAACAGAGGCCCAUCUGACGAGGAGUACGACUCCAAACGAAAGAAACAAAAGUUGUUGCGGGCAGCAUCGGUGCGCGAACGUGUCAACUCCAUCCGGCCUGGGAUAACUGGGGGGGCCCUCGCCCCAUAGAUGGGAUAAUCAUUUUCCCACCAGUAGACCCCACCCGGAUAUUGAAGCCGCACCGCGACGCCCUCAUCCUGUCCUUAAAGAUAGGAGACUUCGACGUGAGACGCAUCCUGGUUGACCCAGGUAGCUCGGCCGAUCUUGUGCAAGCAUCGGUCAUUAGCCACAUGGGGCACAAUCUCACAGGCCUCGAAAACCCUGGGCGAAUCUUGUCCGGAUUCAACGGGGCGUCAACUACUUCAUUGGGAGACAUUGUACUGUCGGUCCAAGCUGGCCCAGUCACUCUCAACGUACAAUUUUCGGUGGUACAAGAUUUAUCACCCUUCAAUGUCAUCUUGGGGCGCACAUGGCUGCACUACAUGAAAGUCAUCCCCUCUACAUAUCAUCAAAUGGUAAGCUUCCUUACCAAGGAUGGGCAAAUUGACCUAUACGGCAGCCAGUUAGCCGCUCGCCAAUGCUACCAGAUAGCACGAGAAGCAGGGACCAACCAGGAGGAUGCAUCCCUCCCUGAGUCCAGCCAUGCACGUGACCAAUAGCAAUUAUUGAGUCCGGGGGACAAAGAUCCCCCGGCAGCGGAUCCCUUGCAAGCAAUCCAAAUUUCGGAAGAAGGUACUCACCUUACGAAUAUCAGUUAGAAGAGACCCGGAACAUGCAGAACGCCCUCAGACAAAACCAUGACGUCUUCGCAUGGACACAUUCUGAUAUGAAGGGAAUUCAUCCCUCCAUUACCUCUCAUAGGCUUAACGUCUUGCCAACAGCCAGACCCAUCCGGCAGAGGGUUAGACGUUUUCACCCGGACAGACAAAAAAUUAUCCGGAAUGAGAUUGACAAGUUGCUAGAAGUCGGAUUCAUCAGAGAAGUGCAUUACCCGGACUGGUUGGCAAAUGUAGUGGUGGUACCCAAAAAAGAAGGCAAAUGGCGGGUGUGAGUCGACUAUACCAACCUCAAUAAUGCAUGCCCAAAAGACAGUUUCCCUUUGCCACGGAUGGAUCAAAUUGUGGACUCCACUGCUGGGUAAGGGAUGCUCUCCUUCUUGGACGCCUUCUCUGGAUACCACCAAAUCCCCAUGUCCCCGGCUGAUGAAGAAAAGACAGCCUUCAUAACACCACAUGGUCUCUAUUGCUACAAAGUCAUGCCAUUCAGACUCAAAAACGCUGGUGCCACUUACUAGAGACUGAUGACGAAGAUCUUCAAACCUCUGGUCGGCCGCACAAUAGAGGUAUAUAUUGACGAUAUCGUGGUUAAAAGUAAAACCCGAGAGGAACAUGUCCUCCACUUGCAAGAAGUCUUCCACCUCUUGAGGAAGUAUGGCAUGAAGUUGAAUCCCUCUAAAUGUGCCUUUGGCAUAAGUGGUGACAAAUUCUUGGGAUUUAUGGUUAGCCAAAUGGGGAUAGAGGUCAGCCCGGACCAAGUCAAGGCAGUCAUGGAAACACCACCCCCUAGGAGCAAAAAGGAAUUACAACGCCUCACAGGCAAGCUCGUCGCGCUAGGGCGUUUUAUAGCCCGCUUCACUAAUGAACUGCGACCCUUCUUCUUGGCAAUACGAAAAGAAGGAGCAAACGGAUGGACGAACAACUGUCAAAGCGCUUUUGAAAAAAUUAAACAUUGCCUCAUGCAAUCGCCCAUCCUGAGCAGUCCCCUCCUUGAAGAAAAACUGUAUAUGUAUCUGGCUGUAUCGGAGUGGGCAAUUAGUGAUGUUCUAUUCCGCUGCCCCUUACCCAAGGAGCAGAAACCUAUCUACUACGUCAGCAGAGCAUUGGCAGACGUAGAAACCAGGUAUUCAAAGAUGGAGCUAAUGGCCUUAGCUCUUCGAAGUGCUGCCCAGAAGCUCUGCCCCUACUUCCAAGCCCACCCGGUGGUCAUGCUAACUGACCAGCCCCUUCGCAACAUUCUGCACAAGCCAGACUUAACCGGAAGAAUGCUUCAAUGGGCCAUAGAGUUAAGCGAAUAUGGAAUCGAGUUCCAACCCAGGCUGUCCAUGAAAGGCCAAGUUAUGGCUGACUUCGUGUUGGAAUACUCCCGAAGGCCUAUCCAGCGCAAGGAACCAAGUGAAAAAGAGUGGUGGACUUUGCGGGUCGAUGGAGCCUCACGAUCAUCAGGAUCCGGAGUAGGGCUCCUGCUGCAAUCACCAACAGGAGAACAUCUGGAGCAAGCCAUCUGGAUGGGGUUCCCCGCCUCUAACAAUGAAGCGGAAUAUGAGGCCAUCCUAUCCGGAUUGGACCUCGCCCUGGCUCAUCCGUCUCCAAGCUCCGGGUCUAUAGUGACUCCCAACUCAUGGUAAGACACGUUAAGAAGGAAUACGAAGCUAAGGAUGCGCGCAUGACGUGAUAUCUGACUAAAGUAAGGGACACCUUACAACGGUUCACCGAAUGGACGAUCGAAAAAAUCAAACGAUCUAAAAAUGGACGUGCCGACGCCUUAGCAGGCAUAGUUGCCUCCCUCCCCAUCAAAGAAGCCAUAUUGUUGCCUAUACAUGUGUAAGUCAACCAUUCCGUCGCGGAAACCUCCACUUGCAAUACCAUUGAGGCAAAUCAAGCAGACGACCAAGAGUGGACGGAAGACAUUAUAAGGUACCUCUAGACAGGCACUCUGCCUGAAGAGCCCAAGCAGGUACACAAGCUCCGGGUGCAAGCCGCCCGUUUCACCCUAAUUGGGGGGUACUUGUACAAGCGAUCCUUCACAGGUUCCUAUCUUCGGUGCCUAAACCACUCAGAGGCCCUGUAUGUAUUAGCUGAAUUGCACGAGGGAGUAUGUGGAAUUAUUCUGGAGGUCGAUUUCUGGCACACAGGGCCCAUUCGCAAGGAUAUUACUGGCCCACGAUGAAGAAGGAUGCGGCAGCCUAUGUCAAAAAAUGUGACAAAUGCCAAAGGCAUGCCCCCAUACCACAUGUGCCGUCGGAGACAUUGAAGCCAAUAUCAGGCCCCUGGCCCUUCACGCAGUGGGGCAUGGACAUAGUAGGACCCCUACCACCCCCACCCGCUCAAAAGAAAUUCCUGCUCGUCGCCACGAAUUACUUCAGUAAAUGGGUGGAAGCUGAGGCAUACGCUAGCAUCAAAGACAAAGAUGUCACCAAGUUCAUGUGGAAGAACAUCAUCUGCCGCUUCGGAAUCCCCCAAACCAUUAUAGCCGACAACGGUCCAUAGUUUGAUAGCAUCGCUUUCCAGAAUUUCUGUUCGAAACUAAACAUCCGGAAUUCAUACUCCACACCGCGUUAUCCUCAAAGUAAUGGGCAAGCAGAGGCCACAAACAAGACUCUAAUCACUACCUUAAAGAAAAGGCUCGAGCAAGCCAAAGGAAAGUGGGUGGAAGAGCUACCCGGCGUCUUGUGGGCUUAUCGAACCAUACCCAGAUGUCCGACAGGAAACACUCCCUUCGCCCUCGCAUACGGUAUGGACGCAAUCAUUUCUAUUGAAAUAGGGCUACCCACUAUCCCGGACCGAGGCAGGAAAGCAGGAUGAUGCAAAUGUGGAGUUAAGAAGAAACUUGGACUGGGCAAACGAAGUAAGGGAAACUGCAUCCAUUCGGAUGGCAGAUUAUCAACAAAGGGCAUCCGCUCACUACAAUCGCAAAGCAAGGCCCAGAAGCUUUAAAAAUGAUACGCUGGUCCUUAGAAAGGUUUUCGAAAAUACUGCUGAGAUAGGAGCGGGAAAAUUUCAAGCCAAUUGGGAAAACCCCUAUAUAGUAUCUAAGACAAGUGAAAGUGGAGCCUAUCAUCUGCAGAAGCUAGAUGGAACCCCAUUGCUCCGACCAUGGAAUGUAUCUAAUCUAAAGUAGUAUUACCAAUGAAAGAAAAAUAGAGGUACAAAUAUGAAUAAGUAUGUUUUAUUAAUACUUGUGAAAAAUUGUAUACAAAAGUUCUCCGGACUACAAAAUACAGAGAGAAGAUAGCAGUAAAAAUUACAAAAAGAAAAGCUCUCAUUGGGAAGGCUUGCCACGCAGCUUCUCCUCCUCACCCGGGGGAAUCGAAGGGACGUCCCGUUUGAUACCAAGUUUCUUCAUACAGCAACGGUAGCCGAAGAAGUACAUUUCGUCUACCUACUUCUGGUAGUCUGCUUCAAGUUCCUCCCUUUCCGCAGCAAACUCAGCCUCCAACUCUUCUUUUUGCGCUAAUAAACGCAACUGCAAAUCCUCUCUCUGCUUUUUCUCAAUUGACACCUCUGUUUGGAGUUGCCUCACUUCUCCCGCAGUUGGGCCAUUUCGUCCUCCGCCUCAUGUAGACGGGCGUCUGUAGAUUCCUCCCGACUCUUUGCCUCAGCUAGCUCUACCCGGAGAGCCUCGUUGUCAUCUCGAGCAGCGGAUAAACUGGCUUCGGCCUGCUCUAAUCUCAAGCGCAGUUCCUCUUCACUGUUUAUGCGUUGAGAGACGAAGGCCUUCAUAUAAUCAGCAGUUCGUAGUAGGUCAGAAAAAAGAUCACGUUGUUGAGCCAUGCCGCGGAUACCGCUCACCAGCUGCAGAAAAACCCACAAACAAGAAGUGCAAAAAUUACAACCCAUGUGACAAACACAUCAGAAUGGCAAGAAAAAUCAAGAAGUAAACUAUACCAUUUCCGCUGCUUCAAACAUUUUUGCUGAAGGCACAGCAACAUCUGAGCUGGAUGGAAUCCGUUUCAGCAUCUCUCCCAACUGCGCAUAGCUGAAAGGACUAGCGGAGAUGCAAGCUGCAUCAUCAACGGGACUUCCUCCUGACGAGGCAUUAGGGAGUGACUCCUUUCCCGAGUCCGGGGCCUCAUCAUUCUCGACCGGCUGGGUCUCUCCGAGUGAACCCCCAUCUGGGACCAGCACCGGGGCGGUUGGAUUCUCUUCUGCCAUCUCUGUCUCACUCCCCUCCGGAUGAUCCUCCUGGACGGACGAGCAGCUGACUUCGAUGGUUUCCAAAAAACGAUCUUGAAGCCGCCUGAUGAGGCUAGACUUUAAGUCACGGGCCGGACGAGACCUCCUUGCAGUUGGCCCCUUCACCGGUAUAAAGGCAAGGGAGCUUGGCUCGCAAGGAGGCACACCCUGACUUUCUGCCCUCGUUUCUUCCGUUGGGGGUGCCGUAGGAGGCAAUGCUUCAGUACAAGAGGCCUCGGCUGCAUCCGCGUCCGAAUGGGGAGAGCCGAGCUGAUUUACUGAAGUCGCUUCCUCAGCCAGAAGAGCCAGCCGUCCAGCCGCUGGCACUGAAGGCCCCGAAUGGUUUAGACCCGCGAGACGUCCGGAGCCUCUUGAAACAGAAGGCAAGACGGGGGAAGGGGGGAGAGGGGGGGGGGGGGGGGUGGUCUGGCUCUCUUAUUAUUAUUUCCUUUACGAAAGUUGGAGGUGGUAUUACCACUUCCUUUGGUGGAGUUGGAAGUUUUAUUUAUUUCCCCUUAUUGAGAGCCUUCUUCUUCUUUUUCUUCGCCGGGGCGCCAGCAGGAAGAGAGGGCGCGAAGCGUUUUAUAUCGGGGGCCCUCCGCAAAGUUCCCUCUUGCCUCAUUCCCUCCCGUUCGUCGAGACGUGCUCGGCGUGCCUGGGCAUCUGCCUUGCGCACCUCCUUGUAGAAAGGAAGGUCUUUUAGAACAAAAUGCUCCCCAGGCAUUACCUUCUUUGGCAACUUCCUGGGGAGAAUAUUGAUGACAUACGCCUGGGGCUCUUGGACAACGGCUAGCAAGUUUCGCGUAGUAAGCAGCGUCUCAUGAUGCCUCUCAGCGGCAGUAAUCUCAAAUAACUUGUUCAGUCGAACGAAAGACGUUUUUUCUACCCACUCGACUACGCGACCCCUCUUGUCCGGACCUGCAUUAUCAGCAACCAAAGAUAUUAAGCCAUCUGAUAACCCCAAAGCAAGAAAAGCAACAAGACGAAUGCCGAACAAACCCCGCAAGCUGUCUUACCCGGAAGCACCAACGAAAGGUUUGGGGAGAAUGGCCUCUCCGGAUGCUCCAGUAGCCCAGCCCAGAUACCCCGGACCAACACAUGUCCCUUGGCUCCUCCCUUCGUCGAAUCCGAAAGCUUAGUCACUAGUUGGAGAGAAGGCAGGUGGGAAACCAUGCUAAAAAUGUCAUUUUUCUCCUUCUUAAGGGAGUAGAUGAAAAGAACCUCCAGCAGCGAGAGGUCCAGGUUGAACAACAUGCUCAGAAUGCUGCAUCCCAUCAGCACCCGGACCAUGUUGGGAUGGAUGUAGGCCGGGGGGAUCUGGGUGAAGUGGAGAAAUUCUUUGAAAAGUGAUGGGAGAGGGAACCGGAGCCCAACAUUGAGUUGCUUCUUGGUAAAGCAGAUAGUGUUCUCCUCAGUUUUCUCAGUCGACAUGGCCUCUCCGUCCAUAAGUUCAACGGACACGCCAUUUGGGAUGCAGAAGCGUUCGCGAAACUCCCUCACAUUCAACUUAUCCACGGAUUUCUCAGCAUGAGCAUCUCCGGGUGAGCUGGAUGAAGUAGCUUCCUUGUUCGCAGACAUUUUGUAGGCUGGGGCUGAAAUGGAAUCUGCAUGGAGGAAUGCCAACAGUCAAACACAGCAAUCCGACCCCACAACCUUAACUCUACCCCAAAGAAGAAUCGGUGACCCACAAAAGGCACAAGGGUGCAACAGAAACCCUAAACACACCCAAAACACGAUCAAAACCCCCCGAAAAAAGCCCUAGAAACCAAUACCGAUUCCUAGUCGCAAAGCAACUUGCCCAGCAAGCCAGAAACAACCAACAAAACAAACACAACAAGGAGAAAAAAAAAAUAGAAAACGUACCGAGUGUAAAACUGGAAAAAUGGGAUGAAAUCCGCAGUGCAGUCACCGUCACGAUACGAGUAUUACCGGCAGAAAACCCUAGAGCUUCACUAGAAAGUGAAAAUACGCGGAAGGUAGAAGAGAAAGCACUACCAGAAAAAGCGCAGAAGGAAAAAUGCAAGAGAAAGGCACAGUUUGCUAUUUAUAGAGAGACAGCUCCUCGGUAUCCCAAAUGCUUAGCCGCACCAUCAUUGAAAGGACACGCUGCCUGGGAAAUCCCAGAAUCGGCGGCUCAUCAUAAAUGAUCUUCUUCCUUUUUCGCCCCCGCUCGCCACGUGGCCCAAUAAAGCGAAAAAAGUCAACCUCAGUUUCAAAAAACAAUCAUUUUUUAACCCACCCAUUUUGCCCUGGCAAAAUGGGCAGGUUAAAAGGGGGGCAUUGUAGGGACCUCUCCCCCUGAUGACAUGUGACACACAUUUCUAUCCGAAUUAGCUCCAUCCGGAUUUCCCCCAAGGAGACACGUGGCGCGCUUCCCCUAUCCGGACUCCCUCAGGGAGAAGCACACGACACUUGCAAACCUCACAUCCGGACGACCGCCAUAUCGCAUCCGGACGACCGACAUAUCCUAUCCGAAUAUGUUUGUCCAGAUCGUUGACUAAAGUAAGCAAGUCUUACUACGUCAUUCCGACAGCCUGCCACGGCUCACGUUCCGCCACCUGCAGAGUGAAAAGACAGGAAUGAUGGCAAGUCACUUCCUACGAUCUCUGACAGUUGCGACGCCUCCCACGAUCUCUGUCAGCCGCUCGUAUGGUGAUGAUGGCCCUGUCACCACCUAGAGUCAUCAUGACAAGCCAAAAUAUCUCCCUAUCAUUAAAGAGGGAGAUAGAGCUUCUGGUACUAUAUAUAUGGACCUUCACACAAAGAGGAAGGUAAGCUUGCUAUACCUAGUAAAAGGCCAACUGAUUUAUCUCUCUAACCAUGGUUGACAAAACCAUCGGAGGGUGUGUCCGGACGCCUUUUGCAGGAAUGACUAAACUAGGAAUCUAUAUUGGUUGAGAUUGUGCGUCCAUCUAUUUGGCAACUACGUGGAUCACCAGGGACGCGAGGCCUCAACAUAGUCCAUUUCCAUUUGAAUUGUUGAAACUUCCUAGUCCUUGUGGGUCUAGUGGUCUCUCUAAUAAUUCCCACCAUUAAUUUUUUGUGAUGAAGUGCAGUCAUUGAUAGCUACUAUAUCAAUUUGCUAUUAAAAGUCAAGUCAUUGAUAACUACUAUUCAAUCUUUUUCAAUAUGGAAAUUGGAAUCUCUAGCGCUACUCUUCUCAUCGUUCAUUUUUAGGUAAUGUGAGAAUGUGUGAACAUAAAUGUCUUCUAAUCAACCAAUUUUUUUUUGAAAAAAACAUGUACAAAAUUGCAAAACUUGCAAAAUCAAACUGACUGUAAUCAACCAUCAUAAUUUUGAUGGUUUUGAAGAAUCAAAGGAUGAAUCCUAAAAGGGUAUUUGAUAAAAAAUAAAAAUUAAAAAAAUUAAAAGACAACUACUCCCUUAAGUAUAAUAAGUGUAUUUGGUAGCACAAAUUUCCUACCACUUAUUAUUUUUUUUCUUAAAAAAUCAUUUACUCUAUUAAAUAAACUAACCUUGGCUUAUCACUUAUAGCAAAAUAGGUUAAGUAGUUUUUAAAAUUUUAUAAUAUUAGAUUUACAUUUUUAUCCUUCAAAAUUUCAUUAAUGCUAGAUUCUUCUAUAUGCUUAACUAAUAAAUAAUUUUUAGCAUUUUUCUUUUCUUAUAAACAUAAAAAAAUAAAAAUAUUAUUAACUUAUUGGUAUAUUUUAAAAUUUUAAUUAGAUUUAAGCUUUUAUUUUUUUGGAUUACCAAUUAUACAUAUAAAUCCUUUAUUAUUAUUGUUAUUAUUGAAAGAAAGGGGUUGAAUAGGUAGUCCCUCAAUCCCCAAAUUAAAUUCUUUAUUGCGUACUUUUGGUUUAUUCCUUUACAUGAAUUCCUUGGUGAGAGUAAACAUUUCAUUAAUGGAUAAAUAAAAUUGAUUCCAUAUCACAGGGUAUAAUGUGGAAAAAUCAUCGGUCUCAUGUGUUCCUUAGUGGAUCCUUUGGAGCCCUUAUCAAAGUUUCAUGAUGAAACCAUUGACUUUUGUUUAACCCAAAUGUGCUUUCAAGACAAAUCUUGAAAGAUUUGAGAGAUGGAGGUUCAAGUCUUUUAUGAACGACCAUGUUCUCUUAGGGUUCAUGAAAUUUCACACCUUUUGAUAAAUAAAACUUAUUUAUUUAUACGUCUAAAACCUAGUAUUUAUUUAUUUAAUUAUAGAAAGUUUCUUAGUUUUAAAAACAUUUCAAAAAUCAUUUUUAGAAUCAAAUAACAAUUUUAGAGAUAAACACAAUAUUAAAAUUUAACAAAAACAAAUUUUUGAAUUAAAAACACAAUAUAAACUAAAUUACAAAAUAUAAAGUAAUUUUUAUCCUAAUUUCUUCUUGCAAAACCAAAUAGAACACCUAGAAGGGGAGUGAAUAGGUGAUUUUAAAUUUUUUCAAUAAUGAUUUAUAAGUUAUACCCAAUUCUUUUACCCUGCGAGUUGUUAGGGACUAUCAAUUCUUUCCUUUUGGCAAUUCAAACAAUAUAUCAAAUAAUAAAAAGAUAUAAAUAAUGAGACAUAAAGAUUUUUACAUGGAAAACCCCCCACACUAACCAUGGAGAUAAAAAGCCAUGGAGUCUAAGACCUAUUAAUCUAAAUUCACUAUACGAAAUCAAGUUACACAAAUUUAUUUGGUAGCUUUACCUUAAAGACUUACUCUCCGGUACUGACAACUUGAUUCACGUCCAUGACGUAGCAACCCUCGAUUACUCCAAUGUAUCACUUCAAGCUUACUAAAAGGAUGAAGGCCUUCAAACCAAGAUUCAAAAAUCAAUUCCUUGAAUGAGAGAUUAGGAAUGGUGUGCCACUUUAGGCUUUCUCUCUAAGAUCUCUAAAAUGAUCUCCUCAAUGAAAACCUCUUAAACAAAAUGAGAUAUUUCUCCACAAUCUCUAACCCUUAAGGGGUUAUAAUGAGAUAUUUAUAGGCAACUAAGUUGAAAGUUUCAGUUUUGGAAGGUUUCUCAAUUGAAUUUGUGUGAAAAACUCGGCAGAAUCGACAUGAUCGCUCGAGCCAACACACUUCCCACUUGAGCGUUUUGGGCACUUGAGCGGUAAGGCUCGCUUGAGUUGUCUUAAGCACUUGAGCAUUCUAGGCUACUUGAGCAAUCUUGCUCUAUUUCAAAAGUUAAUUUUAAAUCAUUUUAAGUUCAAAACAAAAUUGAUUCCCUUUAUACCUCAAAGAAGCCUAACUUGCCACAAACCAAACCUUUUUAGAUAUACUUGUGACUUCCUGGUUGGACGAACAACAACUCUUAAUCUUCAAUGGAGAGCAAGUCACUAUCUAAAAAGAUUUAUAUGGUCAAACAUAAAAAAACAAAAAAAUUGCCAACAUAACAACAAGACUCAAUGUCCUAACAAUCUUCCCCUUUGGCAAUUUUGUGACAAAAACAACGUUACAUAAACCCACCUGAACUCUCAUAAUGGAGUUUAAUAAUACACAUUAACGUUCAAUUAAAAAUAAACUAAGGGAAUACUUUAUCUCACUUUGUAGUAUUUGUCUUCCAACCUUGUAACCUACACACAUAUAGAAAACUAUACCAAAGGUAAAACAAUGUGCAGGAUAAGAUAUGAUCAAGAAAGCAAAAUAGGAUAAUUGGAAAUUUUGCUUGAUGCCUUGUGAAAGCAUGAAAAAAGAACAAAUUCAUAUAGUAAUAUCAAGGGACAAAGCAAAACUCGAGAAGAAUAUAUAUGUAUGCAAAUCAACCAAACAUAAUAAAAGCUAAAUAAGAUGCAAUAGAUAAAAAAUAAUGCCUAGGGGUCUAUCUCCAACCAGAAAAUAGGGAGUGAAGAUCAUAGAAAGAACCUUCUGUGACUUAGAAAGAUUCUAGAGAGAUAGUAAAUUCAAACAUAAAUAUCUUGCUGGAAACAUCUAUGUUAUGUAUCUCUCUAAACCUUUUAAGUUAUGCUUUCAUCAGUUGAUUUGGUUUUUCUCCAAUGUCUCAGGUUUAAUUUCCUCUAUUAUUUCAAUUAGAGAAAUUAGUAGUCGAUUGACUUAGUGGGUGUUUGGUAAAACUUAAUACUUAUUAUUUAAUGAUUAACUUUAAGUUAAAUUGUUCUUAAGUUAUUAAUUUAAAAUUUAUUACUUAUUUUGUAUUUAAGUAUUAAGGUUAUUUGUAAAAAUCAACUUAAAAUUUAUUCUAAAUCAUCAAAUUAACACAUUUACCCUUAUUAAUUUUAACUUAUAUUUAUUUUCAUUAAUUUUAAACAAUAAAUUUAUUCAUAAAACAUCUAUAUUUUUGUAGAUACAUAAUAACCAUAAAAUAUUUACUAUAAAAAAUGAGUCAUGGAUGUAGAAUUAUAAUUCUAAAAUAUACACCUAUAAGUGUGGGUAAAUAAGACAAAAAUGAUUUGAGAUUAAGAGUAAAGUUAAUUAUUUUGACUUAAGACUUCAAGUUAAAAAUAACUUUAAGUUGCAAUAUUAAGUUAUUUUAUCAAACAUGCUUAAUUUACUUAACAACUUAAAUUAACUUAUUAAGUUGAUUUAUCAAACACCCCACUAGUAAUAUGUUGAAAAUGAAGAGCAUCCAUAGCAGAUAAUGUAUAUGUAUUUGUGUUUAGAGUAGAAGGGCACUACAACAAUGGACUUGCAUGUGAUUUGGUCGCGAUAUGAUUUUGAUGAGAAUAUUUUAUUGUCUUUAAAAUAUUGUUAUAUGAAAUGCCACACUAUGUUAGUAAAUGAUAGUUAUGUUAGUAGAAAUGAAAGUUUGUUUUAUAAUGCAUUGACCAUCCUAACACAUGCACUUAAUUAUCAUUAGUAGUUAGACAUGUAUUCCCUUUUUUCAAUUUUUUUUCUUCUUUUUAAAUACAUUCUAGUGGUACUUUGCCUUAUGACUUAAUUUUUGUUACACUUACUACUUUUGGUUUUAGUCAUAUUUCAUUUUAUUAGUAUUUUCAUUUUGUGUUACAAUUUUAUUUAGUUUCUCUAUAUUCUCUUUUGGAUGGUGAUUUCACUUCAAAUUUUAAUUCAAAUUAGGCUUAUUGUCCUCUUAGUAAGCCUUUUCUAGGCGAGUUGUUAUAGAAAAUUAAACAAACCUCUCCUAAGGUUGGCCUUGUUACAUAGACUUCUUUUCUAUUUUGAAAUAUUAUAUUGACCUCCCUUGUUAGAUAUUGGUUUUUACGAUUACUAAGAAUAAUGCUUCUUAAUCAUUAUUAACGAUAAUGCAAAAUGAUAUAACUACUCUUAGUUAAAUCAAAUCAUAAUGACAAUAUUUUCAUCUUCUUUUUCCAAUUUUCUUCUUCUUCCUCCAUACAUGCUAAUUUGCAAAAAUUUAUACCCAUUAUUUAAAUGAAAUCUUUUGAAAUAAAUUAAAAUCUUCCUUAUUUGAUAUUAUAGAAACCUAAUUUAAAUAAAAUAUUUUGAAAUAAAUUAGAUAAAAAAAAAACUUGUCAUCAUUCUAACCCAAAUCAAAUUUAAAAGAAUAACUAAAUAUUUCAAGUCUCAUUUUGUCUCAAUAUCACCUUUGCUAAUCAACCUAUCCAAUCUUAGAUCAAACUCAAAUUGCAAUCAAAUUUUGACAAGAAAAAAUCUACUUAAGACUGAAUAAGAAAACUUGUGGAAAGAGUCUUAUCAAGAAGGUGCAUGAAACCCUCAGUUCAAAAACUUCUUCUAAAAUAAAAUUAAAAAAAGAAAAGAAAAGAAAGAUAUUCAAUGUUAAAGGACUUUUAAGAUAAAUCAAAAUUUGAAAAUGAAUGUUAAUACUUGCGAUAGAUUCCACAUUCAUGAACAAAUUACCAUUGCACCACUUAUUUUCAAUUCACACUUUAAUUUACUAUCCAUAGAAACUUUCAUUAAAUUUUCCAUAAAACAAACAAAGAGCCUUAACCCCCAAAUAUUUUAAUUCUUAAAAAUACAUCAUUUCAUCAAUUUUUGAAACCCUCAUUUUAACACAAAUUAUUUUUUUUUACAAAUUAUUAAAAGAAUAAAAAGAAAAUUAAGAAGAGGUUGUCAUUAUUAUUCUUGCAAAGUCACCACAAAAUAAAUUAUAACAAAUAUAGAAAAUAAAAUAAUGUGACGAUGAAGAUGAUGCUUAGAAAGUUAGAAUGAAGAAGAUAGUAUCAUUUAGAUGAUUUAGGUUAAGAUGAGGACUAGAUAAGGAAAGUGACAUCAAUUGCCUAAUUAUUUGGGGUUUUAGACAUACAAAAUGAGGGAGAUGACUAAAAUUAUGGUUUAAUUAUUUUUGGUUAAGGAUUAUUAAGUUAUUUUAAGGAAUUAAUUAAUUAAUUUAUAAUAAAUUUAGAAUUAAUUAAAAGUUAAUUAAAAUAAUUAUUGAUUCAUAGUUUAAUUUAAAACUAAUUUGAAUAAAAGAUGAAAAACUGAAAGUCCAUUAGGGUUUCACCUAGAGAGGGGAGAGGAGGUGGAUGAUUUAAAAAAUUUCAAUAAAGAUCUAUAUGUUAUAUCCAAUUUUAUUUUACCCUGUGAGAUGUUAGGGAUAACCUUUUCUAUCAACCUUAGGCAAUUCAAACAAAAUAUCAAAUAUAAAAGAUAAGAACAAUAAGGCAUGCGAUUUUUAUAUGGAAAAUCCUCACACUAACUGUGACGAUAAAAACCACGAGAUCUAAGACCUAUUAAUCUAAAUGCACUAGAUGAAAUCAAGUUACACAGAUUUACUUGACUGCUUUACCUUAAAGAUUUACUCUCUGGUAAGUACAACUUGAUUCAUGUCCACAACAUAGCAACCCUUGAUUGCUCCAGUGGAUCACUUCAGCUUCCUGGAAGGGAUGAAGGUCUCCAAAAUAAUAUUUAAAGAACAAAUCCUUGAAUGAGAAAUUGAGAAUGGUGUGGCAAUCUAGGUUUUGUCUAUAGGAGACCCUUUUUAGAGAAUAAAGUCUCUCAACAAUCUAUCUCCAAUCUCUUCAAUAUCUCUAACCCUCAAGGGGUUAUAAGGGAGGUAUUUAUAGGCAAAAGUUUGAAAAGUUUUGAUUUUGGAAGGUUUCUCAAUUGAAAUUUUGUGAAAAACUUGGUAGAAUCAACAUGAUUGCUCGAGCCAACUCACCCAUCGCUUGAGCGCCUCAAGCACUUGAGUGGUAUGGCUCACUUGAGCGGUCUUAAGCGCUUGAGUAGUCUUUAGUGCUUGAGCGCUCUAGGCCACUUGAGCAGUCUUGCUCUCUUUCAAAAAUCAAUUUUAAAAUCUUUUUAAGUUCAAAACAAAAUUGAUGCUCUUUAAUACCUCAACAUAGCCUAAUUAACAUAAGUCAAGCCUCUUUAAACAUGUGACUUCUCAAUUGGACAAACAACAACCCUUGAUCUUCAAUGAAGAGUAAGUCACUAACUAGAAAGACUUCUAUGACCAAACAUUACAAAGAACAAAAUUGCCAACAUAUAGGAAGGACUUACUGUCUUAACAAUCUCUCCCUUUGACAAUUUUGUGACAAAAAAUUGUUACAUAAACCCACUUGAACUCUGAUAACGGAGUUUACAUAACACACUUUAAUGCUCAAUUAAAACUAAAUUAAGGGAAAGCUUUGUAUUAAUUUAUAGUACUUAUAUUUCAACCCCGUAACCUACACACAUACAAAAAACUAUACUAAAGGUAAAGUAGUGUGAGGAAUAAAGUAAUGUUGAGAAAACAAAACAGGAUAGUUGGAGGUUUUGCUUGAUGACUUAUGAAAACAUGAAAAUGGAACAGAUUUUUGUAGAGACACUGAGGCACAAAGCAAAGCUUGAGAGGAAUAUAGAUACACACAAAUCAGGAAAACACAAUAGAAGCUUGAUAAGACACAAUAGAUCAAUAAUAAUGCUUAGAAGUCUAUCUCCAACCAGAAAAUGGGUAGUGAAAACCAUGGAAAGAAACUGCUAUGACUUAGAAUAGUUCUAGAGUGAUAAUUAGUUUAAACAUAAAUAUCUUAUAAGAAACAUUUGUGUCAAGUAUCUCUUUAAACCAUCUAAGUUAUGUUUUCAUCGGUUGAUAUGGUUUUCUCCAAUUUCUCAAGUUUAAUUUCCUUUAAUAUUUCAAUAAUUUCCCUUAAUGGAUGAAUGAAUGAAUGAAUUGAAUUAAAGAAUUCAAAAUUUUUAACUCAUAGUAACUUCCCUUAAAUUACAAUCAAUACAAUAAUUCAAAUCAAGUAUACAAAAACAUAAAUAAUAGAACAUUUAUGCAUUAGGUGGCGGUAGAGGGAUAGAGCUUGAAGCAUCGUGAGAAUGGGUACAAGAAAAGAUGUAGUUAAGUUAUCCCUAAAUCUCUCGGAGUUGGAGAUCCUAAGAGUCCAUCUUCUGAUGAAGUCGGGCCAUGGAAUUUAGAGCCUCAUGGGCGUUGGGUCUACAAAAGUAAAAGCCUUGUGUGUAGCUCGGGAAGAACUAACACAACCUCAACUUUAGAGUGAGUCCUCGGAGCAGACUCUAAAUAGUCUGCCUCUAGAAUUCCACCAUGCUCCAUAGCUCGAAGCUCAUCCUCCUAGACAACUACCUUUGCAUGCUGGCCUACAUCAUGUGGUUCAUAAGUUGGAAGAGCCAUCAAACUAUAUACAUGAAUGUAGUGCUUGGGCUAGGAACUCCCAUCUAAAAAGGCAUGGGUAGCCUAGACCCCUAGUGUAGGAUCAAUCUUAAAUCCCACAUCCUCGAGUAUCCGCGUCAUGAGGAGGGUAAAAGGGAAAGUGCCUCCUCUAAAGGAUAAACCACGAAGGGGAAUGAUUGUAUCCAGGAUGACUUAGCCAAUGUCAAAUUGUUGGCUUGAGAGAAUGACGUGAAUAAAGUGAGCAGAUGGUCAAUGGAUUUGGGUGCAGUGUGUAAAUGGGUAGAAGGAGUAAGUGAAGAAUGUGGCAAACAACCAUGUUAGCUUGAAGAAGCCAACAAUCAAGAUAUAAGAAGGAAAGGGGCAAAGACCCCCAUAAAGAGAAGUCAGAAUGGUGUCAAGUUUCUCUCGGGUGAGAGCCUGAACCUCUAGGGAAAAUGAAGAAAUGAGAGCCUCAAUUUGCGACAUGCUAAGGACACAUUGAAUGUAAUGGGAGAAAAUAAGGAAAAAUUGACCAUGCAUGGUCAAUUGAAAGGUGACUCCGACCACAAUAUAAUGCAUGUUCUCAUAGAACAUGUGAACAAGAUGGGGAUAGGAAGUCCCCUAGAGAGAAAACAAAGUCUCCUAACUUUACUCUUGAAUGAUGAUAGGGAAGACAGUGUCCUGAAAAGCUUAGAGGUUAAUGGCAUGCUCAGGCUCGACACAUUGAUAUGUGAAAGAAGCGUAAUAAUGGUCUCGUGCCACCUGGCAGUGAAAACGCUCAACCGAAAGUGCAUCUAGGUUAAAAAGACCCUGGAGUGGGAUGCCCUAGACGGUUUCAGUGACCUAGGAAAGGUCACCUCCCUCUGACAUCUAUGACUAGCCAUAUCUAAGGUAUAUAAUAUGAAAAAACAAAAGCUAAAGAAGAACUAAAGAAAAUCCAAAGAAAAGCUAAACCACUAAAAAUGUUAAACUCAAUGCGUCGAACAAUACUAUACAAAUGGAAAUGAAAAAUAUGAAGUGAACUGACCUCAGAAGACAAAAGGACAGUAACCUAGAGGGCUCGAAGAUGAAUAGGAAAGUUUGAAAUGAAUAUGGCGUGCUGGAUGACCUUUAUAUAGCCUAUAGGAGUGCUUGAUGCAGAUUAGCACUCGAGCGUCAUGACUAACUUAAAUCAAAGUAUUUAUUACUAUCAAAAUAUUUUAAAAGUUUCAAAGGAAGUAUUCAAUUUAGAACCUUUUUAGAAAUUUUUUUGAAAGAAACAAAAAUAAAACGUGAAAUAUUAUGUGUUAAAGGUGUUAGAAGACAAUAUUGUCUAAUCCAAAGCCUUACACAUUCCACAAAAAAAAAAAAGGAAAAAGAGAGAUAUUAUAUAAGAUUUUGAUCACAUCUAAUAGAAACUAAUAUUUAGCAACAUAUCACCAAGCACUAUCUUAUCAGAAAGCUCUAACAUGUUGGAAAUUUAUGUAAGGUUCCAUAACAACUAACAACUUUUUCUGACGACUUGGCAAUGGACCAUUUGCACUUUAACUACAUUAUUGAAUUUAAAUCAUAUUAGAAUAGUAAUUGACUUCUCUUUUGUGAGGCUACAUAUCUUGUAGGAUGGGAUAGGUGAUUCAUUUCAUAUAUGAAAUUUACUUAAUUUAGUAAUGCAUCCAAGUUCAUUAUGAAUAUAAUGGUACCACAACUUUUUGAAUAUUUGUAAUCUGUAAUCUUUGUUUCAACUUCUCAAGUCUAGUCAUUUUAUCGGCAUAACUAGUUUGCUUCAAUUAUCUCUCAACUUUAUUAUAAAACUAAGGGAAAUGAUUAUCACGCAUUUUAUAUUAACUUAACCAAACAUCUUUAUAUAUCUUACAUAUAUAUAUAUAUUGUAAAUUUAGGAAAAUUUCAUCCAUUAGCCAUAGUAAGUAAGAAUCAAAUAUGGGAUAUGUAAGCCAAUGGUGAUAUUGAUGGCGUCAAAUCAAUGACAUAGUAGAAACGUGGAUUGUCUAUUUUCAAACCUUUAUAUUUUCAUCCAAUAGUAAAAAGGUUUAGGCAUCACUUGAAAAGUAGUUUGUUUUUUACCUUGGACUAUGAUUUAUGAAUAAAGUUCUUCUGUUGUAUACCUUUUGUGAUGCCCCAAACCUAAUUUAGGGGUAAAAAUAAUAAUUUAGAAACAAAUAAAUAAAAAUUUAAAUAAAUUUAAUUAAGGUAAAAAUGUAUUUUCGUAUUUAAAAUUCCUAGGGAUCAAUUAUAUAUUUCUUGUCUUCUCUAUUCAAAAAACCCUAUUACACAAAAAUCAAAGAUCAGAGAACAUAGGACAACGUAGGGUUGAAGAUUUGGAGGUUUAGGGUUGAAGAUUAGUUUUCCAGGUAAGAUUCUAACCCUUAAAUUAGUAUUUUAGAUUCGUUAAUUAGUUUGAACACUUUAGAUAUUCUUUGAAAAAUCUGAAUCCACGUUAGGGUUUGUUAAUUUAAUUUUUAAAUAAAAAAGAUUGAAAAUUUAUGAACAUAAGUAGAGUUAUUAUUAAAGAUUGAAAAUUUUUGAAUAUUUGAAUUAAAAAUCUAGAAAAAAAAAAAGAAAAUAAAUUAUAGAUUUGGAUGUGGAAAAAAAUUAAUAUUAAUAAAUAAAUAAAACCUAUGAGUAUGGAGGUAGAAAAAUAUGAAAGUUGAAAGCAAAGAAAAAAAAAAGGAAUAAGGUUUUGUGGUUGUAUAUGCCUCCUUAGUGGAAAAAAAAUACAAGGUUGCUUGCAAUAGGAUAUGAUAAAGAGAGAGAGAUAAAUGCUUCGAUAUUGAUUUUUGUGGGGAAAAAAAGAUUGGGUAAUGCAGGAGAGAAAUAGGUAGCAUUUGUAGAGUUGGUGGAGUUGUUGUAAAAGCUCGUAGGGGUAAUUGUUAGGAAACAUUAGGACUUGAAAUAAUAAUAAUUGCUUCUAGUAAAAGUUUUAAUUUAGUUUAAGUAUAUAAAAGAAAUAGAUGAUUAGAAAAAGAUUUGGAAGGAAUAUGAAUUCAUAAAAUUUCGAAAUUUACUAAUUUAGAUUAUUAUUGUUUUGGAAGUUGAAUAUAAUAUAGGUGAUAAUAUUAUUAAUAUAGGAAAUGAUUAAGAUUCUCAAACCUACAAUUUUAGAUAAAUAGUUAAUAGUAAUAGAUGAUUUUUUAUUUUUUUUAUUUUUUAUUUUUUAUGUUAUGUUAAGUGAAUAAUGGAUUCUUUGAUUAAUUCUCUAAGGUUUCUAAGUGCUUCUUUAAGGUAAGGGAUAUUAAUACUGAUUUUGUAAAUGAAAAUAUUUCUUUUUAUAAGUUAUUUUAAAUUAUGAAAAAUUUUAUUAUUAUUUAUGCAUGGAUCAAAUAUAUAUUUUUUCAUGAGAAACAUGUUUAGGCAAUUUCUUUGUUUAUAAAUAAAUAAAUAAAAAAUGAGAACCUUGGAAAUAUAAUGUUUUGUUUUGUAAGUUUAAAAUAAUGAAAUAAAGUUUUUGACUCUGGUUUAUAUGACCUUAGUUAAUGGGUUAUAAUUGUUGACAUUUUUAGCUCCAAUCAACAAUUAUAAUUGUUGACAUUUUCAGCUCCAAUCAACGAUUAUAAUUGUUGAGAUUUUCAACCCUAGCCAAUGGGUUAUAAUAGUUGACCUUAUAGCCCUAGUCAACAGAUAUAAUUGUCAACCUUUGGUUUUGCCCAUCUUAAAAAGAACAAAUUUAAGGCUAGCCAUUUAUUUGUAAAGUCCCACCUAACUAAGUACCAUUUGUUAUUUAAUAACCAGAGUAAAGAUAUUUUGAAUGUAUUUGAUAUGAAAUUGUUUUGAUAUAAAUAUGAAAAUGUUUGGUUGAAAGUUCAAAUGUUUAAUGCAUGUUGAACUCAAAAGUUUUAUUAAAAUGAUUAUAUGUUAUAUAUCCUAUUUGUAAGCUUGAUCCAUGAAACUGUAUUAAUAUUCCUUAUUGGACUUUGAGCUCAUUCCCCUUUGUUGAGAAUUUUUUUGGUAUUCUCAGUUUGGGCAAGGAGUGAUGACUGGGUUGGGGAAUUUUCUUUGCUAUGAUUUUGGUUCAAUCUUUAUUUUGGACAUUGUUUAGAUGUUAAAAUUUAAUUCCCAUUUAAAUUAUUUGAGUUUGGAGUUAUUUGGACGAUAACACUUUGAUUGAUGUGUUAGUUUUAAAGUUGAGAAUUGAAAAUUAUAGAAUUUAUUUAUCUUACUACUUUGAACAGAAAUUUAGUAAUUGGAGAUCAUCCAGUUACAAGAUGAAUAUUUGUGUCAUUUCCACUUUGAGAGUUCAGACUUGGGGUGUGAAAUGACCGUUAUGCCCUUGGAGUGGGUAUAUUGUUUAUUUGAAUUUAAUGGUCCCCGAACUCCUUAAUUACUCAUAACUUUAUAUCACCUUCUCAAAGUUAAGUUGUUUUACAACUAUUAUCUAGCUACUUUUCUCUACUAUGACAACUUUAUUACAUAGUGAUUAAUUGAAAGAAUCUACAUGUUUUAUUUCAUAGGAUAGUUGAUUUUUUUACUCAAUGAAUCUUGCUUUUAUUAUUGAAAUUUCAAAUCAUUGUAGUCCAACAAUUUCCUAUCCAUUGGUAAUUUCAUAUUACAUUUCCAAAGUCUAAUCAUUUAAAAACACUUGUAGUUAAUAUAUUGGCAAUUGCAUUGUGGGAAGUUGUUCACUUGAUUUUAAUGUUGAAACUUUCAAAUUAUUGUAGUCCAACAAUUCCCUAUCCAUUGGUAAUUUCAUAUCACAUUUUCAAAUUAUAAUCAUUUACAAAUACUUGUAUAUAGUAUAUUUGGUGAUUGUAGAGUGGAAAGUUGAUCGUUUUCAUGAAGACCUCUAAAAUAUAAAUUUUUUUCAUUCCAUUUAAUAAAGAAUUUCAUUAAUUGAACAUAUAUGUUUUUUUUAGCUGGAAAGUAGAGGCCACAUUAUACGAGGCCUUAGGUGACAAUACUAGGUGAGGGUUUUUUUUUUAAUUUAUUUAUUAUGAAAUAUAAAUAAUAUUAUUUAUUGUAUAAUAAAGAUUAUUAUAAUAUAUUUUUUAUAGAUGAAAAAAAUAUUAAUUGAGUUUUAUUUAUUUUUUAAUAAUUGUUUUCAAUAAAUAACUUAUUUGUAAAAAGAAAACUAUAAAAUAUAUGCAUUUGAAAAAUAUUUAAUUUUUAUUUGAUUUAGUAUCAAUUAAUAUUUGUAAUAUUUUUUAAUAUUAUAGAAGUUAACAUACUCAAUCAAGAUAUUCAAGAUCAAGAGAACAUUUGAGAUUGAAUUAAUUUCUUUAUUGUUUAUGUUUUAGAAAAUUUUUAUAUCCAUUACAAAUUUUCUAUUGUUUAUUUUUCAUUCAAUUUUUGCAUUUUGUAAUAGAUAUUAAAACGAAUUUUUUUUCCUAUAUGUUAAAAAAAUAUUUCAAUGUCUUUAAAAAUAAAAUAUUGCAGUAAAAUCAAAAUUACAUUGUGAAACUUUAAGCGAAUGUUUUAUACUUAAGAAGUGCCAAUUAAAGUAAGCAUGCAUCUACAAUUGUAAUUUAGAUGUCAUACUGAAACAAUAGUUCUCUUCGACUAUAUCAUAAAAUUUGGUUCGAAUUACUUUAAGUCAUCUUGUAGAUUUUCAAGUUCUAAUGAUAUGCAUCAAGUAUGUGCAACAUACUUGAUAUAACUAAUAUUUUCUUAAGUAAUUGGACACUUUUUUUCUAUAAAUUUACUUGAUUAUCAAUGAAUACUUUUAUGUAGGGUAUUGAUAUAAUUCGAUAAAUAUUUUAAAAUAGUAUUAGAAUAGCUUUGCUCUUUCCCAAUUAACAAAUUUACCAAAUUAACUUAUAUAUAUUUGUUUAUUUGAAUUUACUGGUAUUUGACUCAAAUUGUUAUUAUUUUUAAAAUUAUAGGAAAACCAUUAUUUAUAGAGUUUAAUUAUAUUUUGGUAAAUUAUCUUUUUAAGUUUGACUAGGAUUAGGAAACUAUUAAUUUAAGAUUAAUCCAUAAGGCUCUAUAAAUUUGCAGUUUUAUAUAGGAUUUAAAAAAAGAAAGAAAAAGUAAGAAAAAGUGAAGAGAGAUAGGCAAAGAGUGCAUUGGGUUUUAGAUAGAGAAAGAUUGAGAGAGUUUUGAUUACUACUAAAAAAGAACAUAUUUUAGAUAGUAAUUCUCAUGAGUUUCGCAUCUUUUGAGCAUUAAUUAUGCCUAAAAAUGCUCAAUUAACAUGUUGUUGCCCUUGCAAAAGUUACUAACAAGUUUUAUAAAGUUUUGGAGUCAUUUCAAGUUAUGAUUUUAAUAAAUUGGUGACGAAAGAAAUGAAUUGAUUUGAAGAAGGCAAAUAAUAUUGAUGAUGAUCAAAUGCAUAAUGAAAUAAGAAAUAUAAUUAGUUUGAUCGGGAUUUGCUGCUAAUUUGGAGGUAGUUAAGGUGGAGUCAAAAGAAGAAAAUGGAAGAAAUGACAAAAAGGAGCUUAAAAACCAAAUGUUGCAGAUUUGUAUGAUCAUGCAAAAAUUUUACAUGACUAUGCGAAAUGGAUUAGAGAAGGAAAAUUGACUAUAGUAUAAGGAGGAUGCUUAAGUUGAUUUCGCAUGAACAUGAGAAAAUUUCGCAUGAACAUGCGAAAAUUUUGAACAAUCAUGCGAAAUGGUCCAGAAAGCUCUCUAAUGUUGUUGUUGCUCCACUAAUUUCGCACCACCAUGCGAAAUCGAUAUUUUCAUGCAAAAUGGCUGAAGCUCAUGUGAAAUCAUGAUUUUGAGGCUAAACUCCAGAUUUGUGAAUUUGGAAGGCUUUAUAAGACCAAUGAGAGGUUGCCAAGUGUUCACUUGACCUUGGCCUAUAAAUAGAAACUUGAAUUUCCCAUGUAAAGAGCUUUGUGAUACUUUUAAUUUUAGAUUUUUCUAGAAACUCUUUUUCUAAAUAGAAUUCUAUAUUUUCUUUAAUUUUCCCUCAUUUUCUCAUUAGCCAAACAUGCCUAGUGAGACCAAAUCUCCAAGUAUGAGUGGCUAAAUUUCGUUUUUCUCAAAGGAAGGAGGAUCUAGAGGCAAGAUCUAUGGUGAAUUAUAGAAAUGAGUUUUAAUUGCAAAUGUAAUUUGAUCCAAUUGAUUGAUUAAUUGAAAUUUGAGGAUUUCUCUCUUCAAAUUGUCUUGAAUGACUAUUACAUUGCAAACUAGGUAGAUUCAUUAAAUUCUUAAAGCUAGAUUUAAUGAGACUGAAUAGUUGCAUUGUAUGAAUCAUUGGAAGAUGAUUUAAGAUGAAUUGAAUAUAUAAUUUAAAUUGAUCUCUUGGAUUAAAUAACCUAAUUUGAAGAGAAAUUAGGUUUAGACUUAAAGGUAAAUCCAAAAUCGGUUUAGAUAAGAAUUUAGGUUUUCAAUAUAACUUGAUGAAAAAUAAAUCUCAACAUCUAUUCACUAUGGAAAUUGUUUUCUAAAAAAUAUUAACUCCGAGAAUUCCUUUUCCUUAUCAAUUUUCUUAUAUUCUACAUUAUAUUGUUCUUUUCAAUUAGAAAUCAUUGUUAUUUUGAUUUUUCAUGAAUUGUCAAAUCAAUUUCACUUGACCACAAUCAUUUCUUUUCCUUCCAUUUAAACCUUAAUUAUCGAGAAUAAUCCAUCCCAAUGGAAGACACCUAAGACCACUAUACUACCGUAGCUUUUGCUAAAAAACCUUUUUGAUCGGGCAAGAGUUACCUUAGCAUAGUUGAAUUAUGUUAUAAUUUUUUUUAUCCAAUAAACAACAAAAAAAUCAAUCGAUCAAGUUUGCAUUGUGUAUUCUUGAAUUUUAUUAAUAAAUUUAAUCCCCCUUUUUGAAGCGAUUACACCAAACCAAGUAAAUAUUUUAUAUACUUCAUUUGCUUUAUUUUUUCUAUUAAGUUUAGGUGUUGCAAUUUUCAAGAGUCAUGGUGAGAAGAUUGUGGGAAAAAUUAUUUUAAGGAUGGAGUCGAACAUAAAAUAUGAAAUUGAGUCCUUUGAUGGAAAUAAUAAUUUUAAUAUUUGAUAAAGUAUUAUUAAAGAUGUUUUGAUACAACAAAGACUUCUCAAAGCAUUACAAGGCAAAAAAACUAGAGAGCAUGACAAAUAAAGAAAUGAAAGAAUUAGAAGCAAGAGUUGUAAGUACUAUUUGUUUAAGUCUUAAAAAUGAAAUACAUUGUUUUGAAUGAAAAAUAUUCUUUCAGGGGUGUCAAUUGCUCUUUUAGAGACCAAAAAUAUUAAGCAAUCAAGUAGUUCAUCUCAUAUUGGACAAACUGUUAUGAUGAAUUCUAAACCACAUCAUCAUAGGAGUAAAUCGAAAGAAAAGUAUCUGAUAGGAGGAUGAUCAUUCCAUUCACAUUUAUGGAGGAAUAUGAAGUAUUAUUACUAUGAAAAAAAAAACAUAUCAGGAGAUAUUGUAAAGAAUUGAUGAAGUACCUAGAAGAAAUGAAAAUUUUUAAAUCCCAAGAGACUUCAAAUUCUACUAAUAUUGUUGAUGAAAAUUUUGAAAUAUUGUAGUAAAUUAAAAGUUACAUUAUGGGACUUUUAGUGAGUGUUUUGUGUUGAAGAAAGGCUAAUUAAAGUAAACAUGCAUCUAAAAUUAUAAUUUAGAUGUUGUACUCAAAUAGUUGCUCUCCUCGAUUAUAUCAUAAAAUUUGGUUUGAAGUAGUCUAAGUCAUCUAAUAAUUUUCUAGUUCCAAUUACAUGCAUCAAACAUGUGUGUUAGGAAGUGUUGCAAAUUACUAAUUAGUAUAGAUCCCUUUUUUUUUUUAAAGAAUAUUGUAUUGAAUAUUUCUAGGUUGAUAUAUUAUUGUAAUAUUAGACUUCCUUAUAGAAUAAGGAAUGUUGUUGAAAAUAUCCCUAUAAAUAUUCUAGUUCAUAAGGGGAAAAAGUUAUGAGAUGAAGAUGGACCCAUAAAGACUAUACAAGGUGGAUAGAGAUGUGAGGAAGAACAGGAGGUACCCGGUGGAGCGAGAGGGCUCGUGGUAAGGUAUAGGUACGAAGAGUGAGGAAACAUGGGAUGUUUUGGGAACCCAAUAGUUAUAUCUAGUUAUAUCAUCUAUAAGUUCUAGUUCUGUCCUUUGCAUUGUUCUCUAUUUUAUAGUGGAAUGAUUCUCUCUUAUCUGUGGAUGUAGGCAUGGUUUUCGAACCACGUUAAAACCUUAUGUACCGUUUGUGUCGAAUUUUUUUAUCUUUAUUUUCUUGAUUAAUGAAGUUUGCAUCAAAGCUUCCGUCAACGGAACAAACUUGUAUCAAAGCUUGGGUUAAAGAUUUCUGGAAGAGUAAAAGAUCACAAAGCACACAAGAUGAAACCAAAAGGAUUUUUUAGUGAAAAUGGAGUCGAUUGCUCUCUUGUGGUGAUAUGAUAUAAAAAGUUUGUCUCAUGGAAAGUUUGAAGAUUGACUUCAUGGAAUUUGGUCCAAAAUGGAGAUUGUUAAUAAGUGUCCCAAAUUCCUAAUUAGUAUAGAUUUUUUUUUUUUUUGUAAAGAAUAUUGUAUAGAAUAUUUCUAGGUUGAUAUAUUAUUGUAAUAUUAGACUUUCUUAUAGAAUAAGGAAGGUUGUUGAAAAUAUCUUUAUAAAUAUUCUAGGUCAUGAGGAAAAAAAGUUAUGAGAUGAAGAUGGGCCUGUAAAAACUAUAUGAGGUGGAUAGAGAUGUGAGGAAGAACGGGAGGUACUCAAUGGAAUGAGAGGGCUCGUGGUAGGGUAUGGAUACAAAGAGUGGGGAAAUAUGGGAUGUUUUGGGAACCUAAUAGUUGUAUCUGGUUCUGUCAUCUAUAAUGUUCUAGUUACGUCCUCUAUAAUGCUCUCUAUUGUAUAGUGGAAUGAUUCUCUUUCAUCCAUGGACGUAAGCAUGGUUGUCGAACCACGUUAAAACCUCAUGUACUGUUUGUGUUAUUAUUCUUUAAAUUUUUUAAUAUUUGUUUCUUGAUUAAUGAUGUGUGCAUCAAAGCUUCCACCUACAUAACAAACUGGUAUCAGAGCUUGGGUUGAAGAUUUUUGGAAUAGUAAAAGAUCACAAAGCACACAAGAUGAAAACAAAAGGAAUUUUUAGUGAAUGUGGAGUCAAUUGUUUUCUCGUGGUGAUAUGAUACAAAAAGUUUGUGUCAUGGAGGGUUUAAUGAUUGACUCCGUGAAAUUUGGUCCAAGGUAGAGAUUGUUAGGAAGUGUCCCAAAUUCCUAAUUAAUAUAAAUUCCUCUUUGUAAAGAAUAUUGUAUAGAAUAUUUCUAGGUUGAUAUAUUAUUGUAAUAUUAGACUUCCUUAUAGAAUAAAGAAGGUUGUUGGAAAUAUUUUCAUAAAUAUUUUAAGUCAUGAGGGAAAAAAGUUAUGAGAUGAAGAUGGGCCUAUAAAGACCAUACGAGAUGGAUAGAGAUGUGAGGAAGAAUCGAAGGUACCCAGUGGAGCGAGAGGGCUCAUGGUAGGACAUGAAUAUGAAGAGUGGGGAAACAUGGGAUGUUUUGGGAACCCAAUAGUUGUAUCUAGUUCUGUCAUCUAUAAUGUUCUAAUUCUGUCAUCUAUAAUGUUCUGGUUUUGUCCUCUGUAAUGUUCUUUAUUGUAUAGUGGAAUUAUUCUCCCUCAUCUGUGUAGGCAAGUUGUUAAACCACGUUAAAACCUCGAAUACCAUUUGUGUUGAUUUUUUUUUAGUUUUGUGUUCUUGAUUAACAAUGCUUGCAUCAAAGCUUCUACCAACGUAACAAUGUGCAACAUAUUUGAUAUAACUUAUAUUUUCUUAAGUAAUUGAACACUUUUUUUCUAUAAAUUUACUUGAUUAUCAAUGAAUACCUACAUAUGCGGUAUUGACAUAGUUUGAUAAAUAUUUUAAAAUAGUAUUAGAAUGGCUUUUCUUUUUCCCAAUUAAAAAAUUUAUCAAAUAUAUACAUACACACACACACACACAAUACUCAUUAGUAUGUCUUUUAUGAAAAAACUAUAUUUGUUUAUUUGAAUUUAGUAGCCAUUUAACUCCUUAGUUACUCAUAAACUUUAUAUCACCUUCUUAAAGUCAAGUCAUUUACAAUUAUUUCUAUCUAGCCUUCUCCAUUAUGACAACUUUAUAAGAUAGUGAUUGACUGGAAAAAUCUACAUGCCUUUGUUGAUAGGAUAAUUGUUUUUCUUUUUUUCGUAUUCAAAGAAUCUUGCUUUUGUUAUUGAGACUUUCAAAUCCUUUAUGUCUAGUGGUCUUAUAAUUCCCUAUUCAUUGGUCUUUCAUAUUACCAAUCAUUUUGCAAAUGAGUUAAUUUCAUUCACAUCCUCUGAGAUUUGAUGUAAAUUCGCUUAGUUACCAAUGAUUUCAAAUUUCAUUAAUUAGUACCCCUAUAGAUGUAAUUUGUGUACAAAAUUUAUUUUUUAAAAGAAUUUAGGUAAAAAUAUUUUAGGUUUAUGUCUUUAACAAUUCUCUAAAAUAAAUUUUACUUGCUAAAAAAUAACUUAUAUAGAUAGAAUACAUCUACAGGAGUUCUAACUGACGAAAUUUAAAACUAAUGGUGGUUUAGUGUAUUUAAACUAAACAUUAAGAAGGGUGACUGAAAUUAACCCUCUAGGUAUAUAUGUUUAACAAAAUUUUUAUUGUUUAUUUUUCAUUUAAUGUUUGCAUUUUUCAAUAAACAUUGAAAAGGAAUUGUUUUUCCAUAUGUUAACAAAAAGAAAUUUGAGCACCUAUAAAAAUGAAAUCUUGUAGUAAAAUUGAAGUUACAUUAUCAAACUUUUAACGAGUGUUUAUGUUUAGAAAGGCCAAUUAAAGCAAGCAUGCAUCUAGAAAUUAUAACUUAGAUGCAUCAAACAUGAGCAACAUAUUUGAUAUAACUAAUAGUUUCUUAAGUAACUAAACACUUCUUUUUCUAUAAAUUUACUUGAUUAUCGAUGAAUACUUACAUAUAUUUACAUAGUUUGAUAAAUAUUUUAAAAUAAUAUUAGAAUAACUUUUUUUUUCUCAAUUAUAUUAGAAAAUAAUAUAAAGUUACUUAUAAACUUUAUAUCAUUUUCUCAAAGUCAAGUCAUUUACAAUUAUUUCUAUUUAGCCUUCUCCAUUAGGACAACUUUUAUAUGAUAGUCGUUGAUUGGAAGAAUCUACAUGUCUUUUUUGAUAGGAUAGUUGUUUUUAUUUUUUUUAUUUUUUUUAUUCCAAAAAUUUGCUUCUAUCAUUGAAACUUUCAAAUCUUUUAUGUAUAUUACCAAUCAUUUUACAAGUGAGUUAAUUUCACUUAGGGUAGAUAUACUUAGCCACACCCCUAUAGAUGUAAUUUGUGUUUAAAUUUUAUUUUUUAUUCAGGUAAAAAUAUCUUAGGUAUAUGUGUUCAACAAUUCUCUAAAAAAUAAAUUUUCUUAUCUAAAAGUUUAUAUAGACAAAAUACAUCUGUAGAAGUCCUAACUAAUGAAAUUUAAAAUCAAUGGUUGUUUAGUGUAUUUACAUUAAACCUUAUGGGGUAUGAUUGAAAUUAACUCUCUUACAAGCACUUGUAGCUAAUAUGUUUGUAGUUGUAGUGUUGGAAAUUGAUCAUUUUCUUGAAGGCCUCUAAGAUAUUGGAAAUAUUGCCAUAGUUUUAGACUUUUUUUUAUUACACCUAAUAAAAAAUAUUAUUAAUUUAACAUAUAUAUUCUUGACUUAAAAGUAAAGUCUCUCCAUAUUGUAUAAGCCCUUAGGUGACAAUAUUAGGUGAAGUUUUUCUUUCGUUUAUUAAAAAAUAUAAAUAAUUUAUUAUUGUAUGAUAAAAUUUUAUGUAAUAUAUUUUUAUAGAUGUAAAAUUAUUAAUUGGGUUUUAUUUUAUUUUUUUACUAAAUUGUCAUUUCAAUAUAUAAAACUUAUUUGUAAAAAGACAAUUAUAAACUAUAUGAAAUUGAAAAACAUUUAGUUUUUUUAUUUAAUUUAUAAUUUUGUUUGGAUUAAUAAUUGAUAUUUGUAAGAUUUUUUAAUAUUAAAAAAAGUUAGCAUACUUAAGAAAGAUAUUCAAGAUCGGGAGUGUUUGAUAUUGGAUUAAUUUCCUUAUUUUCUCUAUUUUAAUAAAUUUUCAUGUCCAUUACAAAAUUUUUGUUGUUUAUAUUUUACUUCAAUAUUUUUAUUUUGUAAUAGACAUUUGAAAAGAUUUUUUCCUACAUGUUAAAAAAAAAAAAUGAACACUCCUAAAAAAGAAAUAUUGCAAUAAAAUUAAAGUUUACACUGUAGGACUAUUAGCAAGUGCUAUAUACUUAAAAUAGACCAAUUAAAGUAGAAAUACUUCUAAAAUUUUAAUUUAGGUAACAAUAAUAUAAAAAGAUAAUAUUUUUGAAACAAUAGUUCUCUUGGAGUUUUGGGUACGAUGGACUAGACUUUAUGUAACAAUAGAUAUAUGAACUUUCCAUUAACAUCUUGAGAGACAUGAUGAGGAGCAAAGUCAUCCUAGAAGGUACCAUAGAGGUACCUUAGCUCCAUUCAUCUAGACUACAUAAUGUUUAAAGAUCAAAUUCAAUGACUAGAUUUCAAAAAUCAAUAUAAGCUUUCUCAUAUUCUACUCUAUAUAAGACAAUGGUAUGAUACAUCUCUUGUGUCGUAGAAUGCACCAUGAAAACCUUAUCAUUUUAACAUCAGUUUGAAACUUAAAAGUCACUUAGCACAUUCUAGUUAUUAAUGUAAGAACAUUAAAAGAAAAUAUAAAAAAAGUUACUUUAUUCUUGUGAUUUUGAUCUAGGACUUUUAAUGAUAUUAAAAAAAAAAAAAAAAAACAGAAAAAUAAAUGGAAAUAAAAUCAACAAAUUAAACAAUUGAAUUAAGUUAGUUUAAUUUUUGCAUCGUUAAAUGGGUAAAUAAAGACUCUUAGAUUUGAUAUUAAUAUGAACAUCAUGACUUUAGUGAAUCUUACAAGAAAAUUUUAGUUUGAAAGACUUCAUUCAUUAAACGUGUGGCACAUAUUAAAGUAAAACUAAGUCUUCUCUAUAAUUUGUACCUAUCAUAGUUUCUUUCCUCAUAAAUAGCCUUUUUUGAAUAUAAUAUAGACUUCAACAUGUAUGGUGGGGCCGAUCAAACUACUAGUCAAGACAACUCAUGGGCAACAACGAUGUACCAACUAUAUUAAAUACUCUUCAUCUAUUUGCAUAUCAAGAGUAAUUUAGUAGUGUCUUUCUUAUGUACCUCGUAUCUAGACUUUCAAUGGAGAGUUCUUCAUCUAAAAAUUUGACUUGGGUUUUCAUAUUAGUUUUGGUUUAGACAUAUGGAUGCAAAGGUUGCAUCAAAGAAGAGAAGUAGGCUAAAUCAUCUUACAAAUUUUCAAGUUCAAAUUAGAUGCACCAAACAUAUGCAAUAUAUUUGAUAUAACUAAUAUUUUCUUAAGUAAUUGAAUACAAUUUUUUUUAUUUUAUAAAUUUACUUGAUUAUUAAUGAAUAACUACUUGUAUGAUAUUGACACAACUUGAUAAAACUUUUAAAAUAAUAUUAGAAUAACUUUGCUAAAAAAAAGUAAAAAUAAAAAUAAAAAUAUGUCUAUAUAUAUAAAAUUAAAUAAAAUUAAAAAUUAAAAAAGAAUAUAUAUAUAUAUAUAUAUAUUGUGUGUGUGUGUGUGUGUGCAUGGUCCCACAACUCAUUAGCUACUCAUAAGCUUUAUAUCACUUUCUCAAAGUCAAGUCAUUUUGUAAUUAUUUCUAUCUAGCCUUCUCCAUUACGACAACUGUAUAAGAUAUUGAUGGGUUGGAAAAAUCUUCAUGUCUUUUUUAAUAAGAUAGUUUUAUUAUUAUUAUUAUUAUUAUUAUUAUUAUUAUUAUUCAAAGAAUUUGAUUUUAUUAUUGAAACUUUCAAAUCCUUUAUGCCUAGUGGUCCUACAAUUCCCUAUUCAUUGGUAUUUCAUAUUACCAAUCAUUUUACAAAUAAGUUUAUUUCACCCGGUAAAUAUACUUAACUACUAAUGGUUUCAAAUUUAAUUGAUUAACACACUUAUAGAUGUAAUUUGUUUUUAAAUUUUAUUUUUUUAGAAGAAUUGUAGGUAAAAAUAUUUUAGGAAUAUGCGUUCAAUAAUUCUCUAAAAACAAUUUAUAUAGAUGGAAUACAUUCAUGGAAGUUCCAACUAAUGAAAUUUAAAACCAACGACGAUUUAAUGUAUUCUCACUAAAUCUUAGGGGAGGUGUACUAAAACUAGCCUUUUUACAAAUAUUUGUAGCUAGUAUAUUUGUAGUUAUGGUGUUGGAAGUUGAUCAUUUUCUUAAAGGCCUCUAUGAUAUUGGAAAUAUCGCCAAAGUUUUGAACUUUUUGUUUCAUCUAAAAAAAAUAUCAUUAAUUUAAUAUAUAUACUCUUUGCUUGAAAGUAUAGUUUCUUCAUAUAGUAUGAAGUUGUAGCUAGGUGACAAUAUUAGGUGAAAUUUUUUUGGUUUACUACAAAAUAUAAAUAAUAUAUUUAUUAUAUGAUAAAAUUUUGUAAAAUAUAUUAUUAUAGAUGCAAAAUUAUUAAUGGAGUUUUAUUUUUUACUAAAUUAUCAUUUCAAUAAUAAGAACUUAUUUGUUAAAAGAAAAUUAUAAAAUAUAUGCAGUUGAAAAAAUUUUAAUUUUUUUAUUUAAUUUGGUAUUUUAUUUGAAUUAAUAAUUGAUAUUUGUAAGAUAUUUUAAUAUUAAAAGAAGUUAACAUACUUAAAAAAGACAUUCAAAAUCAAGAGAGUAUUUGAUAUGAAAUUAAUUUAUUUAUUUUUUCUAUUUAAAUAAAUUUUUACAUCCAUUAAAAAAAUUUUAUUGUUUAUUUUUCACUUCAAUAUUUUUAUUUUGUAAAAGAAAUAGAAAUAAAAUCAACAAAUUAAACAAUUGAAUUAAGUUAGUUUAAUUUUGCCACCGUUAAAUUGGUAAAUGAAGACUCUUAUAUUUGAUAUUAACAUGAACAUCAUGACUUCAUUGAAUCUCACAAGAAAAUUUUAGUUUGAAAGAUUUUAUUCUUUAAUCAUGUGGCACAUAUUAAAGUGAGACCAAGUCUUCCCUAUAAUUUGUAUCUAUCACAAUUUCUUUCCUAAUGAAUAGCCUUUUUGAAUAGAAAAUAGACUUUAGCAUGCAUGGUGGGGCCUAGCUAUCAAACUACUAGUCAAAGCAACUCAUGGGCAAGAAUGAUGUACCAACUAGAUUAAGUAUUCUCCAUCUAGUUGCAUAUCAAGAGUAAUUUAGUAGUAUCUUUCUUGUGUACCUCAUUUCUAGACUUUCAAUGGAGAGUUUUUUAUCUUAAAAUUUGAUGUGGGUUUUCAUACUAGUCUUGGUUCAGAUAUGUGAAUGCAAAGGUUGCAUCGAAGAAGAGAAGUAGGCUAAGUCAUCUUACAAAUUUUCAAGUUCAAAUUAGAUGCAUCAAACAUGUGCAACAUAUUUGAUAUAACUAAUAUUUUACCAAGCAACUAAAUACUUUAUAUAUAUAUAUAUAUAUAUAUAUAAAUUUAUUGAUGAUCAAUGAAUACACAUGUAUGGUAUUGACACGGUUUGAUAAAUCUUUUAAAAUAGUAUUAGAAUAACUUUGCUAAAAAAAGUAAAAAUAAAAAUAAAAAUACAUAUAUAUAUAUAUAUAUAAAAUAAAAAAUUUUAAAAGAAUAUAUAUAUAUUAGUGGUCCCACAACUCAUUAGCUACUCAUAAGCUUUAUAUCAUUUUCUUAAAGUCAAGUCAUUUACAAUUAUUUCUAUCUAGCCUUCUCCGUUGCGACAACUGUACAAGAUAUUAAUUGAUUGAAAAAAUCAUCAUGUCUUUUUUGAUAGGAUAGUUUUUUUUUUUAUUCAAAGAACUUUCAAAUCCUUUAUGUCUAGUGGUCCUACAAUUCCUUAUUCAUUGGUAUUUCAUAUUACCAAUCAUUUUACAAAUAAGUUAAUUUCACUCGGUAAAUAUACUUAACCACCAAUGGUUUCCAAUUUGUAACACUCUUAUAGAUGUAGUUUGUUUUUAAAUUUGAUUUUUUAGAAGAAUUGUAGGUAAAAAUAUUUUAGCUAUAUAUGUUCAACAAUUCUCUAAAAACAAUUUAUAUAGAUGGAAUACAUUCAUGGAAGUUCCAACUAAUGAAAUUUAAAACCAAUGAUGAUUUAAUGUAUUUGUACUAAAUCUUAGGGAGUGUGGACUAAAAUUAGCCCUUUUACAAAUAUUUAUAACUAGUAUAUUUGUAGUUGUGGUAUUGGAAGUUGAUCAUUUUCUUAAAAGGUUUACCAUUGAAGUUAGUUGAAUAUAAAGUUAGGUGAACUUUACCAUUGUUAAAUUGGUAAAUGAAGACUCUUAGAUUUGAUACUAACAUGUACAUCAUGACUUCAUGGAAUCUCUCACAAGGAAAUUUUAGUUUGAAAGACUUCAUCUUUUAAACAUGUGGCACAUAUUAAAGUGAGACCAAGUCUUCCCUAUAAUUUGUAUCUAUCACAAUUUCUUUCCUCAUAAAUAGCCUUUUUGAAUAGAAUUAAUAUAGACUUUAGCAUGCAUGAUGGGCCCCGUCAAACUAUUAGUCAAGAUAAUUUGUAGGUAAGAACGAUGGACCAACUAUAUUAAAUACUCUUCAUCUAUUUGCAUAUCAAGAGCAACUUAAUAUUGUCUUUCUUUUGUACUUCAUGUUUGAACUUUCAAUGGAGAGUUUGUCAUCUAAAUAUUUGAUGUGGGUUUUUAUACUACUCUUGGUUCAAAUAUGUGGAUGCAAAGGUUGCAUCAAAGAAGAGAAGAUGGGUUUGCUUGAAUUCAAGGCUUUUCUUAAAUUGAAUAAUGAGCAUGCAGAUUUUCUUCUCCCUUCAUGGAUAGAUAACAACACUAGUGAAUGUUGUAAUUGGGAGCGGGUUAUUUGCAAUCCCACCACAGGUCGAGUUAAGAAGCUUUUCCUCAACGAUAUAACGCGACAACAAAAUUUCUUGGAAGACGAUUGGUACCAUUAUGAAAAUGUCAAAUUCUGGUUACUAAAUGUCUCCCUAUUCCUUCCUUUUGAAGAACUUCACCAUCUAAACUUGUCUGCAAACUCAUUUGAUGGGUUUAUUGAGAAUGAAGGUAUGUUACCUCUCACCUUUAAAAUUUCUUUUCACUUAUACUCCAAACAUUCUAAAGGAACUACUAGCAUAUGUUCUUAAAAGUGUUCAGGUGGAGACCAAAUGGUCACUAGUAACUAUUGAAUUUAAUAUAAGAACAAUUACUAAUUAUUAAAAUUUAUAAUGUAAAUUAACAUUUAAACAAAACAAUAAAAAAAUUAUUAUUUUAGAAAACUAUAGAUUACAUUAGCCUUAUAUAUAUAAGCAUACUUGUAAUUUAUGCCAUCAUUUCACACUCAACCCAAUUAGUGGGAUUCAACUAAGAGUGAGCAAUUUCACAAUUAUUAAUUAACAAAAACACUUAGGCUCCCAUAUCCUUAUCCUUUUUGCUGAAUUGUCUUUCCUUAUCUUCCAUUCCUAAAAAGCUUGAUUUCUAUAUUCCAAAUUGAUAGAGAUUGGUUAAAGAAAGGUGAUCACAAAAUUUGACUAUUGCUUUCAAAUGAGGAAUCACCAUCUUCAAAAUUUCACAUUUAAAAAAAAAAAAAAAAAAAAAACUAGCCUCGGGUAAGGUCCAAGCCUUAUUGUUUUAAGCUGAUGUCGGGUUGGUUUAAUAAUGAACAGAGUAAAUCCCAACCCAUGACCAUCUACGCAUUUCCAAAUUCCACCCAUCCACAACCCAUUAAUAUGACAUUUUCAGGGACAAAAUUUAAUCAAUUAAACCUAUUAGAUGGAUUCUCCAUACAAUGUUAAAAUGAAUAUAAAAACUUUAAUUCAAAAAAUAAUUUCCUUUAUUUAGUUAGGAUUCAAAUUAUAGGGGCACAAAACAUGAAAAUUUUCAUGUUUAAAAUUCACAAAGAUCACAAAAGCUCUUUGAAGCUCUAUGGACUUUUUUAUUUCUAACAUUUAAACACAAAAAUCACCAAAUUGAAUUAGAAACUUGGAUGCAUAUUCUUAUAUUAAAGACAUGUAAGCUUACAUAUUUAAAUAUGAAGAUCUCAACUUGUAAUUACAUGCUUCUAAUUAAAGUUAUAUUACUCUAUUUUACAGGAUUUAAAGGGUUAUCAAGUUUAAAGAAAUUGGAGAUCUUGGACAUAAGUGGUAAUGAGUUUGACAAAAGUGCCUUAAAAUCUUUGGGCACAAUAACAUCACUCAAGACAUUGGCUAUUUGCAGCAUGGGACUGAAUGGAUCUUUUUCCAUUCGAGGCAUGUUAUAUGUCCACAUUGUUUCUUUGAAAUUAAGUAAAAUGUAUUUCUAACUUUUAAUGUUCCUUAGUUAAUCUCUCUUUUGAUUCAUGUUUGUUGCAGAAUUAGCUAGUUUGAGAAAUUUGGAAGUGUUGGAUCUAAGCUAUAAUGAUUUGGAAAGCUUUCAACUAUUGCAAGGUACUUCAUUAACUUGCUAAAAAAACUUAUGAUAUUUUGUUAUUAAAUUAAAGGUAAGAUUAACAAACAAUUUCUUCCCAUUAGUUACUUUUCUUUGUAAUAUCAUUAAAUUUGAUAUAAAAUAGUCUAAAUCAUCCUUUCAAUUUAUAAGUUUUAAUUAAAACGCAUCAAGCAUGCACAAGGUGUUUAAUAUAACUAAUAUUUUCAUAAGUAAUUGAAUUUUUUUUAUGAAUUAAUUAACUUGAUUAUCAAUAAAUACUUACAUGUAUAAGAUUAAUAUAGUUUCAUAAGUAUUUUAAAAUUGUCUUACAACACACACACACACACACAGAGGGAAAAUGAAAGGUAUGUGAUACAUUUAUGCUAUGUUUGGUUCCCAAAAAAAUUGAGGGAAAAUGAAAGGAGAAAAAAGUGGAGAGGAAAAGUAAAAGAAAAGAAAAAAAGUGAAGAAAAAUAUAAAAUUGAUUAAAGUAAAUACAUGUUACUUUAAACUUUUUUACUUAUUUUAAUUCUUCAAUGUAAGGAUGAAAGAUUUGAAAAUGCAUAAGUUUCUAAUUUUUUUAUUUUAUUUUAUAGUUUUUACAAUACAACCAAACAUACUAAAAUCAUUUUCUUUAAUUUUUUUUUCUUUUCUUAAUACUUUUCACGAACCCUUAAGUUAUGUUUGGUUUGCAGAAAAUAUGAGGAAUAGCAAAUAGAAAAGAAAAUUAGAAGGAAAGAAAAAAUGAAGUAAAAUAAAAAUAAAUUUAAAUUUAAUAAAUUAUUUUUAUAUGCUACUUUAAGCUUAUUUCACUUAUUUUAAAUUAUUUAAACUCAUUUCUAAUAAAUAAUAAUGGAAAUUGUAGAGAAGUUUGUGUUAUUCAAGCUUUGCAAUGACUUUUCAAGGUGAAGGAAAAUAUUCUUGCUGAAAUUGAAAAAGGAAAUACCUUCUUAAAUAGCCUAUUGACCGAAAACACAUUACCCUAACAUAUACACACACCUUUAUUAUUUAUACAAUCAUGUAAUACUUAAUCCAGUUAGUGGGAUUCUAGUGGUUGUUUCUAUCUUGGUUUCCAAUAUUUCUGAUUGAUAGUGUUCGAUUAAUGAAAUAUCAUAAAUUUUGACCCCAAUAAGGACCAAUCCCUAUUAAAUGUAAUUGGGUUAACCUAAGACUAAAUGCUAGACCCAACUAAUAAAAACCCAUCUGUUUGUUGGAGUCUAAAUAACCUGGCCUUAGGUAGAGCCCAUGCCUUAUUAUUUUAAGAUGUAGUCCAACUGGUUUAACACUAGAUUGAGUAAAGCCCAACUUAUGAGCAUCUGUGCAUUUCCAUCCAUCCACAACCUACUGGCAUGGAUAAACUUUGGUCAAUUAAACCUAUUAUAACUGUAUACAAAAUUUUAAGUUCAAAAGAUAAUUUUCCUUAUUUAGUUAGGAUUCAUAUUAAAAAGGCACAAAACAUGAAUUUUCAUGUUUAAAUUCACAAAUACCACGAAAGCUCCUUCAAGCUCUAUGGACCAUUUUAUUUGUAACAUUAUAUUACUCUUAAUUAUCAAAUUAACCAACAAAUUCUUCUCAUUACUUAUCUUUCUUUUGUAAUGUCAUAAAAUUUGAUGUAAAGUAGUAUUGGUCAUCAUUUCAACUUUCAGGUUCCAAUUAGAUGCAUCAAGCAUGUGCAACAUAUUUGAUAUAACUAAUAUUUUUAUAAGUAAUUGAAUUUUUUUUUUCUAUAAAUCAAUUAACUUGAUUAUCAAUGAAUACUUUCAUACAUGAUAUUGAUGUAGUUUCAUAAAUAUUUUAAAAUAGUCAUAGAAGUCUUUUAUCUGAUUCACUAGAAAGAAAAAUAAACUAUUCUAAUGAAAAUACUUGAUGAUUUGAAGUGAUUGCUUUUGAUUUUAUUUGAUUGCUACCAUUAUUAAUUGUUAGAAAUUGGCAACAAAUACCCAUUUUGCAUCACUUCUAUAUGCAUCGGGGGAAUGAAUUAUAUUUCAUAGAGCUAACAGGGCAAAACUCAAACUUUUGGAAUUAUGGAAAAUGUUGCUAGAAAGCUAAUUAACCAUUUAUAUUAUGAUUAAGACUAGUUGGGUUAGAAAUAAUUCAUAUGGAGAUUAAAAAAAACUAUGUAAUUUAGUUUAGUAGCUUGGGUGCUAUUGUAAUGAUUAAUGAUCUGCAACUUGAACACAUCUACUAGUGCUUUCUACUUGUAUAGCUAAAUUUAUGUUACCACUUUGAACUAGAGUACUUACAUGAGAAGAAAGCUUUUCCCUAGUGAUAAUGCAAAAGAAAUUAAGUAUCAAUUUUUGUUAAAAAUAACAAGUGAUAGUUUAGAUAUGGUUUGAAUACACUUUCUUUCUUCUAUUUUUUUAUUUUGAAAAAAAAAACUCUUUAAUGAAAUAUAAGAAAUCUUAUAUGUAUAAAAAUUAAAGACUUAAACAAAAAAAUUUGAAAUUUUGAAAAUUUUCGAGAAGUAUUUUUAAGAAUUUGUAUUUUUAGUAUAAUAAUUCCUAUAUUUUGUAUAAAAGUUUUUGUUUAAAAAAAUAGAAGUGUAUCCAAAUUACAAAUUAAUUGUUAAAUUAAGAAUGUUUCUCAGAUCAAGAGAUAAUGAAAGUUGUAGAGAGUUUGCAUUACUCAACCUUUGCAAUUACUUUUUGAAGGUAAAAAAAAAAUACCUUCCUACAUAACAUACAAUGGUAGGUUCUGGUUUGUAAGAAACUAAUAAAUGAUUAAGAAUAUGAAUAAGACUUCCUUUAUAAUAGAUAUGUAGAGAAGAAUAGUGGAUGAUAGGUGGUGAAAAUCUUGUAAUAAAAUAUCAAUAUCGGUUAUAAGAUAAUCAACAUUUUCUCUAUUUCUUGUACCUAUGUGAUUAAGAAUCUUGUAGCUCCCUUAUUGAAAUAUAAUAUAAAAAUAUAAAUAAACUAUUUAGAAGUGCAUGUAGUUUUCAACAUGAGGAAGUUCAAAAGCAAGUUAAUUAUGAUAAUUUUCCAUAGUCUAUAUUGAACACAAAUUAUUUUUACUAAAGGUUCAAUCGUUCUAUGAAGGUUAAAAGUUUGAAUUGUUUACAUAUGCAAAUGUGAAAUUUGAAAGUUUAUAAUUUUUUAUAAUUUUCUUGUAGAUUCAAAAAGCUUGUCCAUAUUCAAAAAGCUCGAGACCUUGAACCUCAAUUACAACAAGUUCAAAAACACUAGCCUACAACAAUUGGAUAUAUUUACAUCCCUUAAAAAUCUUUCUCUAAGAUGGAACAAUGUUGGAGGAUUUUUUCCUAUCCAAGGUAUGUGUAAUUAUUAUUAUUAUUAUUUUUAAUGAUGAAAUAUUAGAAUUGUCAACAUCUUUUAUCUUUUUUUCCCCUCAAUGGUGUUGCAGAAUUAUGCACUCUGGAAAACUUGGUGAUGUUAGACCUAAGUGGGAAUUUCUUUUUUGGCAUGCAAGGUAAAUACAAAGUGAAGUUUUGGUUAUAUAUAUAUAUAUAUAUAUAUAUAUAUAUAUCAUGUAAGAACAUAACUAAAAUCAACAUUAUUUGCCUAUCAAUUUGUGCAUGACUAUUAUUUAGUUAUUCUUCGUAACAUAAUUGAAAGAAUGUCUAGGUGUACAACAUUUAAGAAUUUUACAUGGCACAAUGAAAAACAUGGUAAUCAAUGUGUGCAAUAAAAUUCUAAUAGUUGAAAAAGAAUUUUCUUGUAAUUUUAUGUUCAUGUAUAGUAAUCAAAGAGAAAAUCAUGAAAAUGUAUAUUAGUUAGACUUUAUAUAUCAAUAGACAAAAAAGAAAGAAAAAAAAAGAUUAGUUCCUUAACUUAUCCUAAAAUUUUCUAGAUAACAAGGAGUUUUUUUAUUUUGGGCUAUAAGGUUUACAACCUGAAAAGUGAAGAUGAUUAAUAUUAGUAAUAAAAUUUUAAAAUAUAAAAAUUAGUGAAAUAAUGUUCUCUAUAACUAUAACUCCAACUGCAACUAUUAAUAAAAGAUAAUAAAGGUACUUUAGACUUUGAAUCCAUGGUUAGGUUUGCAAUUUUUUGAUGAUCAAUAAAGCUACAACUUAUGCUGCAAAAGGCUAUACAAAAUGUAUUAGGAGCAUUGCUAAGCUCAUUUAUCAAUAAAGGAAAUCCAGUAAUACUUUGAUUGGAAAAAACCUAGAAUCAUGUUUGAUAUAUAAUAGGUGAAGAAACAAAAUAACAAUUCCAUGGUAUUAGUUAGUUUGAUAUCUCUUUUGUUAUAUGGAAUAACUAUUCCAUUUUAAAAUAAUUAUUUCAUCUUAUCGCUAGAACAAAAAAUUUCAGGCGAUUAUAUGGGCUUUUGGGUUUCUUAAGAAUUUAAGCAUUUAUGGGUCACCCAUAUAUAUAUAGGAAGAAUAAAAAAAAAAAUAUUCUAUGGAGACAAGGGUAGACACCCAUAAAUGUACAUAUAAUUAUUUAAAUAAAAAUAUCAAUAAGAAACAAUAUACAACAAAAUAGAAAAUUUUAAUCUUCCUAAAUUUUAAAAAUAGAAAAUAAAUGAAAAAAAAUUAAAAAGUAAAAAAAAAAAAAAAAAAAGGUCAAGAAUACAAAUAGAUAAGUAAACAAAAUAUAAAAAAAAUACAUAAAUUAAAAUUAAAAUUUUUUUAAAAAAAAUACAUAGAUUAAUAUGAACACUAAAUGAGGUUUUUUGAGAUAGACUUAGUUAGACUUGAACUAGAUGGAUAUUAAAAAAAAUAAAAAUAAAAAUUCAAAGAAAUAAAAACUAAUUAGAUGCUAAAUAUUGGAUUAAAAUAACCAAAUGAAUAAAGAGUAAUUAUUAAUUUUUAACAUUUUUUAUUCCUUAGAAUUAUUAUUUUGUGUAUUAAAUGUAUUAUGAGUGUAGUGGUAUAAAAAAUGUAGUUAAGAAUACUAUGAAGAAUAAUAAUGGUGAUGAUAAUGGUGACGACACUUAAUACCUUUUAUUGUACAUUUAGAAAAAAUGAGGUUCUUGAUCUUUAUGAAGAUUAUCAUUACUCAUCCGCAAGCAUGUUGAUAGUUGAAACUACUCAAUUAUCAAAAAUUGAAUUUCUAACCUUCAAUUUUUCUCUCUCAAAUGUAUAUGUGGGUGAGAAAGCACUAGGUAGGUUAUAAGGUCUCACAUGUAUAUGAGUCAUAGGAUAAAAAAUAUAGAGACAAUACUAGCAUUUAUUUGAUCCAGUGGCAAAUAGAGAAAUAUAACAUAACCAUAACCAUAAUGUUCUAACCUUAUAUAUACCAGAACCAUGUUUCCUUCAUUCAAUUUUGCAACUUUUUCUUUUCAAAUUAGAAUGUAACUCGUAGGAUCCAUUGUCCAUCAAAAUUUUGAAUCGAAUAUUAUAAGAUAUUUCACAUUUCUACCUACUAAAGCAUGAGCUUCAAUGUUCUCAUGCACUUUUGGCUACUAAGUUAAAGAACUCUUUGAGGGUUAAUGGAGUUUCUAUGAGUAGCAAAGCAUUAUAAUCACAAAGUCUUAUCAGUGAUAUGCAAUUUAACCAAGAACUUAUUCCCAACUAUUUUAUGACUUUUCUUGGCUACUUGUAGGCAAGCUAAAGAAAUUUUCUGGUUUGUUCAAGUCUAAAAAGUGGUUUCAAGUUUAGGGCCAAGCUUGGGCUGCACCUAGGUCCUUGGGCCUUAUUCAGCUCCACGUUUAAACCAACCUUGAGUCCAUCUUUGUAAUUUUUCUCCCAAUUCAUUGAUUUAUAUUAGGAUUUUAUAAAGCCUAUAAAUUGACCAACUAAAUAAAGUAGGUUCAUAAACUUUUAGGUGAAAAUUUUCUCUCUAAUAAAUGUUAAUUCAAGAGUCUCCGUAAUCUUUUUAUAUUCAUAUUAAUUGGUAUUUAAACUGACCUUACUAUAUUAAAGUCAAAUACCAAAUAGUGAACACUAUAUCUGCUACUACCACUAUGAUGGUCACAAACAUAGAAUGCUCCUUUUUUUAGAGUCAAUUGAUGCUUAUAAACAACAACUUUGUUUGAAAAUAAAAUACAUCGAGUGAUUGCAUCAAGAGAUUGAUGUAAUAAUUGCAUACUUGAUCUUGAUAAUGCUGAGUUGACUAAAUAAAUGAGUAUUUACUUAUAAGGUAGCCCAUAGAACAUUAUUUGUGGAAAUAUUCAUGCACCUCUACAUAUGUUCAUGAUAACUUAGGUUGAUAAAUUUAAGAAGAACAAAUUCAUAACCUUGGGCAUAGUUAGUAAGAAAUUUCACCAAUAGAGUUUGGUAUCAUGAUUCUAAUUGUUCAAAUUGUUUUAAAGGAGUAUUUUAAAUUGCAUGUUAAUUUGCUUCUAAUAAAUGGAGAGAAACCAAUUCAAGAAGAGAAUUGUACUCAAGCUAUGUAUAACAUUCAUGAAGAUGUAGAAAAUAUUGAUGAACUUACUUUUGAGCAAGUUGAAAUCAUAAUUAAAUAAAAGAACAAACCCAAGGGUUAAGAUUGUCAAGUAAAACUUUAACUAAAAUUUAUUGAUUUUUUAAAUGCCUAUUAGAGGGACAAUAGAAGUUCUAGAUAAAAAGUAAGAACUUUUCUAAGGAAUCACUUGUUAGAUUUUAAGUGAUCAAUAAAUAUAAUGUCCAAUUUAAAACUUUUAUAAAAGCAAUGCUUCUAAAGAAUAACUUGAUUUGAAUUUAAAGUUAUUAUUGAUAUUUGUUUAUAAUGGAUGUAGUUAAUCAACUGAACAUAGUAAAAAACACAUAAAUUUUUCAAAAUACCUUCUAGUUGUUGGGUAUAUUUAAAUAGUCAUCCAUAUCUCAUUAUCUUUUCACUCACAUACUAAUCUCCUUAUUGAGUAUUUACCAAUUACAAGUAGGUUGAAAGUUACUUGAAUUUAAGUCACUAAUCAAUGUUAACUUGAUAACAAAUAAGUCUCUCUUUGAAACUUGUUUUACAAGAUAGCGAAAUGUAGUCGAUCAAUCAUCAAAACAAUGUUCAAGCAUUAGGAUUUAGUUGUUAAUUUUUAUUUUUAUUUUUUGUGCUUAAACAAAGACAAAAAUGAUAAAAACUCCUUAAAAGUACAUAGUAAUUGAAUUUAAUUUAUACAUCAAACAAGAACAAACUAGUCUUGGAUUUAAAAUUCAUCAGGUUUUGUAAUUAUAAUUCCUAAAAAUUUGUAAGACAACAAAAUUAUUGGGCACUAGGUUAUUGGGUGUGUAUGACUAAGAGGUGAAGGAGGGUUCAUCUUAUACAAAGGAUGAUUUGAUUAAUUUUAAAGAUUGGAUAAACAAUAAUUGCAUAUUCAAGUAAAAAUAACAUUGCUAAAAAGGAAAAUAAGUAUUUUAGUCCUCAAACCUAAAAUGGCUAAAAAUUUUAAUUAAUACAAUACAACUUCACCUACAAAAGAAAAAAAAAACCCAAAACUUUUCAAUAGCACAACUAAGUCCAUUUAUCAAAAAAAAGAAAUAUAAGGAAGUUGGACUCAUUUACUAGCAAUUUAACAUAUGACUAAAACCUAUUGAAGAAUUUGCAAUAGCACUUACUUUGGUCAUGUCCAAACUUAUUGCACAUGGUGCAAAAAGGGGUAGUGCUCGAGGAUGCUUCCACAUAAGAAAGACCCUACUUAACUGUUACAAAGGUUAUUUUCCCACUUGUGGGAAUGCUAACCUUGCUAAUAUAUUAUAUGCCAUGUUUAUCAUAUACAAAUUUUUCUUUACUAAAUAUUUCUUUAAUGAUCUUGGACCUAAAAUUAAAUAUUUCAUUAGUAUUGGUCAUGUCGUUCCUCAACUUUUCAACUUUUAGAGUUAAAUCUUUAUCUUUAUCAUUGAUAGUUUUAUGUUUAGUCCCUAGAAACUUCACCUUAUUAACAAUAUGUUCAUUUAAUAUUUUGAUAUUUUUAAUUUUCAAAGAAUCAUAGAGCUCAUUAAUUUUAAUGUCUUUUUAUUCACUUUUAUGCUUUCAACCUUUGUUUUUAGUUUUCCUAUAAUAAUGCAUCAUAGACCCCAUGUAUAUCAUUAAAAUAAAACUCAUUUUUUUCAUUAGGAUUCAAUUAACCCAAUGGAUCAUAAUCAAAAUUAGUUGCAUAUGAACAAAAGCAAUAAGAUUAUCAUUUUGUACAUCUUUACUUUCAUUUGAGUUCUUAGCCCUACAAUCAUCAAACAUGGAAUUACUCCAAGUUACCUACAUAGCCUUCAUACCUAAUGUUUUUAAGGCAAGGACAAUCAACAACCAUGUGUCCCAUUCCCCCAAUGGUUCACUACGAAAUCAAGGUACAUAUGUUAUGCUUUCUUUGUUUCAUAGUGAUUAGAGAGGAUAAACAUUGUAAAAAAAAAAGUUGUCAUAGUUAAUGUAAGCUAAAACUAAAAAACUUGCUUUUUCAAUUGUGUAAGCAUGUUUUGUUCUUGAUGAAUAUUUACAACAUUCAGAGUUACUAAUGUUUAUAAUUCACAGAGACCUCAUUAACAACAAGUAACAACUAAUUGUAAGUAACCAUGAAAAAAAAAUAAGGAGAAAAAUAAAGGAAAAUCAAGGAAAGUGUCAAAUUUUUUCAUCCCCAUAAAAAAUGCUAAGGAAGAAAAAUGUGAAGAAAGUUUAAAGAAAGUAUAUUUUUCAAAAAUUGAAUUUUCUUUCCCUUAAAGUUGGUAUGGACAACCAAACAAGAAAAUGAUUUUUAAAUUCUUUUUUGACCUUUUUCUAUCAUUCUUUUUUUUUUCCCCCUACUCUAUUUCCUUUCCCUCAAACUUUCUAGGUAGUAAACAUUACCUAAGAUAAAUAGGGAAGAAAAUAUUUUAUCAUUUAUUUAUUUAGUAUUUUUCUUACCUUUUUUUGUAUUUUAUCCAAAUAUAAGAAAACUACUUUUCUUUAUUUUUUCUUUUCCUUGUUGCUUUUCAAGAAUCAAGCAUACUUUAAACUCUAAUUAAGAGUUACAUAGAUUUACAGAGAAACAAUGCAACUAGUAACAAAAAAUUAAGGAAAUUUAAUUUUUUAAUUUUUGAGAGUAAGUAUAAUAAGAUUGGUUUGUUUGAUACAAAAUUUGAAUAAAAAUUAUUUUAAUGAAAAUUCAAGGAAAGGAAAAAAAAAAAAAAAAACUUGAUCUCUAGACUAUAAUACUAAAUCAAUUAAAAAAUCUCCUAACAUCGUUUAUGUUCAUCUUUUUUUUUUUAUGGAUUUGAAAAACCCAAUAAUUUGGAGAAAACUGAUUCAAGGAAGAAUAAUUUUUAGAAUAAAAUAUUAUUAUUUAAGAAGAUCAUAAAUUUUAUAGUCAUUGUUGAAAAUGAUAAAUGAUUAAAAAAAAAAAGGUAGUUGGAAAUUUAGAUACUUUUAUAAGACAAAUGCAUUUUUCUAGUCUGGUAUGAAAAAAGGUAAAAUGAUAGGCUUUGAUCAUUUUUCAAGUUAGUUUGUUUAAAUCAUUUUAAUUUAUUUUGAUUUAAGAACAAUAACUUUUAUUACACUAGUUAUUUUGAUUUUCUUUUGAUAGAUUUUGCAAGCUUAAGCAAUUUGGAGCUAUUGGAUUUGAGUUAUAAUUUAUUUAGUGGGAGCAUUCCAUCAUCUAUAAGAUUGAUGUCUUCUAUCAAGUCUUUAUCCUUGGCUGAAAAUUACCUCAAUGGUUUCUUAGCAAAUCAAGGUACAUAUAUUGUGAUUACAGGUUUUUCUAUUUUCUUUUUUAAUAUCUUGUUUGUUCUUUAUGCCAAUUAAGUCAUGCAUGUCUAUUAAUUUUUGGUAUUUAAUGAAAAACUUUAUUCUUAAUUCAUAAAGACCUCAUCAACUAUAAGUAACAGUUAGUUCUAAGUUUGGGGGCAUUGACAAGACGAGGAGAUGAUUGGUUACAUGUCUUAUUCUCUUUUGUUGGCUUUUGCCAAUUGAAUAAGUUUCAAGAAUUAGAUUUUUCUUACAACUUAUUCCAAGGAAUCCUUCCUCCAUGUUUGAAUAAUUUGACAUCUUUGAGGUUAUUGGAUCUCUCUUCCAACCUAUUCUCCGGAAAUCUUUCUUCCCCUCUGUUACCUAAUCUCACAUCCCUGGAGUACAUCGAUCUCAGUUACAAUCAUUUUGAGGGUUCAUUCUCUUUCAGCUCUUUUGCUAAUCACUCCAACUUUCAAGUGGUCAAACUUGGAAGGAAUAACAACAAAUUUGAGGUAGAAACUGAAUAUCCAGUUGAUUGGGUUCCCCUAUUUCAGUUGAAAGCUCUUAUGCUAUCCAACUGUAAGCUCAUCGAUGACCUUCCUGGUUUUCUUCGACACCAAUUAAGAUUAACCGUGGUUGAUCUCUCCCAUAAUAACUUGACUGGAAGUUUCCCCAUUCAGCAGCUUGAAAACAAUACAAGACUAGGAUCUCUAGUUUUGAGGAAUAACUCUUUAAUGGGUCAACUACUUCCCCUGAGACCUAAUAGUCGUAUCACUUUAUUGGAUAUCUCAGACAACCGACUUCAUGGGGAACUUCAACAAAAUGUGGCCAAUAUGAUUCCAAAUAUUGAGUUUCUAAAUUUAUCCAACAAUCUUCCCCUUCAUUUCAUCCAUAUUUGGAUCUACCUUUAAAUCUCUAUUGCAUACAACCCAUAUAUGAUUCCCUCUAAAUUUAGCCUUCAUUUCUUGUUAAGAGGUUUUAAAAGCCAGCAAUUUAAUUUACUUUCAUCCUCUAUAUAGAUGAGAACUCUUAUAUUUAUCCAAUGAUAGGUAACAUUUUUGCAAAUGCUUUUAUUUGAUUUUUUUAAUUGGUCUUAAAAAUAAGUGUUAAUAAAGAUCCACAAUAUAAAAUAAUAAAUUAUAUCUCAAUUGACCUCAAGAUACUAUUUACUUCUACUAACUCAUUUUACAUCUCAAUUGUUCUUAAAAAGUCUAUAAUGGUAAUUAACUAUAGAAUUCAAGUUUUAAUUAUGCAAAAAAUAUAUAAAGGUUUUUAAAAUUAAUAGAAAAAAAGAUUCUAAUAAAUAAUAAGUAGAUUGAAACAUUUAUUUCUAGAAGUAGAGAAAGAUGGAGGAUCAUAAAAGUUGAAAAAAGAAUAAUUUGGAAGUCAUAAAAUUUUGGAAAAAGAAUAAUUCAUAGAGACCUCAUUAACAACAAGUAACAACUAAUUGUAAGUAACCAUGAAAAAAGUAAGGAGAAAAAUAAGGGAAAAGCAAGGAAAGUAGCAAAUUUUUUCAUCCCCAUAAAAAAAUGAUAAGGAAGAAAAAAGUGAAGAAAGUUUAAAGAAAGCAUAUUCUUCAAAAAUUGAAUUUUCUUUCCCUUAAAAUUGGUAUGGACAACCAAACAAGAAAAUGAUUUUUAAAUUCUUUUUUGACCUUUUUCUAUCAUUCUUUUUUUUCCCCCUACUCUAUUUCCUUUCCCUCAAACUUUCUAGGUAGUAAACAUUACCUAAGAUAAAUAGGGAAGAAAAUAUUUUAUCAUUUAUUUAUUUAGUAUUUUUCUUACCUUUUUUGUAUUUUAUCCAAAUAUAAGAAAACUAUUUUUCUUUAUUUUUUCUUUUCCUUGUUGCUUUUCAAGAAUCAAGCAUGCUUUAAACUCUAAUUAAGAGUUACAUGGAUUUACGGAGAAACAAUGCAACUGGUAACAAAAAAUUAAGGAAAUUUAAUUUUUGAGAGUAAGUAUAAUGAGAUUGGUUUGUUUGAUACAAAAUUUAAAUAAAAAUUCUUUCAAUGAAAAUUCAAGGAAAGGAAAAAAAAACAAAUUUAUCUCUAGACUAUAAUACUAAAUCACUUAAAAAAAACUCCUAACAUCGUUUAUGUUCAUCUUUCUUUUUAUGGAUUUGAAAAACCCAAUAAUUUGGAGAAAACUGAUUCAAGGAAGAAUAAUUUUUAGAAUAAAAGAUUAUUAUUUAAGAAGAUCAUAAAUAUUAUAGUCAUUGUUGAAUAUGAUAAAUGAUUAAAAAAAAAAAAGGUAGUUGGAAAUUUAGAUACUUUUAUAAGACAAAUGCAUUUUUCUAGUAUGGUAUGAAAAAAAGGUAAAAUGAUAGGCUUUGAUCAUUUUUUAAGGUAGUUUGUUUAAAUCAUUUUAAUUUAUUUUGAUUUAAUAACAAUAACUUUUAUUACACUAGUUAUUUUGAUUUUCUUUUGAUAGAUUUUGCAAGCUUAAGAAAUUUGGAGGUAUUGGAUUUGAGUUAUAAUUCAUUUAGUGGGAUCGUUCCAUCGUCUAUAAGAUUGUUGUCUUCUCUCAAGUCUUUAUCUCUGGCUGGAAAUCACCUCAAUGGUUCCUUAGCAAAUCAAGGUACAUAUAUUGUGAUUACAGGUUUUUCUAUUUUCUUUUUUAAUAUCUUGUUUGUUCUUUAUGCCAAUGAAGUCAUGCAUGUCUAUUAAUUUUUGGUAUUUAAUAAAAAACUUUAUUCUUAAUUCAUGAAGACCUCAUCAACUGUAAGUAACAACUAGUUGUAAAUUUGGGGGCAUUGAUAAGACGAGGAGAUGAUUGGUUACAUGUCUUAUUCUCUUUUGUAAGCUUCUGCCAAUUGAAUAAGCUUCAAGAGUUAGAUUUUUCUUACAACUUAUUCCAAGGGAUCCUUCCUCCAUGUUUGAAUAAUUUGACAUCUUUGAGGUUAUUGGAUCUCUCUUCCAACCUAUUCUCCGAAAAUCUUUUUUCCCCUCUGUUACCUAAUCUCACAUCCCUGGAGUACAUCGAUCUCAGUUACAAUCAUUUUGAGGGUUCAUUCUCUUUCAGCUCUUUUACUAAUCACUCCAACCUUCAAGUGGUCAAACUUGGAAGGAAUAACAACAAAUUUGAGGUAGAAACUGAAUAUCCAGUUGGUUGGGUUCCCCUGUUUCUGUUGAAAGCUCUUGUCCUAUCCAACUGUAAGCUCAUCGGUGAUCCUGGUUUCCUUCGACACCAAUUAAGAUUAACCGUGGUUGAUCUCUCCCAUAAUAAUUAGACUGGAAGUUUCCCCAUUUGGCUGCUUGAUAACAAUACAAGACUAGGAUCUCUAGUUCUGAGGAAUAACUCUUUAAUGGGUCAACUACUUCCCCUGAGACCUAAUAGUCGUAUCACUUUAUUGGAUAUCUCAGACAACCGACUUCAUGGGGAACUUCAACAAAAUGUGGCCAAUAUGAUUCCAAAUAUUGAGUUUCUAAAUUUAUCCAACAAUCAUCCCCUUCAUUUCAUCCAUAUUUGGAUCUACCUUUAAAUCUCUAUUGCAUACAACCCAUAUAUGAUUCCCUCUAAAUUUAGCCUUCAUUUCUUGCUAAGAGGUUUUAAAAGCCAGCAAUUUAAUUUACUUUCAUCCUCUAGAUUGAUGAGAACUCUUAUAUUUAUCCAAUGAUAGGUAACAUUUUUGCAAAUGCUUUUAUUUGAUUUUUUUAAUUGGUCUUAAAAAUAAGUGUUAAUAAAGAUCCACAAUAUAAAAUAAUAAAUUACAUCUCAAUUGACCUCAAGAUACUAUUUACUUCUACUAACUCAUUUUACAUCUUAAUUGUUCUUAAAAAGUCUAUAAUGGUAAUUAACUAUAGAAUUCAAGUUUUAAUUAUGCAAAAAAUAUAUAAAGGUUUUUAAAGUUAAUAGAAAAAGAGAUUCUGAUAAAUAAUAAGUAGAUUGAAACAUUUAUUUCUAGAAGUAGAGAAAGAUGGAGGAUCAUAAAAGUUGAAAAAAGAAUAAUUUGGAAGUCAUAAAAUUUUGGAAAAAGAAUAAUUCAUAGAGACCUCAUUAACAACAAGUAACAACUAAUUGUAAGUAACCAUGAAAAAAGUAAGGAGAAAAAUAAAGGAAAAUCAAGGAAAGUGACAAAUUUUUUCAUCCCCAUAAAAAAUGAUAAGGAAGAAAAAGGUGAAGAAAGUUUAAAGAAAGUAUAUUUUUCAAAAAUUGAAUUUUCUUUCCCUUAAAGUUGGUAUGGACAACCAAACAAGAAAAUGAUUUUUAAAUUCUUUUUUGACCUUUUUCUAUCAUUCUUUUUUUUUUCCUUACUCUAUUUCCUUUCCCUCAAACUUUCUAGGUAGUAAACAUUACCUAAGAUAAAUAGAGAAGAAAAUAUUUUAUCAUUUAUUUAUUUAGUAUUUUUUUUACCUUUUUUUGUAUUUUAUCCAAAUAUAAGAAAACUAUUUUUCUUUAUUUUUUCUUUUCCUUGUUGCUUUUCAAGAAUCAAGCAUACUUUAAACUUUAAUUAAGAGUUACAUAGAUUUACGGAGAAACAAUGCAACUGGUAACAAAAAAUUAAGGAAAUUUAAUUUUUGAGAGUAAGUAUAAUGAGAUUGGUUUGUUUGAUACAAAAUUUGAAUAAAAAUUCUUUCAAUGAAAAUUCAAGGAAAGGAAAAAAAACAAAUUUAUCUCUAGACUAUAAUACUAAAUCACUUAAAAAAAACUCCUAACAUCGUUUAUGUUCAUCUUUCUUUUUAUGGAUUUGAAAAACCCAAUAAUUUGGAGAAAACUGAUUCAAGGAAGAAUAAUUUUUAGAAUAAAAGAUUAUUAUUUAAGAAGAUCAUAAAUAUUAUAGUCAUUGUUGAAUAUGAUAAAUGAUUAAAAAAAAAAAAGGUAGUAGGAAAUUUGGAUACUUUUAUAAGACAAAUGCAUUUUUCUAGUAUGGUAUGAAAAAAAGGUAAAAUGAUAGGCUUUGAUCAUUUUUUAAGGUAGUUUGUUUAAAUCAUUUUAAUUUAUUUUGAUUUAAUAACAAUAACUUUUAUUACACUAGUUAUUUUGAUUUUCUUUUGAUAGAUUUUGCAAGCUUAAGCAAUUUGGAGGUAUUGGAUUUGAGUGGUAAUUCAUUUAGUGGGAUCGUUCCAUCGUCUAUAAGAUUGUUGUCUUCUCUCAAGUCUUUAUCUCUGGCUGGAAAUCACCUCAAUGGUUCCUUAGCAAAUCAAGGUACAUAUAUUGUGAUUACAGGUUUUUCUAUUUUCUUUUUUAAUAUCUUGUUUGUUCUUUAUGCCAAUGAAGUCAUGCAUGUCUAUUAAUUUUUGGUAUUUAAUAAAAAACUUUAUUCUUAAUUCAUGAAGACCUCAUCAACUGUAAGUAACAACUAGUUGUAAAUUUGGGGGCAUUGAUAAGACGAGGAGAUGAUUGGUUACAUGUCUUAUCACUACUACAAAAAUUGAAAUUAAUGACGCUUUAUUUUAUGACGCUUUCUAAAAGCGUCAUUAUUGAGGGUAUACAAUGACGCUUAUAAGAAGUGUCAUAGUUGUAUUAUUUAUCUUGAUACUGAUUAUAAGUGUCAUUAUUUGAUGUCAUCUUUUUCCUUGUAACUGUGUAUAUAAUGACGCUUAUAAGAAGCGUCAUAGUUUUAUUAUUUACCUUGACACUUAUUAUAAGCAUCAUUAUUUGAUGGGUAUGUAAUGACGUUCUUGAGAAGUGUCAUAGUUGUAUUGACUUUUAAAAUUUUUGUUUUUAAGUUAACUUAUACAAAUUUUGAUAUUAGAAUAUUAUUCUAUAAAUUAAUUAUGGUAAAUUGACAUUAAUAUUAAUGACAUAAAGUUGCUACAUUAAGGUUUUUUUAAAAAAAUUUGGAUAUAAAUAAAAUAAAAUCCUAAUAAAUUAUUUUUUUAUUGUUUGAUAUUAAUUUUUUUAUAGUUUGUAUCAAUACAAUCUAUUUUCAUAAACUAUUUUUCAUUUUUAUUAAAUUAGAAAUUAUCUUAUAUUUCAUUUAAAAAUAAUUUGUUAAUUUAUUUGUGGACCACAAAAAAGUGGCCUAUUUUGAGCACUUGUUCGAGCCUUGGGCCACAUUUAUUGGGUUUAACCCUUUUAUUUGAGAAGGUUUUAUAGUUAAUGAAUAUAAAUUUGAAAUUAUUUAACUAAAAUGAAAUAAAUUAAUAUUUAAAUUAAUUUAAUGAUGAUUAGACUCACAAUAAAACUAAAUGCAAUAAGAAUAUUUAUAAAAACUUUCUAAUAUUUAUGGGAAUUAAGCUCAUUCUAUUAAAUUAGUUUUUUUUUUAAAUAUCAAUAUUCAAAUUAAACCAAUAUCAACCUAAAAUAUCAAAUAAUUAAACAAUAUAAAUUUAUUAUGAGUUCAAUAUAUAAAAAUUAUUAUUGGAAGAUGAAAUAAAGAAUACUAUUUUAAUUUAUUGAAAAAGGACAUGCAUGAUAUUUUAGAAUUUGUUAUAAAGUCUCCAUUGAAAACCCUAACUUUUGGAAGACAAGAAAGAAGGGAGAGAGCCACCGUUUUUAGUGAGAAAGAAGAGAAGAGAGAAAAAUGCAAGUUUUUCUCAUCAGGCCCAGAUUUCAUCAAAGGUCUGAUCCCACUUUGUCCGUGGUCCGAUCGAGCUGAAAUUUGGAGGAGAGUUUCGUGACUCAUUUAUCUUCAAUCUGAACGGUGAAGAUCGGAUUUGGAGUUUCGGAAAGUCAUUAGAAAGAAAGAGGAGAAGAGAGAAAAACGUAGGUUUUUCUCAUCAUGCCCAGAUUUUAUCAAAUGUCCGAUCCCGCUUCGUCCGUGGUCCGAUCGAGUUGAAAUUUGAAGGAGAGGUUUGUGGCUCAUGUAUCUUCAAUAUGAACGGUGGAGAUCUGAUUUGGAGUUUCGGACAGUCAUUAGAGAGAAAGAGGAGAAGAGAGAAAAACUUAGGUUUUUCUCAUCGUGCCCAGAUUUCAUCAAAUGUCUGAUCCCGCUUCGUCCGUGGUCCGAUCGAGUUGAAAUUUGAAGGAGAGGUUCGUGGCUCAUGUAUAUUCAAUAUGAACGGUGGAGAUCGGAUUUGGAGUUUUGGACAGUCAUUAGAGAGAAAGAGGAGAAGAGAGAAAAACAGUGGUUUUUUUAUAUCAUGCCCAGAUUUCAUCAAAGGUUCAAUGCCGCUUUUUUCAUGGUCUGAUUGAGCUGAAAUUUGGAGGAGAGGUUCAUAAGUCAUUAAUCUUAAAUUUGAACGGUGAAGAUCGGAUUUAGAGUUUUGGAAAGUCAUCUUUCAGCCAAAAACAAAACCUUUAUUUUAUCAAAGAUGGCGCUUCCUGAAAGUGUCAUUGUUGCCUAAGACAUACAAUGACAGAGGCGAAGAGGACGCUUUAGAGAAGCGUCAUCUGUUACCUUUCUUGACGCUUAAAAAACGUCAUAGUUUCCCAUUUUUCUUGUAGUGUAUUCUCUUUUGUAAGCUUCUGCCAAUUGAAUAAGCUUCAAGAGUUAGAUCUUUCUUACAACUUAUUCCAAGGGAUCCUUCCUCCAUGUUUGAAUAAUUUGACAUCUUUGAGGUUAUUGGAUCUCUCUUCCAACCUAUUCUCCGAAAAUCUUUCUUCCCCUCUGUUACCUAAUCUCACAUCCCUGGAGUACAUCGAUCUCAGUUACAAUCAUUUUGAGGGUUCAUUCUCUUUCAGCUCUUUUACUAAUCACUCCAACCUUCAAGUGGUCAAACUUGGAAGGAAUAACAACAAGUUUGAGGUAGAAACUGAAUAUCCAGUUGGUUGGGUUCCCCUGUUUCUGUUGAAAGCUCUUAUCCUAUCCAACUGUAAGCUCAUCGGUGAUCCUGGUUUCCUUCGACACCAAUUAAGAUUAACCGUGGUUGAUCUCUCCCAUAAUAAUUAGACUGGAAGUUUCCCCAUUUGGCUGCUUGAUAACAAUACAAGACUAGGAUCUCUAGUUCUGAGGAAUAACUCUUUAAUGGGUCAACUACUUCCCCUGAGACCUAAUAGUCGUAUCACUUUAUUGGAUAUCUCAGACAACCGACUUCAUGGGGAACUUCAACAAAAUGUGGCCAAUAUGAUUCCAAAUAUUGAGUUUCUAAAUUUAUCCAACAAUGGUUUUGAAGGUAUUCUCCCAUCCUCAAUAGCCGAAAUGAGUUCCUUACAGUCAUUAUAUUUGUCUGCUAAUAGUUUCUCAGGGGAAGUACCAAAACAAUUGCUUGCGGCAAAAUAUUUGUGGCUUCUGAAAUUAUCAAAUUAUAAAUUUCAUGGCGAAAUAUUUUCAAGGGACUUUAACUUGACUCAGUUAGGGUUUUUGCAUUUGGACAAUAAUCAGUUCAAGGGAACACUGUCAAAUGUAAUCUCCAGAAUCUCUAGGUUAUGGGUGUUGGAUAGGUAACAUGACCGAUUUGACUACACUGGUGUUGGGCAACAAUAGUUUUAAAGGCAAAUUACCACCUGAGAUUUCUCAAUUGUUGGGGAUGAUAUUUCUUGACGUUUCUCAAAACGCUCUUUUAGGAUCUCUUCCUUCUUUGAAGAGCCUGGAGUAUUUAGAUACCCAGAGAUUGAUACCCAGAGAUUUUCUCAAUUCCUCAUAUCUAUUGACUUUGGAUAUCAGAGACAACAGGUUAUUUGGAAGUAUUCCCUAUUCAAUCUCUAGACUUUUAGAGCUAAGAGGAAACCUUUUAAGUGAUUUCAUUCCAUAUCAGCUUUGUCAUUUGACUAAAAUAAGCUUGAUGGAUAUUUCAAACAACAAUUUUUCUGGGUCAAUUCCCGGAUGCUUUGGUCAUAUCGGAUUUGGAGAUUUCAAAACUGAGCACAAUGUGUAUAUACCGAUGUUGGAUUCGUAUUCAGAAAGCAAUCCUUCUAUAUAUACGGGUUACUUAAUAAAAUAUUUAUUUUUCUCUAGUGAACUCCCUGAUGAAGUAGAUGAAGUUGAGUUUGUUACCAAGAAUAGGUAUAGCUCCUACAGAGUAGAUAAAAAUAUUUGUUGGGAAUUUAGAUAUUUUUAUAGGAAAGUAGACAAGUAUUCUAAUUUAUAAAAACAAUGCAUUUCUUUAGUUUGGUAUAAAAAAAAAUGAAACGAUAGGUAUUGGUAUUUUUUUUAAAGCAACAAACGUUUUAUUUUAUUUGUAUUUAAGAACAAUGUCUUUUCUUAUACUAGUUAUUUUAAUUUUCUUUUGACAGAUUUUGCAAGCUUAAGCAAUUUGGAGAUACUAGAUUUGAGUUCUAAUUCCUUAAGUGGGAUUAUUCCAUCAUCUAUAAGAUUGAUGUCUCAUCUCAAGUCUUUAUCCUUGGCCGGAAAUCAGCUCAAUGGUUCUUUACAAAAUCAAGGUACAUAUGUUAUGAUUUGUUUGUUUCAUAUGGAUUAGAGAAGAUGAAUAUUGUAAAAAAAAAGUUGUAGUUAAUGUAAGCUAGAAAUAAGUAUCUUGCCUUAUAAAUUAUAUGAGCAUGUGUUUGUUCUUAAUGAAUCUUUACAACAUUUAGAGUUACCAAUGUUUAUAAUUCAUAAAGACCUCAUUAACCGUGAGUAACAACUAAUUGUAAGUAAUUGUGGAAAAAGUAAGGAAAACAAAAUGAGGGAAAAGCAAGGAAUUAGGAAAUUAUUUUGUUCCCAUUAAAAAAUGCUAAGGAAGAAAAAGGUAAAAGAAAGUUUAAAAAAAGUGUAUUUUUCAAAAAUUUAUUUCUCUUUCCUUUAAUUUUGCUAUGGACAACCAAACAAGAAAAUUAUUUUAUAAUUCCUUUUUUAUUUUUUUCAUUCUCUCUCUCUUUUUUCCCCUACUCUAUUUCUUUUCCCUCAAACUUUCUUGGUAGUAAACACAACCUAAGAUAAAAUGGGGAAGAAAAUUUUCAGUUUUUUUUUUAUUUUUUUAGAAUGUUUUCUUACUUUUUAGUAUUUUAUGCAAAUAUAGGAAAAUUAUUUUUUUUUCUUUUUUUUUCUUGCUCCUUUUCGGACAUGAAUCACACUUUAAAAGAAAAUUAAUUUUUAAUUAGGAGUUAAGAUAAAUUUAAGGAGAAACAGUGAAUCACGAAUAACAAAAAAAUAAGGAAAUUGAAUUUUUGAAAGUAAGUAUAAUCAAAUUGCUUCAUUUGAUACAAAAUUUGAAUAAAAAUUCUUUCAAGGAAAGGAAAAAACAUUUUUGUCUCUAGAUUAUAAUACUAAAUCAUGUAAAAAAUCUCUUAACAUCAUUUAUAUUCAUAUUUAUUUUUGUAGAUUUGAAAAAUUCAACAAUUUGGAAUAAACUUAUUCAAUGAAUAAUAAUUUUUAGAUUUAAAGAUUAUUAUUUAAGAUCAUAAAUAUUACCAUGAUUGUUGAUGUCUAAGAAGAUCAUAUUCAACAAUUUUUUUAAUAUGUUGUUUUUUUAUGGUAAUUAAUUGAUGUCUUGUAAUUUUUAAUAUUUAAUGAAAAACAUUAUUUUAAUUCAUCUAGAGCUCUUAAUUCAUGAAGACCUCAUUAAUGGUGAGUAAUAGUUGGCUGUAAGUUUGGAGUCAAAGACAUGUCAAGGAGAUGAUUAGUUACAUGUCUUAUUCUCUUUUGUAGGUUUCUGUCAAUUGAAUAAGCUUCAAGAGUUAGAUCUUUCUUACAACUUAUUCCAAGGGAUCCUUCCUCCAUGUUUGAAUAAUUUGACAUCUCUAAGGUUAUUGGAUCUCUCUGUCAACCUAUUCUCCGGAAAUCUUUCUUCUCCUUUAUUACCUAAUCUCACAUCCCUGGAGUACAUCGAUCUCAGUUACAAUCAGUUUGAGGGUUCAUUCUCUUUCAGCUCUUUUGCUAAUCACUCAAAGCUUCAAAUGGUCAAACUUGGAAUGAAUAACAACAAAUUUGAGGUAGAAACUGAAUAUCCAAUUGGUUGGGUUCCCUUGUUUCAAUUGAAGGCUCUUUCGCUAGACAGCUGUAAGCUCACCGGCGACCUUCCUAGUUUUCUUCAAUACCAAUUCAGGUUAGUGGGGGUUGAUCUCUCACAUAAUAACUUGACAGGAAGUUUUCCCAAUUGGCUGCUUGAAAACAAUACGAGACUAAAAUCUCUAGUUCUGAGGAAUAACUCUUUAAUGGGUCAAUUACUUCCCUUGGAACGUAAUACCCGUAUCCAUUCAUUGGAUAUCUCACACAAUCAGUUGGAUGGACAACUUCAAGAAAAUGUGGCCCAUAUGAUUCCAAAUAUGAAAUAUCUAAAUUUAUCCGACAAUGGUUUUGAGGGUAUUCUCCCAUCCUCAAUAGUUGAACUAAGAGCCUUAUGGUAUUUGGAUUUGUCUACCAAUAAUUUCUCUGGAGAAGUACCAAAGCAAUUGCUUGCAGCAAAAGAUUUGGGGGUUUUGAAAUUAUCAAAUAAUAAAUUUCAUGGUGAAAUAUUUUCAAGGGACUUUAACUUGAUUAGGUUGGAAGUUUUGUAUUUGGGCAAUAAUCAGUUGACGGGAACUCUGUCAAAUGUAAUCUCUAAAAGCUCUUGGUUGGGGGUGUUGGAUGUGAGCAACAACUACAUGUCAGGUGAAAUUCCAAGCCAGAUAGGUAACAUGACCUAUUUGACUACACUGGUGUUGGGCAACAAUAGUUUUAAAGGCAAAUUACCACCCGAGAUUUCUCAAUUGUGGGGUUUGGAGUUUCUUGACGUUUCUCAAAAUGCUCUUUCAGGAUCUCUUCCUUGUUUGAAGACCAUGGAGAGUUUAAAGCAUCUACAUUUGCAAGGGAACAUGUUUACAGGAUUAAUACCCAGAGAUUUUCUCAAUUCCUCACAUUUAUUGACUUUGGAUAUGCGAGAUAACAGGUUAUUUGGAAGUAUUCCCAAUUCAAUCUCUGCACUUUUGAAGCAGCUAAGGAUUUUUUUGCUGGGAGGAAACCUUUUAAGUGGUUUUAUUCCAAAUCAUCUUUGUCAUUUGACUGAAAUAAGCUUGAUGGAUCUUUCAAACAACUCUUUUUCAGGGCCAAUUCCCAAAUGCUUUGGCCAUAUCCGAUUUGGGGAGAUGAAAAAGGAAGACAACGUGUUUGGACAGUUCAUUGAAAUUAGGUAUGGAAUGGAUUCUCAUCUUGUAUAUGCAGGUUACUUGGUGAAAUAUUGGGAGGACUUAAGUUCAGUAUAUAAGGGAAAAGAUGAAGUUGAGUUUGUGACCAAGAACAGGCGUGACUUCUACAGAGGUGGCAUCCUUGAAUUCAUGUCUGGAUUGGACUUAUCAUGUAACAACUUGACAGGCGAAAUACCUCAUGAACUUGGAAUGCUAAGUUGGAUUCGUGCAUUGAACUUGUCUCACAAUCAAUUGAAUGGCUCCAUUCCAAAGAGUUUCUCCGAUCUUUCUCAAAUAGAGAGCUUAGACCUUUCUUAUAAUAAAUUGGGUGGAGAAAUUCCUCUAGAGCUAGUUGAACUCAAUUUUUUAGCGGUGUUUAGUGUGGCUUACAACAACAUCUCUGGUAGAGUUCCAAAUGCCAAAGCACAAUUUGCAACAUUUGAUGAAAGCAGCUAUGAAGGUAAUCCUUUCCUUUGUGGGGAACUAUUAAAGAGGAAAUGCAACACAAGUAUUGAGUCACCAUGCGCACCAUCACAGUCUUUUGAAAGUGAGACAAAAUGGUAUGAUAUCAAUCAUGUUGUUUUCUUUGCAAGUUUUACUACUUCAUAUAUCAUGAUCUUGUUAGGAUUUGUUACCAUCCUUUACAUCAAUCCUUAUUGGCGUCAUAGAUGGUUCAAUUUUAUUGAGGAAUGUGUAUAUUCCUGCUAUUAUUUUGUUUUUGAUAGUCUUUCCAAGUUCUCAGCAUAUUUGUAUAAUUAGAUACUUUUAAUUGGAUGAUGUUUGCAUAAUUAACUACUAUUUGUUUCCAUGGGAUAAAAAGAAAUGGGAUUAUAAUUGCUAUGAGUUGAAACUUACAUACUUUGCUCAAAUUCUAACAUCUUUUGAUUUUAUUUUCAAGUUCCGUUAUUUAUUAUGUAUUGUUUAAUUCAAGAUUUAACCAUAUUAUGCUACUCUUAUAAAAACAAAUUCAAAUUUUUAGGAACUUAGCAUUAAAAUAAUUUCAUAGUCAGAUUUUUAAAAAUAAAGAAGAAAGAAAAUAAUAAAUAAUUAGAAAAACAAUUCAAGGGAGUAUUAAAUUAUUAUCUUAGAAUUGUUUGGCGUAGUAUGGGAAUUCAAAAAUAAUCUUUCAAUUUGUUAGAAAUGUUUAUUUAUUUAUUAUAGCAAUGAUUGAAAUAUCAAUCACAAAGUAAUGUUUUCUUUUCUUUUGUAGGGCACUAACAUUUUUUCUUUGAUUGUAAUAAUUGAUAAAUAUAUUACACAAUUAUUUGUUUUAAAGAGGGGAGGGAUGACAAACAUAAUAACAUGUGAAAUAUUUCUAAAACUGUGAUGGGAAAUAAACCAUCUAAUUAGGGUGCAAUAUUAUUCAUUUUAAUUUAUAUGAAUUUACUUAUUUUUAUUUCCAUCAUAUUUUGAACUAUUUUUUGAAAUUAAGGGAGAUUAAAACAUCAUGAAUUUCUUAGUUUAAUUUAUAUUUUUAAUAAUAAAGCAUGAAAUAUUUAAAAAAAAAAAAGAAAAUCAUGAAUUUCUUUAAUUCCUUAGGAAACCAAUAUAUAAAAAAAGUUGAAUAUAUUAUUAUUUUAUAUCCUAAAUUUCUAAAUUUGUUCAUCACGUAUUUAUUUUUAUAUUAAAUUUAUUAUCAAUAAUUAUUUAUUAUAUAUUAUUAUUUUAUAUUUAAAAAUGUUCAUAAAUAAUUAAAAUUAAUAAAUAUAAAAAAUGAAAUAUUAAAAAAUUAAAUUAAAAAGAUUUCAUCAAGCUAACAUAUUUUGAUAAAAAAAAAAAGAGUAAAAAAGAAGAUGGGGAUAUUAUAGAGGUGGGGAAAAAGAUAAAAGAAAAAUCAUGUGGUAUAAUAAUUGCCACGUGUUAAAGUUAUUUUCUUUAAAAAUUAAUUAUAGUAAUGAUGAACUCAUUUGUCUUAUCAAAGUAAAUAAAAAUAAAUAAAUAAAAGAAAAAAAGAAAAAGAAAAAAAGUGGUGGUUGAUUGGAGGUUAGAGAGGAGGGUUUGAAGGUAAAUUUGGAAUAUUGAUUAUUUUCACUAAGUAGAUAUUUUGAAAGUUAUUUUCAAUGUUUUAAAAACCGGACCGGCCGGUCCGACCGGUCCAACCGUCGACCGGUCACCAUUCCGGUCCGAUCCGGUCAUUUGGACCGGAUUGAGAUCGAACCGGAGUUGAACCGCUCGAACCAGCGGUUCAACCGCUGAACCGGACAAACCGAUCGGUUCCAAGGGAACCGGCCAAUUCAAAUAAUUUUAAUUUUAAAAAAAAAAUUACACAAUAAAAAUAUUACUGUGGGUAAGCUGCAAGCAUGAAAGGUAGGAUUCCAUGUUGGGCCUGUCUUGUGACAAGCCCACACACCCACUCCAAUUACCCUGGGCCUCUUUUUUGAGCCCACAAGAUCAUGCCAAGGCUUUGCUGAGGAUGGCUUUUAUAGGAGUCAUUUGACUCCUUGUUCCUCUCAUAUUCCGAUGUGGGAUUGCAUUUUAUCAAUGAAAAAAAACAUAACAAACAUAACAAAACUCCACCAACAGAAUUUGAACCUUGGACCAAUCUUUAACUCUAGUCCACCUAGGAAACCACUCGGCUACAUGUGUUUUAUCAUCUAAUGUGCCAAACAAAAUAAUAUAUAUUAGAUUUUAAAUUUUUUUAUAAUAUUAAAUAAAAAUAAUAUAAUAUUUUUAAAAAUUAUGAAAUUAGUUUAAAUUUUCAUUUUUUUUAUAUUCACAUUUAAAUAUUAUACAUAUUUCAUUUAAUAAAAUUUAAAAUAUUAAUAUGAUUUAAUUUGAUAAUAUCAAAGAUAUAAAAUAAUAUUAUUGAUGUUUAAUUUAUUCAUAUAUAUUUUAAAAUUUUUUAUAAUUAUUUUUAAUUUUAAUAAUAUAUAAAUUAUAUAUUUAUUACGUCACCGGUUCGAUAGCGGUUCGACCGCCGGUCCGACCAGUGAACCGUGAACCGGUAACUUUUCCAGUUCGAUCACCGGUCCGAUUCUGAAAACAUUGGUUAUUUUGCCUGAAACCCAUAUUGUUUGAAAAUAAAAAAUCAAAGUUUUAAAAAAAUACAAUUUUUUUGAAAUGAUGCAUGAUUAUAUCAUUCCCCUAAUAGAUUAUUUAUUCCUUUAAACUUUACUUCAAAUAAAAUAGUUUUAAUUAUUUUCUUUUUGGAAUUAUAUUUAACAUAUUAUUAAAAAUAUAAAAAACAUUUUAAUAAUAUUGUUAAUGAGUUUAUAUAUAUAUAUAUAUAUUGUAAAAUAAUUAAAUUUAAAAAUAUUUAAAUUUAGUUAUGGGCUGCCCAUUUCAAAAUAAUAAGAAUCUCGUAACCUAAUUUUUCCAAAUUCCAGGUAAAUAUGCUAAUCUAAAAAUAAAAAAUAAAAAUUAGGUUUUUAUGCUCUCCAAUCUACCACUUAAGCAUCCGACAUGGCUAAAAUAAAUUACAAAAAAAAAAAAAAAAAAAAAAGGAAAAAAAACAAAAGUGUGUGAUCCUCUUUCUCGAGUCUUCACAUUUUGAGACACUGAAACCAAAUCAAAAUUAAUCCUUCAAAUUAAUUUUCACCUCCAAACAUGGCUAUCCGAAAAACCCUAACGUCUGCCUCCUCUUCCUCUUAUCCCGGAAACCUAAAUUCCGUGACCCUAACCCCUUCUCUUUCCGAAAACCCUCCGGAAUCGGAAGAUUCAUAAUUCUUCAGAAUUAAUUUUCACCUCGAAGCCAAACCCUAACUGCCUCAUCUUCCUCUCAUUCAUAUCCCAAAAGUAGCUUCAACAGUCAGGCCUGUAGCCAUGAAAGCCGUAGUGAUCACUACUUCCGGUGAUCCCCAAGUUCUCCAAGUGCAAGAAGUCGAAAACCCUGAAAUUGGAGAU
rnacentral:lncRNA from 1 species